GAAUUCUAAUUAUUGCAUAUGGUUCUUGAUGUUUAGCCAAUAUACUAUAGGAUUUUAAGCAUCAUGCUCACGUGCAUUGUGGUUGUUUAUCAGCUAUAUGGUUUAUCAAAAUGAGGGACUGAUUAUGGUCAUAAGUACCUUUUUCCCAUUAAUUUCUUGCAUGUGCUCUGCUGAGAUUAUGUUUUUGACAGUCCAAAUCAGGGCAAACCAACAAACAGCUUUAUGUUAACUUUUACAAACUGCCACAUUUUCAGGUUAAACAAACAGAGAUAAAUCUUGGUGAAACUAGAAGUAAUACAACCUGUUCUGUGGAGAUAAAAGAAAGGGCAGCAGUACUGGUGGCUGCAGAAAUUGAGGCAUGUAGAGACGAUAGAACCCCCAAGAUACCUCUUCAUGAGAAAGUCCAGAAAGAGUGGGCUUGUGCUGUAUGCCAGUUCACAACCCAAACUGAAGCGACCUUCAAUUCCCACCUUCAAGGGAAGAGACAUCAGGCCAUUUCUGAGCAGCUGAGAGCCAAAAACCAGGCAACCAAAACCAAUUGUUCCCCAUCUGCUUCAAUGGCCAAGAAAUCUGAUCAGUCCACCAAAGAGGAGCAACCAAAGUGUACUUCCAACAAUCUGAAUUCCAAAAACAAUGGAAUCUCAGCUGCUUCAACAGUGAAGAAACUUGAUGAGACCAAAGAUGAUGAGCAACAAAAGUCUGCAUCUAGCAAUGGACCAAACCAGAAGAAUAACAAAAAGCAAGAGGUACAGACCAAUGAGCAAGGCCAUCAGAAGAACUCAAGGCAAACUGGUGAUGGAAUGAAAGAGUUGAGAUCAUGGUGCAAUAUCUGUAAUGUAAGCUGCACAAGGGAGCUUGACCUGGCCUCUCAUCUCAAUGGAAGGAGGCACUUUGAUAGGAUAAAGCAGCUGUCUGAAUUAUGGUGCAGUAACUGCAAUGUAAGGUGCAACAGUGAGGUUGAUAUGGCCUCUCACCGAAAUGGGAGGAGGCACUUGGAGCAGCUGAAGGAACAGUUAGGAUUAUGGUGCAGUAUCUGUAGUGUGAGUUGCAACAGCAAGGUGGACAUGGAUUCUCACCUAAAUGGGAAGAGUCACUCGGAUCAGAUCAAGGACCAGUUAAGAUUAUGGUGUGGGGCAUGUAAUGUAACCUGCAAGAGUGAGCGCAACAUGGCCUUUCAUCUGAAUGGGAGGAAGCACUUAGAGAAGAAGGGGAAUACCUGAUUUGCUCUUCAGAUUAUUGAUACUUACAAAUGGUUUUAGUUAGAAGCAUACAGACCAGUGGGUGGUGCUCACAGAUGCCUCUAUUUUGUUGUAUGAAGUAAAAACAGUAUUUCCAUGUCCAGAAAUCAACCACUUGUUUAGUGCAUGCAUGGCUGGUUCAAAAUUAAACCUAAUUGUGAAUGACUAGGAGCAGGGAGGGAAAAAUUGAAGUGAAGAAUGUAAGAUUAUGGCUUCAUUUUUAUUUUUUCCUCUUCUGAAAAUUGUAAGAUUGUGUUAGGAGGAGCUGGAAUGGGUUCAAAUCAGGAAUUAAGACCCAGUUCCAAGACAUGGAAAGUGUCUUUAGAUUAUGUUAAGUUAUUUCCAUUUUUUUUUCUUUAUUUACGGUAAGAGGGAGCAUAAGGAACGAAAAUGAAUAUUUUUUUUUUUUCGAAUAAAAAUGAAUUUGAUAAUUUCAAUUAUUGUGUUUGGAUGUAUUUCGGAAUGUAAGAUUAAAAUAAUUAUUUGUUUUCAUUUUAGUGUUUGAUAAUAAUGAAAGUAUGAAUUAAAAAAUAAAUUGAUAAUAAUAUUCUUAUAUUUAAUUUAAAAUAUAUAUAUAUUUUUUAUUUUAGAAGAAUAUGGGUUAAAAGUUUUUUUUUUUUUUUAAAUAAUAAGCUUAAGAAAAAUAAUUUUUACUCAAUAAAUAAAAUUAAUCAUACAAAGUCAUAAAAACCAAACCAAAAUAUAAGGGUAAAAUAAUAAUUUUAAACUAUUCAUUUAAGUUAUCCAAAUGCAUUCCGACUCUUCAUUCUCUUAUACCAAAUACCGUCUUUAAGUAUUUGUCAAACUUAUUUUUUUGCAAAAUAUCAAUAUUUUACUAAUAUUUUUAUCGAUUAUUUGCCGAUAUUUAUCGCCACGUCACCAAUUCUUUGAGUUUGACUUUCAAAAUUUUGAAAUGAUCUUUGAAGUCCAGUUCAGCCCAAAUCACUACACCCAUGAACUCAUCUACAAAAGGGAACGGCUGGGCCACCACACUAAUAUGGCCCAUACAUGGGACCUCGUAAAAGAAUACCCAUCUUCAAAAAUAGGGACCAUAUUAAAUUAUUAAUGUAGCUAUAGGAAGCAUUUGAGGACAAGGGUUAUGAUUUUUCCCUUUUCUUUUUCUCCUUAAUUUUCACAUCACCCAACAACACCACUCUUAAUUCACACAAAUUUGAAGGUUUGGAAUGAGACUUCUUCAUAAUUAUAUUGUAAUUAUGUUAUAAUAACCAUGUCGUUUUUGGAUUUAUUUAUUCAGUCCAUCUAAAUCUUUUGUUUAUUCGCGUCAAAACAAUAUAUUUAUAAUCGAAUCCAUUUAUGACAUGUUCAUCUUUUAUAAAUUCAUUAAUUUUAUAUAUUUAAAAUUUAUAAAAGUUAAAUAUAUUUUUUCAAUUAUGAAUAUCAUAUUACUAAAAUAUUAAAUAACUAAUUAACUUGAAAUGUUUUAUAUUUCAUUAAUUAUUUUAUAAUUACAAAAUUAAGUGAAAUAAUAAAUAGGUUAAAAUAUAUAUUUUAUUUUAGUUAAAAAUUAUAAAUUGUUAUUGAGACACAUAACUACUAAAAUUCUACCCAUUUGACUAUCAAACAAACAACUUAAGUUUUUAGUCAUAAUUUAAGCUUAUGAUAAACUCUAUUUACAAAAAUUAGAAACCAAAAUCAAAUUCUUCCUAGACUCAAAAAUAUAAAGACAAUCUUUUAACUUUAGAAGAGAACUAUCAUCUAAGAUAAGGGUAACACAUCCCAUUGCCUGUACAACAAUUCUUGCUUCAAAAGCUAAUGUUAGGUACAUAUCCCUAUCAUUCAACCUUUCCCUUAGCUAAAACCCCUAUAAAGAAUUAUAAACAUGAUCAAUGGCUCCAAAAUUUAUCCACCAAGAGUUAGUGGAAUCUAAUACUAAACAUGAUUCAACUAAAAGAGAAUGAUGCAUACCUGACUGUCUCUUUAAGAACUAAGGGCAUUCCUUUUUCUAAUGGCCUUUUUUACCACAAAGGAAACAUUUGUCAUGACCCUUACUCUUCUUCUUCUUCUCUUGCCCUUGAACUUUCCCUUCUGUUUGGUGAAUUCUAUAAUGUUCUUAUUUUGGUUAGAAGAACCUAAAGAACACUUAACUGCCAUAUAAAUACCUCUCUGAUCCUUGAGAAUUCCCUCAAUCAUUUUGUGUUCUCUCAUCAGUUCGGUUAUAGUUUAAGAAAAAAAUUGUUUUUUUUAUGUGACUAAACUUGGAAUGAAUGUCCAAGUUGCAUACAUACUCGGGUUGAGAUCAAGUCAUAAUGUAGUUUAAGAAAAAUAUUUUUUAUUUUUUAUUUUUAUUUUUUAUCUGAUUGAACUUGGAAUGAAUUUCUAAGCUACUUACGUAUCCAGGAUGGGAUCAAGUUCUAACAUAGUCACAAUGCAGUUCAAGAAUUAUUUUUUUUUCUUUUUUUGUGCUCCAACUUUUGCCAAGACUAAAGAUCUUAAUUUUGCGAGCAUGUCCUAACUUUUGCCUAGGUCGCCUUUCCAAGUUUUCAAUUUAGCAAACUAGGUUUUUUUUUUUCUUUUUAGUUCUCUAACUUUUGCCAAGACUAAAGAUUUUAAUCUUGUAAGCAUGUCAUAACUUUUACAUAAGUCGAAUUUUUAGGUUUUCAUAGUGCUGGAUUUUUUUUUUGUUUUUUGUUUUUUUUUUGUGUCGUAGUCAAUUUAAGCUCAUAUGGGUUGGAAGCGAUGUGUAGUUUGUUGGGAUUGAGCCCUUAAAAGCAAGACAUGAUGUAAUAAAGUUAAACUUAACUAUCCCCUUACUAUCCUUUUGGUGUAUCAACAUUGAUUUAAACAUUCAACCCAUAUCUCUUACAUUGUAUAUGAUUUAGAAGCAUUAGGAGUUGUACAGAAGAUACAAGUUAUGUGUUCUUUGUAAGUAGGUGAGUUAUCCAUAGUCAUUUCAUGGAUUUGGGCAAUCUAGUAGAGACUAUAGUGCACCACCUCCUAAUUGAAGGGAUGACUUGUCUUGGCCGUUGGGAUGAGUUUCCUAUGGUGAGCGUACUAGUGUAUAUGAUGCACAUUGGAUAGGACCUAUGACAAAUCAUGAUGCAAGGCUAUCAAUUGUCAUGAUUCACCAAGUUACUAUACUACAUGGACUCUCAACCUUGAGAGGACAUUGAACCUGUGUCAAAAUCAAUAGAAAGUUUUGACCUAUGGGCGAGACCCUAAAGUAGUCAUAUAUCCUUAUGAAUUAGGUCAUUGUUGAUGGAGGCUAGUGAUAAUAGGCAUUCUCAAUAGAGGCACCAUGAUAUGUCAUGCGAUUGAGAUGGUGUGUCCCUUUGGGUGAUCCAAGGAACAUGUGAUCAUGAAAUUUGUGGCCACAGUAAUUCCUUUAGUGGAAUUUGACAUAUGCUCAAGGAUUUGAGAGAUAAUAUUGAUAGGUGAUAACACUAUCUUGUUAGAUUAUAGACACCAGUUUCAUGGGGAAUCUGCAUGUAGUGGAUAGUAGGUCAUGAAUGCGAGCUUUGUCUCGUUGUUAUUUACAUAAGGUACUGGAGUGUAGUUGAUUCUCUUUAGUAGAAUGUUAAAUCAACUUCAAAAUUGGAUUAUGAGGGAGCCAGUACUCCUAUGGGUCUCAAUGGUCCCCACUCUAAGCUUAUAUACCAUGAUGACAUAAUUUAUGAGGGUUGGAUUGGCUUUAGGUUCAUUCUUAUGCAUAAGGGCAUUUUGGUAAUUACUCAAGGUUGCAUAGGGGAUAAUAAAUAAGGUCUCUAGAUUGGACUAAUUGAUUAAUUAGAUGGCCUUAUGUGGUUAAUUAAUCAAUUAAGACAUGUUAGGGCUAGAUUAAGUGACUCAAGCCUUGAUGGGUUCAAGUCACUUAAGCCUAGUGGGUAACCGUAUAAAUACCCCCUUAUGGGUUAGGGUUUUCUAAUGACUUUUAGUUAGUCAUCUUCCACUUUUAGAAAAAUAGAGAGAGUCAAAGCUUCCUCCUUUCCACUGCCCACACUUUGGAAUGCCAAGAUCGUGGAUCGAGUCAUCGAACGAAAGAUCUUGGGUGUAUGAGACCUUCGAACUCUUUAGGCUUCUUCUUCGUUGGAUGGAUUUUGAUCUAGGAACAUCUAGAUCACAUGUAUGUGUUAUAAAAUUUGGUUAAUUCAACCUAAGGUAAUCAUCCUAGAGAAGGGGCGAAUAGGGUGAUGAUCUUUUUUUGAAAAUUUAAAUUAUGUGAAUGCAAGAGACAAUUAUAUGCAAAAUAUAUAGCAAAACCAUAUAAAAACAAUUGCAUAUAAAGUAAAAGGGUAAGGAAGAGAGAAAAUAAACACAAGAUUUUUAUAGCGAUUCAGUGCAACCCGACCUUCAUCCAUUCUCCUCUAGCUUCAAUCCCAAACUUGAGGUUCCACUAAUUUAAGGCUUCCAACCCAAGCCUUCAAGCAAUACAAUCGGAUUAUGGUUCCAAUCAAACCUCUUGAAAUUUUAGUUCUAAGCACAUUUUACAAUCUUCAAGAGAUACCUCACUCUUAAACAACUCCUUAAGUGAUACCCCACACUUGAGAAUCCCUAAGUGAUACCUCACACUUAGAUUUUUCAUCUCAAAGAUUUAUAAAUGAAGAUAGGAAAUUGUUAGCCCAAGGGCUCUCCUAAUCGGGUUUUGAUGAUAAAAAAUCAUGGUUAAAUGACUAAUUGGUUUAAUGGUUAAGAAUCUCAGGCAUAAACUUGAAAAUUCAUCAAAAGACCAAAUGGAUACAAGAUCGAGACGUUUGGAAGACUUGUGAUCAUAGGAAACUAAUGUAAGAUGAAUGCAUGAGUACACUUAGGAUUUUCAUACCGUUUCAUGCAAUUUAGAAAACUCGGUUUAUUCUUUAAAACUUCAAUUUCAUUAAAACUUGAGUUUUAACAAAUGUACCUUAGGCAAAAUGUUUUAAAAUUGGCAUAAUAAUUCACCUAAAAACCUUGCUUAAGUGUUAGAAAAGAAAGGAAUUGAAAAAUAUAGGUUUUCGGGGCCAAAAGGCUCAACCGAUCGAGGCUAUGACCAACCUGCUCAACCGGUUGGGGAAUCGGUCGACCGGUUGCCCCUGUCCGGUCGAGGUUCGAUAGAGGGAUGCACAAAAUUUUCUUUCUCUCCCAGUAGCCUUCUCUUCUCGGUCGAGGUCUGGUUGAGGACCGAUCAAGGUUCGAUCGAGGCAACGGUAACCUGUCAAGCAUUAAAUGUUCCAACGGCUAGUGAACCGGUCAACCCCUAGCUCGACCAGUUGAGGUUACCUUUUGCUGUUUUUGGCUCCCGAGCUUAGAAACCUAUAAAUUGAGAGCUCCACUUUAUUUAUUGACGAGAGAACACUUGCAAUCAAUUGUCUACCUACCUGUUCUUGAUCAAAAAACUCUCAUUUCUUUCUUUGUGCAUUAAAUCAUCACUUGCAUAUCCUUUAGUGCACUCUUAUGUGUCAUCCUAGCUUUGUCUUAUAUUUGAGCUAUCCUUAAGCUAGGUUGAGGGAUUCAUUCUUGUAAAAACUGAGUGUCAAAGCCUUCAAGAGGUUUAAAUCUUGAAGAGAUUGUGUAAGAGCCCAUUGGAGCCAGAAUCCAAGUGUAAGAAGAUUGGAAGCUUGGUUGAAGCUUCAAGUUAGUGGAACCCUCACUCGGUUAAAAGAUUGAGGAGAGUGGAUGUAGGGAAGGAAGUGUCGAACCACUAUAAAACCCAAGUUUGAAUUCUCUAACUCUAUCUCUUUAUUUUGCUUAUAUUGUGCUUGAACUCGUUGUGAUUGAAAAGAAUUUAAAAAACCCAAUUCAUCUCCCUCCCCCCUUUUAGGUGUUUUUCUUAAUUAAGCAUAGCAUUUAUUUUCUCAAUUGGUAUCAGAACUAGACCUCUUGUUUUUUUUUUUUUUUUAAAAAAAAAAAUUAAUCGUCUAAGAGGAUAUGACUAUUGCAUCAAGCUCAUCUCAAGCUAAAAUUUUUUCAAAACAUAGAGCUUCAUUCUUUACGGGAUCCGACUAUCCCUAUUGGAAAACUAGAAUGACUUGGUACUUACAAUCUACUGAUUUAGAUGUAUGAGACGUCAUUGAAGAUGGCCUAACUUUUCCCACUAAACUAGUUGAUGGAGUUUUGGUUCCAAAACCCAAGCAAGAAUGGAAUGAGCUUGAUAGAAAAAACUUUCAAUUAAAUGCUAAAGUCGUUUUUACUUUGCAAUGUGCUAUGGAUAGAAAUGAAUAUAAUAGAAUAUGUCAAUGCAAAUCGGCUAAAGAAAUUUAGAGGUUGCUUGAAAUAACUCAUGAAGGAACUAAUCAAGUGAAAGAGUCAAAAAUUAAUUUACUUGUUCAUAACUAUGAAUUGUUUUCAAUGAAAAAAAAUGAUACUAUUGUUGAGAUGAUUACUAGGUUCACCGACAUUGUCAAUGGUCUUGAAGCUUUGGGAAAAACCUACAAGGAAUCCGAGAAGGUGAUGAAGAUAUUGAGGUCUUUCCCAUCAAAGUGGCAUACCAAGGUCACUGCAAUUCAAGGAGCAAAAGACUUGACUAAGCUACCUAUGGAAGAGCUCAUAGGGUCAUUAAUGACAUAUGAGAUCAAUUUGACAAAGAAGCUACAAGAGGGUAAAGACAAAAAGAAGAAGAACAUAACCCUCAAAGCUAUAACCAAGGAAGAAGAAGAUGUUGAAGAAGAAAAACCAAGUGAUGAAGAUGAUGAUUUAGCCCUCAUCACAAGAAAGCUCAACAAAUACAUGAGAGGUGAAAGGUUUAGAGGAAGAAAGUUCACCUCUAGAAGAGAUCCUUCUAAAAAGGAAUCUUCAUCCCAUGGUGACAAGGAGAAAUGAGAAGAUAAAAGAGAUUUGAUAUGCUUCAAAUGCAAAAAACUGGGACACAUUAAAUAUGAUUGUCCACUCUACAAGAGUGAAGCCAAGAGAAGAAUGAAGAAGGCAAUGAUGGCCACUUGGAGCGAAAGUGAAGAAUCCUCCGAAGAAAAAAAGGAGAAGGAAGUAACAAACAUGUGCUUCAUGGCAAUAGAUGAUCUUGAUGAGGUAAACUCUAACUUUAGUGAUGAAGAUAUGUAUGAUGUUUUUGAAGAAUUAUAUGAGGAUUUUGAAAAACUUAGUUUGAAAAAUAAUUCUCUUAAAAAUAAAAUUCAAGAACUUGAAAAAGAACUUGAAGAAGUAAAAGAAAAAGUUUCAAUUGUUGAAAUAUCUAAAACUCAUCUUGAAAAAGAAAAUAAGAUUUUGAGAAGUGAAAAUGAGAUUUUGAAAAAGAAAAAUGAAUGGUUGACCUCCUCUCUUUCAAUUUUCUCUUGUGGAAAAAAAUAUUUUGAAAUGAUCUUAGUUAGCCAAAAAUGUAUUUUUGACAAACAAGGGUUAGGAUUCAAAUCUUCAAAAAAUCAAAAGUAUUUUAAAAACUACUUUGUAAAAGAAUCCGCAAGUGUAAGUCAUUCUACCACUUGCAACUUUUGUAGAAGAGGAGGAGACAUUAGUAGUACAUGUCUCUUAAGAAAUGGUUCUCAAAAGAAUUCAAAUGCUAAAGCUAAAAAGGUUUGGGUUGAGAAAUCCAAAGUCACUAACCCUCAAGGACCCAAAAAGAUAUUGGUACCUAAAUCAACUUAAAUUUUAUUUUGUAGGGUUCAAAGAAGGAUAAGUGGUUCUUGGAUAGUGGAUGCUCAAGACACAUGACCGGGGAUGAAUCCAAGUUUGUUUUCCUUACAAAGAGAAAGGGAGGAUAGGUUACCUUUGGAGACAAUGCAAAAGGAAGGAUCAUUGGUCAAGGCAACAUUGGUAAUGACACAUCCUCUCUUAUUGAAAGUGUUUUAUUAGUGGAUGGUUUAAAACAUAAUCUUUUGAACAUAAUUUAACUUUGUGACAAAGGUUUUAAAGUGAUUUUUGAAGCAUUUCAUUGCAUUAUCAAAGAUAUUCAAAAUGAUAAAACCAUCUUCAUGGGCCAUAGAUGUGAUAAUUUUUAUGCUAUAAAUAUUUCAAAUAUGAUGGCCAUGGUAAAUGUUUUUCAAGCAUGCAUGAUCAAAGUUGGUUGUAGCAUAGGAGGUUGGGACAUGCUAACAUGGACCUCAUUUCCCAACUCAACAAAGAAGCACUUGUUAGAGGCCUUCCCAAAAGAAAUUUUCAAAAAGACAAAGUUUGUGAAGCUUGUCAAAUGAGAAAGCAAAUCAAAAACUCUUUUAAAAACAAAAAUUUCAUUUCAAUAACUAGGCCUGCAUAUGGAUUUAUUUGGUCCCUCUAGGACACCAAACCUUGGAGGAAAAUCUUAUGCAUUUGUUAUUGUGGAUGACUUCUCUAGAUACACUUGGGUCUUAUUUUUAAGUCAAAAGAAUGAAGUCUUUUUUGAGUUUUCAAAGUUUUGCAACAAGGUUCAAAAUGAAAAAGGUUUUACAAUUUCUUGUAUAAGAAGUGAUCAUGGAGGAGAGUUUGAAAAUAUUGAUUUUGAAGACUAUUGCAAUGAGCAUGGUAUUAACCACAAAUUUUUGGCUCCUAGAACUCCUCAACAAAAUGGGGUAGUUGAAAGGAAAAAUAGAACUCUUCAAGAAAUGGCUAGAACCAUGCUAAAUGAAAACAAUUUACCAAAAUACUUUUGGGCCGAAGCAAUUAACACUUCUUGUUAUGUUUUAAAUAGAAUUUUAUUGAGGCCUAUUCUUAAAAAAACUCCCUAUAAGCUUCGGAAAAACAAGAAACCCAACAUUAGCUAUUUCAAAGUCUUUGGGUGCAAAUGCUUUAUAUUAAAAACCAAAGACAAUCUUGAAAAUUUUGAUGCAAAAUCGGAUGUUGGAAUUUUUCUUGGUUACUCAACUUUAAGUAAAGCCUUUAGAGUUUUUAACAAAAGAACCAUGGUUGUUGAGGAGUCCAUCCAUGUUAUUUUUUAUGAAUCUGACAAUUCUCUCCAAGAAAGAGAGAGCUUUGAUGAUGAUUUAGGCUUGGAGACCUCCAUGGGAAAAUUACAAAUUGAAGAUAGAAGGCAACAAGAAGAAGUUGUAGAGGAUCCCAAGAAAGAAGAAUCACCUUUGGCACUACCUCCUCCUCAACAAGUGCAAAGUGAAUCAAGCUAAAACCUUCCUAAAGAUUAGAAGUUUGUCAUCAACCACCCACAAAAUCAAAUUAUAGGUAAUCCAUCUAGUGGGGUAAGAACUAGAUCAUCUCUUAGAAACAUUUGCAAUAAUCUUGCUUUUAUCUCUCAAAUUGAACCUAAAAAUAUAAAUGAUACUCUAGUUGACGAAAAUUGGAUGAUUGCUAUGCAAGAAGAGUUAAAUCAAUUUGAAAGAAGUGAAGUAUGGGAAUUAGUGCCAAGACCUCAAAAUCAAAGUGUUAUUGGAACUAGAUGGGUCUUUAGAAAUAAAAUGGAUGAAAAUGGCAUAAUUAUAAGGAAUAAAGUAAGAUUGGUAGCCCAAGGUUUUAAUCAAGAAGAAGGGAUAGAUUAUGAAGAAACCUUUGCUCUCGUAGCUAGAUUGGAAGCCAUUAGGAUGCUACUUGCCUUUGCACGUUUUAAAGACUUUCUUUUAUAUCAAAUGGAUGUGAAAAGUGCUUUCUUAAAUGGCUUUAUAAAUGAAGAGGUAUAUGUUGAACAACCACCCGGUUUUCAAAGUUUUAACUUUCCUAAUCAUGUUUUUAAACUUAAAAAUGCACUUUAUGGUUUGAAACAAGCACUUAGAGCAUGGUAUGAAAGAUUGAGUAAAUUUCUUUUGAAAAAGGGUUUUAAAAUGGGAAAAAUUGACACAACUCUUUUCAUAAAAAUAAAGAAAAUGACAUGCUCUUAGUGCAAAUAUAUGUUGAUGAUAUCAUUUUUGGAGCUACUAAUGUCUCUCUUUGUGAAGAAUUUUCUAAAUGCAUGCAUAGUGAGUUCGAAAUGAGCAUGAUGAGAAAACUUAACUUCUUCCUUGGACUUCAAAUCAAGCAACUAAAGGAAGGAACCUUCAUCAAUCAAGCAAAGUAUAUAAGAGAUCUCCUCAAAAGGUUCAAUAUGGAGGAAGCGAAAACAAUGAAGACUCCAAUGAGUUCAUCCAUCAAGCUUGACAAGGAUGAGAAAGGUAAGUCCGUUAACUCAACUAUGUAUAAAGGCAUGAUAGGUUUUUUGCUAUAUUUGACCGCUAGUAGACCUGACAUCAUGUAUAGUGUAUGCUCGUGCGCUAGAUUUCAAUCUUGUCCUAAAGAAUCUCACUUAAGUGCCGUAAAAUGAAUUCUUAGAUAUUUAAAAGAGACAAUGGACAUAGGCCUAUGGUAUCCUAAGAGUGAUAACUUUGAAUUAAUUGGAUUCUUAGAUGCCAACUUUGCCAAUUGUAAAGUUGAAAGGAAAAGCACUAGUGGCACUUGUCAUUUCCUAGGACACUCACUUGUUUCAUGGCAUAGUAAUAAGCAAAAUUCGGUAGCCUUGUCAAAGGCGGAAGCAGAAUACAUAGCAGCUGGUUUAUGUUGUGCACAAAUCCUUUGGAUGAAACAAACACUUAGUGAUUUCAAUUUGAUUUUUGAGCAUGUUCCUAUUAAACGUGAUAACAUUAGUGCCAUAAAUAUUUCAAAAAAUUUGAUGCAACACUCUAGGACUAAGCAUAUAGAGAUUAGACACCAUUUUCUUAGAAAUCAUUUACAAAAAGGUGACAUUACACUUGAAUUUGUAAGCACAAAAGAUCAACUUGCCGAUAUUUUUACAAAACCUCUAAGUGAAGAGCAAUUUUUUUAUAUUAGAAGACAACUAGGGGUGAUUUCUUUAUAAUCAAAUGAUUACUUGAUGAAUUCUUGAUUGAAUAUACCUUAUGAUUGCGUGAAUUUCACAUCAUAUGCAUCAUAUAGAAAUAAUCUUAGGAAAAAGGUCAAAUUUUGACCAAAAAUCAAAAUUCCCUUGGCAUUGGAUAUCAAAAAUUGGGGAUUUCAACUGAAAAGGGCAAGGGAAGGAUCACGAGACAAGCAAAAGCCAAAAAAUUAGAGCGUUGACCAUUGACCAUUGACCAUUGACCAAGCGGUUCGUCGGGGCUGGGAAUUUAAAGAGACCCCCGCGCUUUAUUUUUUUCACUAUUCCCCUCAAUUCCUUGAAAACUCUUCACAUACCUGCUUCCAGAGACCACUUUGGGUUGAAUCUUGGACCAUUUGAAGGGCUUGGAGUUGUUUUUGGGACGUUUUUAAGACUAGGGUUUCAAUCUGAAACCUAAGGUUUCCAUUUUUAGGAGCAAUUCCUCUCAGACCACGUGCAUCAGCCAGGCUCAACUCCUUCUCCUUGCGCUUAGGGCUUCCGGUUGGAUUUCAUUCUCUCUUGUUUGGUUUCAUUCUCUCUUCAAACUUCUUUUUCUUCAUUUUCCGUUCUUUGGAUGGCGCCUAGGAGAGAGACAACUACCUCUAGGGCUCAGGGCAAGCGCCCUGCUGAGCCAUCUCAACCUGAGCAGAUGGAGGCUCACCGAAAGGCGAGGUAUGACACGACCCUCUGUGGACCCGCAUUUUUCACGUGCGUCCCCACUCGAUCGGCGAGACUCGCUUUUUAUUUGUGAAAAAUUGAUCUUUAAAAAAAAAAAAGUUGGAGUCGCCACCUAUUUUAUUUUUAUUUUGAAGGGAAAAUAAAACAAGAAAGAAAAACCCUAAAAAGUGACUCCAUGGUUUUGGAAAAAGCAUGUCUUUGAGAAACCCGAGUCUAAGUCCGGGGAUCAGGUUACUUAUUGGGAAGGUACCUCUAGGAGGUAGCACCCCUCUAAGCCCUAAAAAGGUCUCUACUGACUAAGUUAAGGGAAGCGUGGCAAUUAAAUGGUUGAUCAUGGAUACCUAAGUAGGCUAGGUGAUUCCAAAAACAUAACAUAUCAAACAAGAUCAAAUCACAAUUAAGGAGAGUUAAAAAUGCGUACCUGGACGGCUUCCCAAACGCUAUCAUAAAACAUAAGAGAUUAGUUUGGAGAUACAUCACACAACAUUUGUUUUACUCAAGCAAAUCAGGCAUAUAUCAAGACAUUCAAGAAUCACGUCAAAUAUGGAUAUGGUCAUCAAUGACAUACAAGUCCAUAGAAUUCUCGAAAAAAGGAUGAAAAUGAGCGUACCUGGAUAGCAAGCUAGAGCGCCUUUAUGGGAAACAAGGUUAACCCAAUAACAAAUUCAAGCAUAUCUCCAAGAAGAAUCAAAAUCAAUUGAAUACCAAAAAAUCAUCUUUAAAAUCAAUAUUAGUGAAGAUAUUAGGAAUGUAGGACCCCCCACCAAAGUCCAUAUUACUUUUGCACGAAUUGAUUCAAUGAAUUCCAUUAUUUGGAAUCGUGAAGCUUAUUCAUGCUUGUCAAAAAUCGAGAAAAUCAUAAAAUAGUUGAAGAUGAUGAAAAUGCAUGCCGGAAGGGAAAAUGGCAGCAAAUAGUAUGUUAAAAUUUGGAUUUUAUGCCUAGAGACUUCUCAGGAAUUUUAAAUAAAACUAGAAUUAUUUUUUACGGGAAAAGAUUUUGAAAUCCAGAUUUAAAAUGUGUAAGAUAACAAAAAGAAUAAGGAGAAACAUUAGGAGUAUGGUGUGUGGCAAGGUGACCACUAUAUGAGUGAGGUCUGGAGGUGCACUUGAGACUAAAUGGUUGAAACAGAUUGCAUAGGGAGCAUUCUGUACACCACUAGUUGUCUAGAAAGAAACUGAAUGUGUUCGUUUCCGAGCCCAUGUUCACCGGAGUUUAGGGUGCCACCUCAUUUAAAAAAAAGGGCUUCAAUACAACUCUAGUUUCUCAAGAUCACAAUCUGAAUUAUCAACAGAAGCUUCUGGUGAAGACAUAAUGCUCAAUUUCAGAUUAAAUUUCCUGUUCUAUAACUCGUUUUCUCUGAAUUUUCCUUUAAUGUCUGUGCUUUCUGAUCAUAUAAGUUGCCCGUCUGGUUCCUUGUUUGAGACUCUGCCGAACCUGGAAUAAUGCUUCUAGGUCUAGCUGAGGGGACCUACACCCCUUUUCAUGGAACCUGAGGCAUGCGUUAAUUCGAAACUCUAUUACUUUGCCUUCCAUUGCUUUAAGUCUUUUAGCCAUCUCAGCCACAAAUCUGGAGAUUCAUUUAUCUUUCUUUAAUAUUCAAGCCAAAUGUCAAUCCAGUCCGCUUAAACCCCGAUUUGAAUGAUUUUGAACCCUCUUUUUGCGCUCUUGAUGUUUUUCAUUUCAACUACAAUGACAAACCACCCUUCGAAAAAAGAAGAAAUCUGGACCAAAUCCUAAACUUUUAAUUCACAACUUCUUGAGCCUGACUCUGAGUCGACACAAUUGAAUCACCUUGGAUAAGAGUGCUUCUAAAAAUCCUCCAGAAUGUAGGCACAAGUGCAGCGUUCGUUAAUAAUGUCCAUGGCAUGUCACAAAGGAAAGCUUCUUUUUUUAUAAUCAUCAACGCAAAUUGACUCUUAAUGGACCCCAUUGCCAGCGUCACAUCAAAGACUGGACAGAUAGGGAGAUUCACAAUUUCGAUAGCUAUCUUUGCAUUAUUUGGGCAGGGCAACCAUGUUAUGGAUAUAUAGCUCGAAGGUGACUUGCGUUUUGUUCUGUAUCAUCAGUAGCAGCCUCAAACCCGCCAUAGGUUUGAGUGGUAUUAAAAGACUCAACAUGAUCAGCUGUAGGUGAUCGAGCAGCCAAUUCAUCAUUGAGCAAAUCAAUAAAAGCUUGGAUAUCGUUGCCGAGUGGCCUAAAAUCAUUAGAUAAAUCAUUAAAGUCAUUAAGUAUAUUACUGAUCUCCAUGAAAACCCUCCUCCUUGCUUCUGUAGAGCGAACACAAGCUGCCACUAAAAUUGGUUAGCCCGGAUUGCUAAUUUAUGCAUCCAAUCACCAUCGAUUUCUCUUGUCCUUUUUGGAACUUCUGGAAUAUGGAUGAAACCUGUGAAGAAUGUGGUGGAAUUGCGGUCUGCAAGCACGAAGUUUCCAGUUACUUGAAAUGCUUCGAAAUCAUGGUUCCAGUUUACAUCUACAGGCAUUGGCUCAAGUAAGUUCGUAUCAGCUUGGGUGGCUUUCGAUUCCAAAAGCUCUAACAACAACAUGAUUCUCAAAUAUCCGAACAGCAAUGUCCAAAAUUGAAUCAAGAAAAUUCUUUAGCAGCAGUAUGUGUUGUCCCUGCUGGAGCCAUCACAGGAGCAACUAAGCUAACUGCCAAAAAGGUUCUAGCCAGUGAGAUCCCAUUCUGACGUUUCGGUUUUGGUGACUGAUAGCUUUCUAAUUGUCCCUGCAAAUAAUGUAAACCAAUAGUUCCAUUGAAUGGAUUGUCAUCCAGAGCAAGGAUCCGAAUACUUGUAAGGCCAUCAACGAAAUCAGCGAGGGUGGUGUCGACUUCGUUGUAAUCGAAGAAGGCGAGUUGCAAUUCAGACAAUCUGCGAGAAGAAGGCAAUUUUCCAUUGAAGUGGUUCAUCUGAAACCCCAAAUUGCAGAGCAUUGAAAGCUGGUUGAAGUUUUGAGGGAGAGGUCCCUUUAAUCCCAAUCCCUUAACUUGAAUCUGUGUAACUCUGUCACCACUAUAAAAUACACGAGGCCACAAAUUUGACUCCACCCGUUGGCUCCUUUCCUUCAUUCAUUCGCUUUAACAAGUCACAUUUAAUUCCAAAGAAUAUUAUAUAAUCUUCAAGUAUGUUCAAAUCAGAGGGCUCUAGUCCGUUAACCUUUACACUCUCUAGCAGGUUCUGUUCUUGUCUCUUCCUAUUAUACAGAAGUUCAAGCAAGUUUCAUAAAGCCUGAAUUUCUACACGUAGCCACUACUGGGGUCAGGUUUAUCCAAGUGUGCUGCUCCAACAGAAUUAUCGAUGUGUCAGUUUCUCUAAAAAUCACCUUGUGAAUCAAUCCACAAUACCGAGGCAUCCCAUCAUCAGAACUUCCUAAGCUUUCAGCAAGUAGGCAAGCAUUUAUGCUUGAGUCAACUCUACCGAUGACAACAAACCCAUCCAAAUCAAACUUCAUAGCUGUUUCUUCUUUUCCAUUAAUAUCAACUGGUAUCCUUUCUAAAAGAAUGCUUUUCUUAUGACGACAUGACAGUAAAACCCUUUUGCGAGAAUGGCUCAGAGUUUUGAUCAUCAUCUGAUUCUAUUGUAUUACUGGAAUGAUUGCUUUGGUAAAUGGAAUUCAACAGAAUCCACACAUUCAUGACUCUAAAAUUCAGCUUACUAGCAACCAGAUGGAACACACAUUUUCUGGUUCAGGCAUUCGUUUCUGGUCAGAUUCAUGGUAUCUUAGCGGUGCAACAGACGAUGCAGCAACCUCUUCUAGAGUGCCUUUUAUGAGCCUCAAGAGCAAAGGCCAAUGAUAGAUGAAGCGGUCCCUCUGCACUACUUGGGCUUCUGAUUCAGAAGUUAUCAUGAAGCCAACGAACAAGCAGAGUGAACGCAUUUGCAGUCAACCUUAAAAUUUCUAAUAUUGUCAGCAGGCCUGAUGGUAAAAAAACGAAAGUAGGGGAGCCUUAUUCAAGAGGAUCAUUGCGAACACUGUCACGUGUUAUUGGUGAGCUUGUUGGCAUCUUGUUUUGGGCAGAAUAAUGAGAUCCUUCAGUUAAUUAGAGAUCCAUAUCAACUAAACACCAGAAUCAUGGAUUUCCCAUGCUUUCUACUGGACAACGAUUGUCAGUUCUUUCUCUUGUUCACUUCUACUGGCAGUGGCUUGACUCUCCAACAAAACCCCUGAUGCACCCUGUAGCUCCUCAUUUAAUUCUGGAUUCUUAUCAGCAUCGCUUUCUUCUCCCUUUUGAGACUCUUGGAGUAUGAAAAAGAAAACUUGUGAAGAAUAAGGUGGAAUAUCCCAGCAAUGCAGUAUGGUAGGACCCAUUUGAGGGGGAACCCUGCAUUCAUCACUCUCACCUCCAGUAGCAUUAGAUGCUUGCUGGACCCAAUUCAGCCAGUCUCUGCAUAUUGACUCUCAAUAUAAACGUUUAGAAAUAACAAUGACUUCAUUUCUACUGCCUUGUUUAGACCUUCCUUGAUCAAUGUCUACCUUCAUUUCUCACAAAUUCUGGUUCUACUAUUAAAGUUCUGCCCCCAGUCCGUUUUGCAAAGCAUAAGCUAAUUUUAUAUUUGUAUAAUUCCAUCUUAACACACAAGUCCGUCGUAGCCUUUCCUGAGAAGUUAGAGAAGUUGCUUUUCUGAUAUAAAAAAGCCUUUCAGAACCAUGCUGAAGCUCUGAAUGUUGAUAGUUUUCCAUUGCAACUGAUAUGAGCUCCUCAUCGGUAGUGUCACAAGAAUGAUUCCAUGAGAAGUUUCUUGUUGCAUCACCUUUUUUAUGUAUUCCAACCCCAACUGUUGAGUUUCUUGAAAUUGAAACUACGGAACUUAGUUAUUUUGAAUUGUUUGCAUCUGUAGUGAUAAAUCACUGGAAGAGACAAUCAUAAUUUAGGCACUUGAUUUCCGUUUCGGUCGAACUAACAGCUUCGUAACUGUUAAUCUCAAGGUCAGAUUCAUGCUCUUGUUUCUCAAUUUCCUCUUCCCAUGAGAAUUUUUUUCAUAACAAUCGAAUGAAUUCUUAUAACUCCCAAAAGUUUCUAGCUUUUGCUGAUCAUGGAGGUGCCUCACAAUACUUGUCAUUAUACUCACUUUGGAAUUUUUCUGGUCCAUGUUCACUUUGAAUGAAUGUAUCCCUAAAGGGGGUAUUCAAUGACUGCCCAUAAUGAGUUACAAGUUCCCCAAAAUAGAAUAUAAUGAUCGUCGGCCUUACAGUACUGCUGUUUUAAAAUUUUCUGCUCGCUGAACAGUCAUAGUUCAAACCAUCAAUAUCAAAAGGCUUUCCCAGGCACUCAUCUUCAGAACCAUAAGGCCAGCAAGUCUGCAACCGUUUGAGUUGGGUAAAAAAGAAAGUCCUAAGCAGUGGAAGUGCACAGCAUGAUGCUGUCAAGUUUCAAUAACUUAAAUAUUGGCCAACUUAAGCCAGACCAUAUUCCUCAAAAAUCCAUUCUUCCUCUGCUCAUGUAAACUUGUAAUGCUGUCAGAAAUCCUGUCUUCAGAAUAGCAACCCUGACAAUUGAGUAUGGAAAGCAGAAUACCCAUGUGCUUCCAACUAAGCUUUUUACAACCAUCCUCAUAAACUGAGGCGUGCCAUUCUAAAGAAAAGGCAGAGUCUUUUAGAAAUCACAAUACUUCUGAAGCAGCUUGAAUUAGCAUAUUGCAGUAAUUGGAAGUCGGAUUGACUGAAACAGGGGCUCGAACGCAUCCAUCUGUAAAUCUUACAGACCGACCACCCUCAGAGAAAAGGUCUCCAAAAAAAAGGCUUCAGCUUCAUGACAAACAGCAUUCUCUGUUUCAGAGUUGCAACUGCCCCUGUUAUACUACUCCUGUGCACUUCAGCAUUUAUUCUUUAGUUAUACCGUCCCUUUAGAUAGCAUCUAUCCCACACCGUGAAGCAAGCAAGGUUCACUAUAAUAGGAUCUAGUAGCAGCAACAAACGGGUGAUCCUGGAGAUAUUUUAAACUCAACUUCAUCAACAUCUUCAGCGUGCACUUCUGUUGGAACACAAGCGAUAGUAGCAGUGAAAAAAAAAGUGUUGUACUGAUCCCGUUAGGAUUGCAGCCCAGAAUACCACGAACAGAGAGCCCCAAAAAUUGAAGCAACUCUGCAUCCAACUAAAUCACAUCUAGAACCCGGUUUAACGACUUUCUUGUCUUGAAGAGGAAAUACCCAAUCUGACUCAACAAUCUGUUAUCAUGUGCCAAACCCCACAAACAGCCCACAUUCUACGCAGCCUUUAUAAAGUCUCUACCUUUCAUGAAAUACUCAUGCCAUCAUUGUCUCCAUAGCCCAGAACACCAAAGUAAAGAAGAGGAAGAAGCGUAGAUAUAGAAGCACAAAAAAAGAAACCGAACAAAGAAAGAAAAAAAAAAAAAAAAAACGAAAACAGGGGAAUGGAAGGCAAUGGGUGGGAAAUCUGAAUAAGUCACAUUUCAUUAUUUUCAAAAGGGCUUUGAAGAAUCUGAACACAUUAGGACAAGCUUAGUUAAAAUUAUAUCAGGAUUCCACAAACAUUAAAAUUCAAACAUAAGUCUCUGUUUCAGCUAUUUAUAAAAAGAAUCAAAGAAAUCAAGAACACAAUCAUAAUAGAGCAAGUUUGAAGGAAAUUUCGAUUCAACAACGCAAAUAAAUGGCCCUCAAUGUCCACUCCAAUCAGCAAGAACAACUUCCCGAAAACAGCCAGAGAAUCUCAAGUGAAUGUAAACGGGAAUACCAAAAUAAUAAAAAAAAUAACAGGAAGCGUACCUGGCAGAACCUUGGCUGCAAUCUCCCUCUCUUUCUGCUCUUCUCUCCGCACUUUUUCUUCAAGAUCUCUCUUUUUCUCCUUUUUCUCCUUUCUUUCUUUUCUUUCCUUCUUCCUUUUCUUUCCUUCUCCCUCUCAAGCCCAAAAAUCCUAUCUCUCCCUCCGGAUCUCUCCAAAAAAAAAUCCCCAUGCGUGCUGCCAGUCCCACUUUUCAAAAAGAAAACAUCUUGCUGAAAAGGAAAAUCCUACUUCCUUUUCUCCUUUCUUUCCUUUCUUUCUUUUCUUUCCUUCUUCCUUUUCUUUCCUUCUUGUAGCCGAUCCCCACAUGGAAGAAGUAUAUGUGCUGUCCCUCUAAAAAUCAAAAUCUCCUCUUUUCAAAAUUCCGUUGAUUUUCCUUCCAAAUAAAUGGCGGUUCGUUUCCUCAUGCCCAAAAAAUAAAUAAAAUAAAAAAAUAAAAAUAAAAAAAAUAAAAAAUAAAAAAUUAAAAAAAUUAAAAACAAAAAUAAAAAAAAAUCAAUCACAUGCAAGCCAUACGAGCUAUGUAACCACCAAAGGAAUAUGAGUUAUGCAACCAUGCAAAAACACGAGCCAUGCAACCAUGCAAACCAUGCAAAAACAUCUAAAGGUGACCUAGGGUGUGUCCUAGUGCGCUAGGGCAAACGAAAUGGACUAAGUGUGCUUAAAAGCUAUCCUAAAAAAAAGAAAAGCCUACGACUAAGUUAGGGCUGCCAAGGGUCACAAUAAGGGAUCAAAUAAUCCCUCAACCAAAAUCUCCGAGGUGACUCAGAAAAAGGUUAGUGGUAUGAGUAGCCAUGGGCCACCAAGGAACUAUGGGGCACUGAAAACGAAUUUAAAGACAUGUGCUAAAGGGACAAAAUUGAGGGUCUACACCCUCUUCAGUUCUGUUGAAGAUUAUCAAAGAUACAAGCAAAAAUUCUCCCAGAGGAAACUAGGGAGAAAUAUCAAUUUCUCCCAACUUUAGUACUUCGGGUUUGAGGGACUCUUUAGUCGGAUGGGAUAACUGCCAGUUGUGAUGAUUUUCGAGCCGAUCUUCCUGACUCUGGUGCGGGCAUUUUAUUCAUAGGUGACUUAUGGACUUGGAGGACCAGUCAUGUCCACUAUUAGAGGUGUUGAGAUCAGACUGAGCCCGGAGAGCAUUUUCCGCAUUCUCGACAUUCCUUUAGUUGGACUCCGGGUGUAUGAGUCCAAGGUUUGGCCCACUGUGCCGGGAUUCGAGCCUAGAGAGGCUAUUCAGAGGCUGUGCGGACUUGUAGAUGCUGAGGGGAUGGACAAACCAUCGGCACAUAGCCUGACCGUGACCAGCCAAGUCCUUCAUCACAUGAUUUGCUCCUAUUGCCACAAGGCGGGUAUCGAGAUGAGAUUUCCUACCUGGAUGCUUUCAUAGUGGACACCAUUCUAAUGGGGAGAUGGAUUCAUGUAGGGUAUUUGAUGAUGAUGCAUAUGAUAUCCUACUAUGAGAGCACGACCCGAGUACUCCCCUACAGACGCUUCCUCACUCGAGUAUUCAAGGAUGUCGGGGUCGAUUUGAGUAGAGAGACGAACUUCGAGGCCCUUACUAGCUAUGAUACUUACGAUGAGCAGUCCUUGGAGCGGAUAAAGUUUGAGAAGGCCCUCGAUGGCUCCUGGAUUAGGAGAGUUGAGCGAGCUCCAGCAUAGGCCCGGGGACAAGGAUAGAUGCAUCCCGGAGUAGAGGAGGAGGCUGAGAUCAAAGAGAUGGAGGAUGGGUUAGACCCAAGGAUUGAAAUAUCGAUAAAUAUGGAUAUAUCGGUACUUGGAUUUUACGGAUAUAUCGGAAAUAUCGGAGAAAUAUCAAUGGAUAUUUUUCAUCAAAUAUCGGUGAGACAAAAAUUAUCCAAAAUUGAUGGGAAUGCUUAGAAAAAUCCAAAGAAUGAUAAAAUAAGCAAGAAUAUACAUGUUAAAGUUAUUUUAUGAGUGUAAUUGACAUAAAUAUGGUAUAAAAAAAAUAUAUAUCGGUAAACAGUUUACGAUACUUGGAUUUUAAGAAAAGAAAAUAUGAAAUUUGGAAUUGUACACUUAAAAAGUUAGAAUUGAGUUAAGAAAUAUUUGAUUUUAUUAAAUGAAAAAAAUUUACACAUAAACAUAAUACAUAUGACAUUGCAAUGGUCCUUAAUACCAAAAUGAAGAUCGAUGUGGUUCCAUCAUAUUGUUAUUGUUAGAUGAAGGGAGCCCAUCUUGUUGAAGACAAUAUUCAUACCAGGACAUGGAGUUUCGAUAGUAUUGAUUGUAUGUACUAACAUGCCAUGCAUAAAUUUCUUGAGUCCUACCGACAACCUGUCCAUGGAUGGGAAAUCCAGGGUUUUCCCAUGUGCUCGUUUGAAAUCCUUGUUGUUGCAGCUGAUGUAGAAGGUAGUAUGGAAUUUGUGUGGAAGAAUGAUAGUUAUACCUUUCAUACUCUUCAUCAGUGGAACUUGAAAGAUUUUGAGGAGGCUGACCAUAACUCAUUGCAUAAGGGGCAUAAAUGUUGGCUUCAUUUGAUGAAUCACUUAAUUGAGUCUCUACACUCAUCGACUCAAAACUGGCCGACAAUGAGUCCUCGUUGUAUGGCAUCAUCCUUCGUUGUCUUCCUCUAUAUGGCUUUCCAAUGGCUCCAACACCUGGACCGGCUCUUCUAGAGCCGUGGUCUUCAUCUUGAGUACAAUGUGUGAAAUCAUCUUCACUAAUAAAUGCCAAUGGUUGUCCACUUUGUUGAUGUUGUCUAACAUCCCCUUCAUCAUUUUCAGGGUCGCUACCAUCAUUGGUCCCCUCUCCUCUUGAAUCAUCAUAACCGGAAGCGGAAGUACCAGUAGCACUAGGUCUACUACUAUGUUCAACACUCGUGGGGUCAAAAGAAGGUCGAGAAGUGACUACCAGCUGAGAAAUUCCUUGUCGAAAUGAAUCUUUCGUGUCUUGGUUGAAACUAUCAAUAUGAACUUCUUCGGAUAACACUUGAUCAACAUCAACACCUGCUUCUCGGACAUGUGCGGCAAUUCGUGGGUCGAGAUUUCCAUCUUCAUCAUCUAAAUGAAGAGGUCUAACCCAUUGAAACAAUUGGUUAUCUUCUUCUUCACCAGCCUCAGUUGCAAUAUCAAGUAAAUCAAGGUAAUCUUUCUCUGAAACUUUGUCAUGUUCUGCUUCCAUGUCACGUAUCUUUAGUUUCAUGUUAUAAUAAUAGAAAACUAAUUGUUAGAGCAUCGGGUAAGCAAGCUGAUUUCUUUGUUUUGUAUGAAUUAUGGAAAACAUGCUCCAAUUUCUCUCACAAGCUGAAGAUGAUGCAGUUUGCGAUAAAACCUUGAUGACCAACCUUCUUAAUGUAGGAGUGUGAUUUCCAUACAUGAACCACCAUUCAACUACAACCAAAUAAAUGAUAUCAAUACUUAUAUUGGAAAGCUAUAAUAAUAUGCUAAUGAAAUGAAUUAUUAAUUCACAAAUAAUACUCACCGAGAACCAUUUCUAACCUCGAAGCAAUCACUGUUUGAUCACCGAAUCCUCUUUUUGCAUCUCGGAAUAGUAUAAUCUACAUAUUAAAUAAUUGAAAGUGAAAAAGUUGAGUAAAUGAAAUUAAAUUAUUUAAUUUAUAUUAUAACUCUAAUAAUUUACCUCAUUUCCAAAUUGACUAAAACCUUCUGAUGUAGGAUCUAAUUUCGCAAAGACUUCAUGGACAACUUGAAGUAGAUCAGGAUCAGUACCAACUCCAUGUUUAUAUUGAAAUCUUGGAUUAAGAAAGAAUGCUACAAUAGUAAAAUAGAAAUGUAAAAUUAGAAUGUUAUGAAAGAAACAUAUUAAAUACCAAUAAAUUUCAAAGAUGAAUAAUACUUACCUGCUGCAUGAAAAGGAUGUUUAAAAGUUCUAUCCCAACGAUAUGCAAUUAUUUCUAACACCCAUUCUUUAGCAUUAAGUCGAAUAAGGUUCUCUUUCAUAACUCGAAUCAAUUCGUACACAAAUGGCAUUGUAGGAACAACUUCUGAAUCGACAAUGCGAAGAACUGUGUAUAGCGCCUCAUAUAUUGACACUAGCUUUCCCACUCUUUCCUAGUAUGCAUGGUCAAACAUAAGUGAUUCAACUUCUUUGCCGAUUAAUGUGCAACUUAAGUUGUGUUGUGCCCAUUCAUCACUGAUAAAUAUUUUCUUCAAGUUUAUUUUCUUUUUCAAAAGACUGUCGAAGGCUAUAUAAUUGGUUGCAAAUCUUGUUGCUCCAGGACGAACUAUGUCUCCACCACACACCUUCCGCAUCUGGGUAAGCAACCAACCAUGGUUAUAAAUGAAGUUGGUUAUCUUUCGAGCCUUUGUAAUCACAUCUGCAACACUCGUCCUUUUACCGAUAUCUUCGAACAUUAAGUCGAUGCAAUGUGCUGCACAUGGAGUCCAAUAAAGAUUGUAUUUCUUCAUUAACAACUUCCCCGCCUUCAUGAAUGCCGACCCAUUAUCUGUAACUAUUUGGACCACAUUUUGUUUGCCAAAUUCCUUGAUCACAUCCUUCAACAAACCAUAUAUGUAUUUGUUGUCCUUUAUAUUAUUUGAUACAUCAACAUAUUUGAGGAAGAUUGUGCUACCUUUUGAAUAUACCAUGAAAUUAAUUAUGCUUAAUUUCGUGGGCCCAGUCCAUCCGUCAGACAUAAUCGUGCAUCCAUAAGUCUUCCACUUUUCUCUUUGAAUAUUGACAUAAGCUUCUAUGUCUUUGUACUCCAUAUCCAAAUACUCGUGUUUGAUUUCAUAAGGAGACGGUGGUUUUAUACCCAUACCUACCAUCCAUAUAUAAUUAAAGCAUAUAAGAACAUUUGUGGCAAUCAUACUAUAUAAAUAGUAAUGAUAUUGUUAAAAUGAAUACAACUUUUAAAAUUAUAGUAAUUACCUGCUUGUUGUGCACCAACAAUCAUGUUCUUGAAGUGGUGAGAGUCUGUUUUACUGGGCGGAACACUCUCAUAUAUGAAGAACUUACUGAUCAAACGUCCCAUGGUUUCCUUGAUGGCACCACCUUUGAAAAUAUUUUUCAUAUUUUUAUGUCUUGCUACUGAAGAUUUGUACAAUGAGGGUGCAUCAGGCAGUGAUGGAUCUAAAUAUCGAACACUUUGCGAUUUUCGCAUUUGCCUUGUUGUUGGAUUGGUUGGAUGUGAAGACUUGCCUAUUAUAAUUAUUAAAAUUAAACAUAUAUGCUAAUUUAAUAUUAUUGAUAAAGUUGAUAAGAAAUAGUAAUAAUUCAAAUUAAUAUUAUACCUGUUUUUAUUUUGUCUUUUAUAAAAUGUUCUUCUUAUUGUCGAUUCCAUUCAGCAGCUUUUGAUGCUCGAACCGCCUCUCUAUAAGCAUGUCGCUCACCAAGGUGCAUGUCAGCCAGAUACAUAUACACAUCAUCAUCUCCAUCAUCAUCAUCACCACCAAGGUUCUCCUCAUCGUCCUCAUCAGUUACAUGCUUAUGUCUUAUUCCCAUUGUGUCUCGCAGUUCAGAUCGAAUCUCUUCUAUAUCUGUAGCUUUCUUCGCUUUUGCCUUAUUUUUUUGCUCUAGAAGUCGUCUUAUUUAUUGUUUCACUUCUGGAGGCAUGUUAGGACACUUUUUUGUAUUUGAAUUAGGGUCUGUAUGUGAUAGGUGAAAUUUAAAACGAGUAAUCCCACCACUCUUUAUUGCCAACCCACAGUAAUUGCAUACUGUUCCAUUUUUGUCCCCUUCCAUAGGUGUACAAUAUUUCCAACAAGGAUCUCGACCCAUGAUACCGCUUUCACUAGCCAUUUUCUAAAAUUGAAUUAUGAAACUAAUAUCAAAUUUAAAAUUAUUAAAGAUAAAACAUGUAAGAAAUUUAAUAUUCAUGAAAUUGAUAAGAACUAAUAAAAAUUGAAAUUAAAAUUAAAUUAUGCAUAUAUGAAAUAGAUAAACAUUACAAUAAAAUUUCAAUAUGAAUUAAAUUUAAAUUAAAUUAAAUUAAAUUUGUAUAUUCAUGAAAUUGAUAAGAAUCAUUACUAAUAAAAAUUAAAAUUAAAAUUGAAUUAUGCAUAUAUGAAAUAGAUAAACAUUACAAUAAAAUUUCAAUAUGAAUUAAAUUAAAUUAAAUUUGCAUAUUCAUGAAAUUGAUAAGAAUCAUUACUAAUAAAAAUUAAAAUUAAAAUUGAAUUAUGCAUAUAUUAAAUAGAUAAACAUUACAAUAAAAUUUCAAUAUGAAUUAAAUUUAAAUUAAAUUAAAUUAAAUUAAAUUUGCAUAUUCAUGAAAUUGAUAAGAAUCAUUACUAAUAAAAAUUAAAAUUAAAAUUGAAUUAUGCAUAUAUGAAAUAGAUAGACAUUACAAUAAAAUUUUGAUAAGAAUUAAAUUAAAUUAAAUUUGCAUAUUCAUGAAAUUGAUAAGAAUCAUUACUAAUAAAAAUUAAAAUUGAAUUAUGCAUAUAUGAAAUAGAUAAACAUUACAAUUACAUUUCCAUAUGAAUUAGAUAAUAUCAAUUAAACUAUUGUAGACCCCCCUCUUUUGGUCUCGUUUCUUUUUUUUUCCUCUACAUAUAUUAUGUUUGUUUUAGCCAUUGCGGAAGCACCUGGAAGAGGUGUUAGUGCCUUGAACAAGUGGGGGGACCUGGCUGUUUGGAGAGAUGAGCUGCGUGGAACACGUGGUGGAGCAGUUGGCCACAGCCAUGGUGGUGGUUGGGGCUCCAGUUUGCUGAGCAGAGGAACAGUAUAGUAGCUGAUGGCUUGCAGGAAAAGCUUUGACGGAGAAGGAGGACAGAGGAUUUUUAAGAGGAUCCUUUUGAGAGUGCUGGCAGGGGGGGAUCUUGGAGGGAAAGGGAAGAGGAGAAGUAAGUUUUGAGGAGAAAGGGGCUUUCAGGUAUGGCCAUUUAUGAUUUUUCCCGAAUAUUCUGAUCUUUCAUAUCUUUCCCAUCUUACUCUCCAUGAUUCCAGUUUUGCUUGAUGAGUUGUUUUGUUUUGAUGAUUGUUGGUUUAACAUUAAAAAAGAUGGCUGUUUUUUUUGUGUUUUACCCGUGCAAACCUCUUCCAACUUAACCCUUUGAUCGUUAAGCUCAUGGAUGAAAGAAUGAAACGAAGUUAGCACAUUCAUCAAAAGGUUCCCUGCUAUGUUUCUCCAUUUGUUCCCUUUGCUUGAGUAUGUGAGUAUUGAUGCUAAUAGUAGCAAGGUCCCAGCCAACUUUGUACAAUAGAGCUCAGAUGUUGCUCUAGGGGUUCAUGAUCAUCCUGUCAAGUGCCUAGGAGCAAAUGAUGCCCUUGAGCUUACGUUUCUAAGUCGUGUUCUCCCUACCAAGCUGGAUACCCUCCUUGCUAAGGACGGGGGGACGAAACCUAUUAACAGCCGAAACCCAAUGAUAAGAUCCAAGUCACUGUCGAGUAUCUCAAUGAGAAGGAUGCCAUGGUUCUUUCUUCGUGUACAUGUUGUUCCCAUCUCCACCCAAGUUGACUAAACUGUCAUCAGUGAUGAGAUUGCUGCCUACACUAAAUAAUACAUCAUCCAGCCGGUUAUUCAUGAGAAACAUUAAGAUGAGAAGUCCACCUUCCAACACCCAUUAAGCCACUCUUCACACCCAUCUUCUCUCAUUAACAUCCUCAUACCCCUCCCACCACUUCGUGAUUCAUAUCCCCAUCAUCCCCAGCCGUCCAUGCUAUCAAUAAUAUCCCCACUUAUCUUCAUACCCAUUUGUUCCACUAUUCGGAAUCCCCAUGCAUGCGAAACUGGACGCGGAAGCCAUGAUAGCAGAGAUUGUGAUGAAGAACGUGGAAUGCGGUACCCUGUUGCAUGAAGUGAGCAUGGUGGAGCGGCGGUUUGAGGAGUCGACGAGGAAGAUAGAGCUGUAGAAGAGCUUGCUGGAGGUGUUGGAGUUGGAGAGGACGAUAUUGCUGAAUGAUAACGUGCGGCUGGGGCGCGAGAUGAGUGCGCUGAUUGAGGAGAACAAGGGGCUGUGGAGGUCCCGGCUCCUGCUCCGACGCUGGAGGCGCUGAGUCCUCCAGCACCGCCGGCCGAAGCUCCUAGGCCACAGCUAGAUGCGAUCCCAUCCAUCUCCAUCUCUGCCAGGUGAGAGUAGGGCAGAGAAGAUCACGUGCGUGAGGUAGAGGGUAGAAAUGGAUAAAGGGCAUAGAAAAUGGGCUACAGCAAUGCAUGGAAUUGUUUGAUAAAAGAAAAGAGAAAUGGGUUUGUUGACACGUGAAAGAACUAUGCACUUUAAAAAAACUCUCCCUGUUUGUUUUACAUAUUCUCAAACAAUGCUUAAAAAUCCCUUAAAAUUUUAAAGUUAAAAAUUUAUUCACUUAUUCAUGUUUUUCUAUUCACUUCAAAUUCUCGAAACUCAAUCCUAAAAUUUAAUUUCUUCAAAGUUCAAUCUCCAAAAUAACUUUUUUUUUAGGUUCUAAUUUUAACUUUAAUUCUCCAAAGAUCCAAAAUUUUAAAUUUAACUUUCCAAAAAUCCCACAAUUCCGAAUUUAAUUUUAGGUCUUGUAAAUUAGUAUUAUUAUCCCAUAUUUAUUUAUUUAAAGUCCAAUCCUUCAAAAAUCUCAUUAUUAUUAUUAUUAUUACUUCAACUUUCGAAAUCAAUUUAUUCUUAUUAUUAUUAUCAUUAAUCCAAACUUUCAAAAUCCUAUUAUUAUUAUUAUUAACCCAACUCUCAAAAUAUUAUUAUUAUUAUUAUUAUUAUUAUCAUUAAUUCAGACUUUCGAAAUCUUAUUAUCAUUAUUAUUAAUUCAACUUGCAAAACCUUAUUAUUAUUAUUAUCAUUUCAAAACCUUAUCAUUAUUAUUAUUAUUAUGAUUAUCAUUAUUAUUAAUUUAACUUUUAAAAUAUUAUUAUUACUGUUUUUAUUAAUUCAACUUUUAAAAUCUUAUUAUUAUUAUUAUUACUAAUUCAAUUUUCAAAAUCUUAUUAUUGUUAUUAUUAUUAUUAUUGUUAAUUCAACUUUCAAAAUCUUAUUAUUAUUAUUAUUAUUAUCAUUAUUAACCUAUUAUCAUUAUUAUUAUUAUUAUUACUAUUACUAUUAUUAUUAUUAUUAUCAUUAUUAUUAAUUCAAUUCCCCAAAUCUUAUUAUUAUUAUUAUUAUUAAUUCAACUGUCAAAAUCUAUAUUCCCGUAGUUUAAUUUCUCAAAGUUCAUUUCUUAUCAUUACUGUUAUUAUUAAUUCAAUUUUCAAAAUCUAUAUUCUCGCAGUUUAAUUUCUCAAAGUUCAUUUCUUAUCAUUACUAUUAUUAUUAAUUCAGCUUUCAAAAUCCAUAUUCUCGCAGAUCAAUUUCCUAAAGUUCAUCUCUCAUUUUCUUUGACGAAUUUCAAUUUAAUUACCGAAGCUCUAAUCUUUCAAAGUUAAUUCCAAAUACUUCAAUUUUCAAAUAAAGUCUAAUAAUCCAGUUUUCACUCGAAUGGUUUUAAUCCCAUUUCAGUCCCUAAAUAAUCUUCUGGUAUUCUUGAUUUUAUAUAAGCAAUAGUGAAUUCUUCAUAAUUCUAAAACACGGAAUUUGUGAGACUGGUUCAUGAAUAAUAAAUUGGGUUUUGGUGGGAGGCACUAUGUUUGAUCCCUAUUGAUUGUCAACUGUUGUGCUUAAUGUAUUUUUGCUUGAUCUUCAUUUUGCACCCUGAUAUGCAUGAGUUAUAAUUUGUAUUCAUUAAUUAUGCACUAAUCCUGUUUCUUGAUAGCAAAUUGCUGUUUGCUACCCAGGUACGCAUUCACUCAUUCUGAUCAUUCACUAUACGUAUUCUGAUUCUCAUAUAUGCAUGAUUAAUGUGAGUAUCCAUUGACUUUCUUAUUCGAUUGCCACGUCAGUUUCACUUUAUUAGUAGAGACCCGACUUUAGGGACUUUGAGGGGUGCUAUGGUCUCUACCGUACCUUCCCGAUAAGUAACCUGACCCUCGAACCCGAUCCGGUUUUUCACAGACCACCUUUUCCAAAACAAGGAGUCGCACUUAGGGUUUUUCUUUCUUAUUUUGUUUACCCUUUAAAAAUAAAACAAAAAUAAGUGGCGACUCCAAGUCAUUUUCAAAUAAUCAAUAAAAAUCAAGUUUUCAAAUAAAAAUCGAGUUCGUCAUCGAGUGGGAAACGCAUUGAGCCGAAAUGCGGGGUCCACAACUAUAUAUAACAAAUAAAAUUGAAUUAUGCAUAAUAAAAUAAAUUUUAUGAAAGGUAAGACAUACCUUAAUUAGCUUUGACUUGGAGUUAAUCCCUUUCACCAACAAAUUUUCAAAAUAAAAAAAUUUUGCUAGAUCAUAUAAGAAUUUUGAUGUAUGAAAUGGAAUGGAAUGUGGGUAUUUAUAGGAAUUUUUUGGUCAAACUACUCGUUGGAUGGUCAAAUAGCCGUUAUAAAUUAAUUUUAACCGUUGGAUCAAAAUUUGGUUCAAAUUUCACCAUUAGAUCUUCAUAUAACCGUUGGAAACACUCCAUAGCCCUUGGAUAAAGUGAAGAUUGAUUUUCCACCAUUGGAUCACAAAUCUGACCAUUGGAGGCCUUUAUAAACACACGGGUGAAAUUUGGGCCAUCAGAUCCUCAAAAAUUCAAAUUUGGCCGUCAGAUCAAAAUCCUUGAAGCUGUAAAAAAAUCACCGAUUAAUCGCGAUUUUCUCGGCAAAAAAUCGUUGAUAUAUCGGUAAAAUAGCUGAUUUUUUGGGCUCCUCCUCCGGCUUCUUCGUGCGUGCCUCUACUCGCGAUUUUUCGUCGAUUUAUCGGUGAAGCACCGAUAUUUGGCCGAUAUAUCGGCGAUUUUGCCGAUUUUUCCGUCGAUUGAUAAUCGGUGACGAUUAUUAUUUCGGUGCCGCCCAAUAUCCGAUAUUUCUCCGAAAUAUCGAUGAUAUAUCCCGAUUUUUCAAUCCCUAGUUAGACCCUUAGAGGGAUUUUAAGUAGAGAGGGCCCGAGCUUGACAUUUCUCCUCCACCUCAUUCAGAUGGUAUUCAUGUUGAGACCACUUUCUUAGAGCCUAUGAUGAUUGAGUCGUCUUACACUACAGGAGCAUCAUCUCAGCCAUCAUUCACCGAGCUUCCUCACACAGAGAUACCAUCUCAGGCACCUCACGCUUCUGAUCAUGCCCCUUGGAUGGAUGUAUCAGCUCAUAUCAGCUUCCUUGGGACUCCUAUGGAGGAGCUUGCUUUAGUCAAUGAUACUCGAUUCUACUCUAUGGAGGAUCACAUAGAUCAGUAUCAGACUGGCUUCACUUCUCGUUUUGAGCACUUCCAGCAGAGAUUUGAGCGUAUAGAGGAGCGUAUGGAUCAACAGCAGGCUACAGUUGAGCAUCUCCAGCAAAGUAUUGAGCGCAUUGAGAGUCGCCAGGCGAGUUAGCAUGAGGAGAUGAUGGCUUACCUCCGCUCCGUGUUUCCAUCUUCACCCCCUCAGCCUUGAGUUUAUCUAGAGUUCCCCCUCAAUUUCUUUUUUAUGUUGCUAAAGGGGGAAAAAUAUCUAGGAUCUAGGAAACCCUCAUGCAUAUCAUUGUCAUAUCUAUCUUGAUUAGCAUAUAUGUUAUGUUUUCGUGUACAUGUGAGGUUACCAUAUAUAUGAUAUGCUAUUUUCAUGAUCCAUUGUUUCCUAUUCAAUUUUUCAUGCUUUACAUUGUUUCCUAUUGAAAAUUGAUUGAUUGAUCCAUGAUUGGUUUGAGGGGGAGAUUUUUUUUCUCUCCUAGAUAACCAAGGUUGGUCAUCAUAAAAAAUGGGGAGAUUGUUAGCCUAAGGGCUCUCCUAAUCGGGUUUUGAUGAUAACAAACCAUGGUUAAAUGACUAAUUGGUUUAAUGGUUAAGAAUCUCAGGCAUAAACUCGAAAAUUCAUCAAAUGACCAAAUGGAUACAAGAUCGAGACAUUUGGAAGACUUGUGAUCAUAGGAAACUAAUGUAAGAUAAAUACAUGAGUGCACUUAGGAUUUUCAUACCGUUUCAUGCAAUUUAGAAAACUCGGUUUAUUUUUUAAAACUUCGAUUUCAUUAAAACCCGAGUUUUAACAAAUGUACCUUAGGCAAAAUGUUUUAAAAUUGGCAUAAUAAUUCACCUAAAAACCUUGCCUAAGUGUUAGAAAAAAAAUGAAUUCAAAAAGAUAGGUUUUUAGGGCCAAAAGGCUCAACCGGUUGGAGAACCAGUCGACCAAUUGCCCUUCUCCGGUCGAGGAAUGCACAAAAUUUUCUCUCUCACAGUAGCCUUCUCUUCCCAGUCGAGGUUAUUCUCUUCCCGAUUGAGAACUGGUCAAGGUCCGGUCGAUGACCGGUCGAGGCAACGGUAUCCUGUCAAGCAUUAAAUGCUCCAACGGCUAGUGAACCGGUUGACCCCUAGUUCGAUCGGUCGAGGUUACCUUUUGCUGUUUUUGGCUCCCGAGCUUAGAAACCUAUAAAUUGAGAGCUCCACUUCAUUUAUUGACGAGAGAACACUUGCAACUAAUUGUCUACCUACCUGUUCUUGAUCAAAAAGCUUUCAUUUCUUUCUUAGUGCAUUAAAUCUUCAAUUGCAUAUCCUUUAGUGCACUCUUGUGUGUCAUCCUAGCUUUGUCUUAUAUUUGAGCUAUCCUUAAGCUAGGUUGAGGGAUUCAUUCUUGUAAAAAUCGAGUGUUAAAGCCUUCAAGAGGUUUAAAUCUUGAAGAGAUUGUGUAAGAGCCCAUUGGAGCCGGAAUCCAAGUGUAAGAAGAUUGGAAGCUUGGUUGAAACUUUAAGUUAGUGGAACCCUCACUCAGUUAGGAGAUUGAGGAGAGUGGACGUAGGCAAGAAAGUGCCGAACCACUAUAAAAUCCGAGUUUGAAUUCUUUAACUCUAUUUCUUUAUUUUGCUUAUAUUUUGCUUGAACUCGUUGUGAUCGAAAAGAAUUUAAAAAAUCCAAUUCACCCCCUUCCCCUCCUUUUGGGUGUUUUUCUUAAUUAAGCAUAGCCUAUAUUUUCUCAUAAAUAAUCUCACAAAAUCCUAGUACAAACUUUAGCCUCAAAUUAUACAAGAUAAACUAGGAUUGAAUGGUGCACUAAUGAUAUGUAAGUUUUAAAACAAUGUGUACUAAAAAACACUCCCCUAAGGCUCAAUUAUAUUCAAGAAAGGUUUAAGAAGGUUAAACUCUUGAAACUAUAAAGAUUGAAGCGUUUUUAUAGAAGAGAAAAGCCAAACUACCUAUUGGGGGUUCGUCUGGUCGAGCUCUGGUUCGACCAGUUCACUAGCCAUUAGCAUUUAAUGUAUGAUAGGUGACCAUUGGGCCUUGACUGGUACUCAAUUGGAUGAAGUUCAACCUUGAUUGAUCGAAUAAGCAUUAUGGAAAAGAGAUAAGGUUUUUGCACCCUUCAACUGAGUAAGUUGAAUAAGUCGACUAAUUCCUCAUUCAAUUCAACCAAUUAAGUCAUUUUUUGCUAAAAAAACCAUCAUUUUCAACUUAAAACCUUUUAAACAAGUUUGGAAAGCAUUUGACAUAAGGUUUUAGUUGAAAACAUGAAAUCAUCCAAUUUUUAAAAGAUUUAAAACAAAAUAACUCUUGAAUGAUUUUAGUGUAUAAGUAAAGAAUGUAAUGCAUGAAAAACCCCAUGCACUAACAACCUUACAAAGAGAUCCUAUGAGGCUUAGGUCUUGAAAAAACACUUAUCUUUAAGGUUUUCUUCUUCUUAUUGAUUUUAUCUUUGUGAUUGCCACUUUGGAAAUCAUCUUGCCUAGUCACACUUAAAAUAUAAUCAUUAGUUCUAAACCUUGUUUUGUUAUCAUCAAAACUAAGAUUAACCAAACCUUGGUUUCACAGUAUGAAUAUUGUAUCUUUAGAUCUAUAGUUAAUAGUGGUUUUUAUAGUCAUAUGUUUCUAUUGUGAUAAAUUUAGAGAUGCCUAGGGAUAGAUGAAUGCACCCUAUGAGAUCUAGUGCAUAUGAAUGGAGUAAUCUGGGGUUCCUAACAUAGUUUAGGCUUGUGCUUCAUAGAGCGAUAACAAUUCUUCAAGCAUAGUUAUGCUUUAGAAAUUUGUUAUUGAUUGGUCCAAUUUUUAGACCAUCUUUAGCAACAAUCUUGUGGGCACCAUUGAUAUAAACUUGUUAUACAAAAUAUGAUCUAUCACAUUUUUGGCAAGAACUUUCCACUAGUUUUGUGCAUGGUAAUGAUCAUGCAUGCAAACUUAACUAAGUUAUACACUAGAUGCCAAACUACUACAAUUCUUAUACACCUUCCCAUUUUGUGCAACCGAACAAUUCAACAUCAUAACACCAAAGUUCUUGCUUAGAUUUCCUACAGUGCUAAAAUUUUGAAAUGAUUAAUUUUUUUAUUUUCCUUUCAAUACCAAGACCCACAUACAUCAUGUCAUGCCCUAAGACCCACUCUAAGGGCAUGACAAUCAUUUCACAUCUCAAGGUAGAAAGCUCAAAGUGUAAAUUGACCUUAACAUUCAUUUUGUAACUGGAAAAUUAUCAAUUACCAAAUUCAUAUUCAAAGUAGUAGAAUAAAAUUCUAUAAGUUUCAAAUCUCAACUUUAAAGCUAACACAUCAACUAAAGUGUUAUUGUCCAAACAACUUCAAACUUAACAAUUCAAGCAAUCAUUAAAUUCUAGCUUUCAAAAAAAUAAAGUUUUAACCAAAAGUCUUAAUAUUGCCAAAAUAUCAUCCUAACGAUCACUCCUAGCCCGAAUUAAGGUGCCUAAAAAAUUGUCAAUGAAAGGAAAUGAGAUCAACGCUCAAUAAGGAAUAUUAACAAAGUUUCAUGGAUCAAACAUUUUUAAUUAUAAUUCCAAAUAGGAGAUAUAAUAUAUAAUCAUUUUCAUAAAAACUUUUGAGUUUAAAUAUAAUAAUACAUUCAAAAAUUUUUAGCUAAACAUUUUCAUAUCUAUGUCAAAACAAUUUCAUAUCAAAUUCAAAUCAAAUAUAUACAAAAUAUUUUUAUUUUGGUUAUCAAAUAUCACAUGGUGUCAAGUUAGGUGGGACUUUACAAAUUGGUGUCUAGCCUCAAAUUUUUUCAUUUCAAGGUGGAUGAAACCAAACACUACUAGUAUUAUUAACAUCUAACCAAAUGCCUAAAGGGUGGAAUCUAAAGCAAUUACAUGCCCCGCCAAGAAAUAUAAGGUCAACAAUUAUAACUAGUUAACUAAGGACAAAAAUAAACUAGAGUCAAACACCUUAUUUCAUUAAUUCAAACUUACAAAACAAAAACAUCAUAUCUCCAUAAUUUUCAUUUUUUAUAAACAAAAGAAAUGUUCUAACAUAUUUUUUUCAUGAAAAAUAUAUAUUUGAUCCAUGCAUAAAAAUAAAAAUAAUUUUUUUUAUUAUUCAAAAUAACAUAUAAAAGUAAAUAUGUUCUUUUGGCCAAAACAUGUAUUAAUUUUUCUUACCUCAAAGAAACACUCAAAGACCUUGAAGCAAUUAAUCCUGAAGAAUUUCACCCCAAAAAACAUAUUUCAUACCUUACAAAAAAAAAACAAAAAAACAAAAUUACUAUUGAUUAUUUAUCUAAUAAUAGUUUCGUAUCUCAUAUCACCUAUAUUAUUUUUAACUUCCUAAUAAAUAACAAUUUAAUAAGUGAUUUUCCAAAUUUUAAAAAGUUAUGUUCUUUCCAAAAUUUAUUCAUAAUAUUCUAUUAUUAUUAAUUAAAUCUCUCAAAAAUAUGUUUUUUCUAUUUAUUGCAUUAAACUAUUAUUAUUAUUAUUCAAUUUCAAUUUGAUUAAUUGGUUUUUUCUUUUAAAUUUUUAAUUUAUAUAAGAUUCUUGUUUUGAAAAUCUUCCAUAUUUACUUAUUUGUUUAAAGUAAAUUUCUCCAAAACUUGUUCCUUUUUGUUAAACAAAUAUCUUUUCCUAUUAUUAUUAUUAUUAUUAUCCCUAAUAUUAUAUUCAAAUAACUAAACAAUAAUAAUUUAAAUUAGUGAGUUUCCAAAUUUUUAUAAAACUCAUAUUCAUUCUAAAUCUUAUCAUAUAUAUCUAUUUCUUUUAUAUAAUUAAAUUAAAUUAAAAAUUUUACUUAAAUAUAUAUAUAUAUAUAUAUAUAUAUAUAUAUAUAUAUAUAUAUUAUAUUAUAUUAUUACUUUCAACAUCCUUCUACCACCGAAACAAUUACCUCAAGUAAAAGUCAUCUAUCCUUAUUCUACUAACUACCCUCUCUCUUGCAAUAGCACACUUAGGGAUGGCAAUGGGGCGGGUUCAGGAUAGGUCACCCCCAUCCCAACUCCACCUUGUUUAUUCAAAAUAAUUAUCAUCCUCGUCCCAUUUAAAAAAUUAAAUGAGACGGGGCGAGUAUGAUAAAUUCUCAUACUCGCCUCGUCCUGCCCCGUUUAACUUUUUUUUGAAUUUAUUUAUUUAUUUAUUUUUAAAAUUACUUUUAAAAUUUUUAAUUACAUUAAAAUAAAUAUAUUUUAUAAAUAAUUAAAUAAUUAUAUUUUUUAUUACUUAUUUUAUUAAAAAUAUUUUAUUAUUAUCUAUAUAUUAAAAAUAGUAAAAUAAAAAUUAAAUUAAAUUAAUUUUAAAAAUUAAUUUUAUAUAUAAUUGGGGCGGGGUGGGACGGGGCAAUACCCAAACCUGCUUCGGGUUUUAAAAAAAAUUCUCAAACUUGUCCCAAACCCGUUUAUUAAAAUUGAACUCCGUCCCAUUAGGGACGAGGCGAGUACCUCGAAAAAACCUGCCUUAUUGUCAUUCCUAAGCACACUUUCAUUUUUUUUUUUUCAUUUUUAUUGCUUUUAUCUUUUUCCUCCCUAAGAUCAAUCAUAUUGUAAGCACCCCUUUUUUUUUUCUACCACAUCUUGUUGCAAUCAACCUUGUAAGUUUUUUUAAUUUAAAUUUUUUUUCCACUAUGGAGGCACGUACAACCAUAAAACCCCAUCUUUUUUUAUUUUAUUUUUACAACUCUCAAAUCUCUCAACCUCCAUACUAUUAGGUUUUAUUCAUUCAUUUAUUUAUUUAUUAUUCCAUAUCCAAAACUAUAAUUAAUUUUCUUUUAUAUUUUUUUAUUUUAGAUCUAUUAAUUUGAAUAUUCAAAAUUUCUAAUCUUUACUAAUAACUCUAAAGCAUUCAAAACUAAUUAAUAAAUAUAAAAUAUUAAUCUAAGGAUUAAAAUCUUAUAUAGAAAAUUGAUCUUCAAAUCUUAAACCCCCAAAUUUUCAACCUUACAUUGCGUUGUCUAAUAUCUCAAAUCUCCAUGUAAAAGGGCUUUUGAAUAGAGUAAAUAAGAAAAAUUUAAUUUAUACCUAAAAUUUUUAAAAUAGAGAAAAAUCUUUCUACCCUUAUUAAUUUAAUUUAAUUAAUUUUUUAAAAUUAUGUUUUUACCCUUUAAUUGGGUUUGGGCAUCACACAUCAUACUAAAAAGUUAUCAAUAACCGUCCUUUGAGGCAUAUUAGCAUAAAUUUGCAACUUUAGUUGUGUUCUAGGUGCAAUUCUAUUAUGUUUAAUUGAAAAAUAACACACAUAGCACAACCAAGCCUAAUUGAAAGCAUUUGGGCAAAUAAAUGGUAAAUUUCUAAAAGUUCACCAAAACAAAAAAAAAGAUCAUAGAGGGCAUAUUUUUCAAGUCAACCUAGUUUUGGGAUAGCCACUUUCAAGCCUAAUGAUGUUAAGAUGUCUUAUUGCAAUCCAAUCUAAGAAUGCAAUAAUAGCUCUUUAAUUCAUAAUUUUAAAUUCACAAAAGAUAUCACCAAAAAUUACCAUAGGUUACCAAAGCAUCAACAACAUACAGAAAGCUUAGAAAUGCUUGGAACCUAUCGGAUUUUCACUUUUUAGGAAUAAAAAAAAAAAUCAACUUUAAGGAUUUUAGGGUAAUACUUGCUUGAACCAUCUUUCAAUCCUUUUGUUGGUGGUGGGCCUUUUACCUAUAGGAACAGGAAUAAGAGGUGAAAAUGAGGGAGCCUUAUGAAAACAGAUCCCUAGGGCUUAAGAAGGGGUUUUCAAUUUUAGGGUUUGCCUUUUCACCAAGGAUGUGAAUGGGAAGAUCAAGUGAAGUUAAGAGAUUGGUGAAGCAAAGUGAGGGCAUGGUAGGGUUUGAAUAAGGGAAAUUCUACACUAUUAAUGAAGAUGAUAAUCUCGAGAAAGCAAAGCUAAGGUAAACUAGGGUUUUAAUAACAUUUUUCAAUCUACACUAGUGAAGACGAUAUCUUCGAAAACCAAAGCUAGGGUAAGCUAGGGCUUUAAUAAUGAAUUUCAAUCUACAAUGGUGAAGAUGAGAAUCUUCGAAAACCAAAUCUAUAAUGGUGAAGAUGAUUGAAAACUAAAUCUAUACUGGUGAAGACGAUUGUAAAGCAAAUCUACACUAGUGAAGAUGAUAAUCUUCGAAAACCAAAUCUAUAAUGGUGAAGAUGAUUGAAAACUAAAUCUAUACUGAUGAAGAUGAUUAGAAAGCAAAUAUUCACUGGUGAAGACAACGAAACCAAAGGUAGGUCUUCUAAACUAAACCCUUUUAGGGAUUUUCCAUUUUUUUUCCUUUGUUUUCAAGAAAGGUAAACUCUCUUGAAAACCAAAAAACUAAUGCAUUCUUAAAUCCAGAUCACCAUUUUCAACAUAGUAUUUGGAUUUCCACCUUGCAUUUUUUAUUUUUUAUUUUUUUUAAUAGUCAAGGGCAUUUUAGGGAUUAUUGAAGGAUAAUAUCAAUAAGCUCAAUUUCCUACAUUAGUUAGGUCUUAGGCUCAAAUGUGAAACUUAUAGGGAUGUUAGGCCAAUUAUCAAACUUACUUGCCUAAAGCAUAAUUUCCCCUUUUCAAAAUAGUUGUUAAACAUCAAUCCCAAACAUGUGUAACCCUUUGAAGUACUUGUAUGUCAACCUUGUUUCCUUUCCCUCAUGCAACAUGACUUAUUGAUGGUUGCAUUGAAUCAUUAUCAUUCACCAAAUCCAUGCAACUAUGGACUACCUUUCAAAUCCCUUGAACAUAAAUGGUAAUUCCAAAACAACUCAAGUAUAAUCUUUCCGGCCUUUCAAAUGAUUUAAUUAAUUGAUGUUUGAAUAUACUUCAUAUAUUUUUUUAGAGCAAUUUUUAGGCAUAUGACAUAAAUCUCUAAUUUUUUUUAUUUUUAUAAAAGGUUUUAUAUUUUAUAUUACAAUUUCCUCUCUUUUUUUUCAUCUAAAAAACAAAAUAUAAAACCUUAAUAAACGAGUUUUGUCACAAUCCCUUAAAAGGUAAUCUAUUUUUAAAAAUUACUUUAACCAUUUUAGAUAUAUUGAUUCAGUCUAAUUUAAUUUUAAUAUUUUUUAUAAAAUAUUUUUAUUUUAUAUGAUUAUAAAUUAAUUACCAUUGAUUGCAUAUUAUAGAAUAUAUAUUCUAAAAUAUAUCCUAUUGACAAUAAUAUCAUAAGAUAUUAUAUCCAUAUCCUAAUAUAUUAUAUACUUUUAUUUUGUGCAAUUAGCAACAGGGUGGAAGACGGCUUAGGCGGGAGACGGCUUAACGGAAAUGUCGUCUGCCAUGCGUGUCCCUUCCCUUAGUGAGUCUGAACAGCUCCAACAUUUCUGACACGCCCUUCUUCGGUUAGCUCUUAAGUAUUUUCGUUAACCCCAUCACAUUUCGCCAUGUGGAUCUAAGCCUCAUGGUCCUUUCGUUCGUACUAUGAAUAUAUUCCUUAUCUAGAGUCUGGAUCCUUUAUCUCUGCACGUGUCUAUGGCUCUUCACCCCAGCAAGUAUGGCAUUACAAGGGCAAUAUCGUCAUUAAAGACCCAAAAGGCAAACGAAUGGCAUUAUCUUCCUUUUGGGUCUAUUCUAUUUAUAUUUAUAUUGCAAGUUAUUCGUGAUGACUUCUCUCAUAACAGCUAAAAACCACUCCAACAGAGCACACUUCACUUCUUCGUUUUUGUCUUUCCUCUUUUUUUUCCAGAGAAGCUGAGAAAGCCCAGCUUGCCCUCAACUCCCCGAUGGGUUUGAUGAAUGUUCUCAAAUUCUCAGCUGCAUGCUUUGAUCUUCUUGGCUGGUAUGUUGUCCACGGAUUUUCUCGUCAUUGGAAAAUGAAGUGGAAUUCUAUGUUUGAGGACAAAACUGGGAUUUGCUUUGAUUUCUCCAUGUUGGUUUUAUCCCUUUCCUUUGAAUUGUCCACAUUCUUGUCAUUGGUUGUUAGUUAUUUGUUUGGAUUUCUACUUGCAGGCCUCUGUUUGCACUGGGUUAUCCUCUGUAAGUCUUGGUCUUACACCCCAAGAUAUGAUCAUUCAUUUACUCUUUUCUUGUUCUAUGAAUUCUUAGUUCUGUUACAUUUAUUGGGUUGGAUUAUUAGUUAUUAUAUUAAUAAUCAUCAACGUCAUCUCGGUUCUUCACAGAUGUGCUUCAAUUCGGGUAAUUGAGACUAACUCAAUCUCAGACGUUCGGAAGUUGGUGGCGUAUUGGGUUCUAUUUUCCUUGGUUUCACUCUUUGAUCAUACUUUUGCCAAGCUCCUUGAAUGGUAAUUUUGCUCAACUGCAUUCCACUAUAUGUGGCUCUAUUUCUUUCAUUUCUCUGCCCUUAAGGAAUUUGGAGUUGCUUUUUUCAGUUUUCUUCCCUGUGAAAAUAAUCGAGAUGUUUAAUGUUCCAGGCCUGCAUGCUCAAGGAAGUGGUGUCAGCUUUGGAAAUAAGAUGGAUCUACUAGUUUUUAUUUCUCAUCUUUAUAGGGAACUUUCCAUAAUCACAGUGAUGAAUAAUUGUCUUGUUUGAAAGCAUGGUUGCACUUAUUUCCAUGGAAUUUGUCUGCUGAGAAACAAAUGGAAAUAGAAAAUUCAGAAUCUGACAAGUUUGUGUAGGGCAACUGGAUCUAAUCUCUUAGUCGAAGCUUAAUUGGGGCAAAUGCUGAUCAUCUUUGGACCAUUGAAGGCUCUAAUCUGUGCACAAUUCUAAUGUUUUUGUUUUCUUCAUUUCUUUUUCAACUGUUCAUAAUAGAUGUCAAAAGAUAAAACCGAACUUAUGUAGUCCAUCCAAGUGGAUGCAUAUAAAUUUAACAGAAACUGAAAUUCGAAGAAAUUUAUUUAUUUUUUUAAAUAUUUUAUUUUCUUAUAUAAUGCAUGUCAGGAUACCAUUCUGGCCUUACAUAAAGCUGAUGGUCAUCUGCUGGAUGGUGAUACCGCAUUUUGAUGGUUCAUAUUAUGUCUAUCAACACCUAGUUCAUCCAUGCUUGUCCAUUGAUCCACAAGUUGUCAUGAAUUGGCUUUUCAAUGAAUCAAAAAAGAAGUUUCAUAGCAGAGAAAACUUUCUUGUUUCAGCAGACCAAUAUAUUAAGGAGAAUGGACCUGAAGCUUUGAAGAAACUACUUGCUAGGAAGGUAUGCCAUUAUAAGUAGGAUUAUCAACAAGUCAAACAGAGUUUUAUUUGAGAUGUUCAAGUAAAAAAUGACUAUAGCAGGUCAUCUAGAAUUAUGUGGUCUAAAUUCAUGUAUAUAUCUAUAUAUAAUUGUGUUCUCUUUUUUUCACAUAUGCAUGUGCAUUUAGAUUUACAUAAUUAUAUAUGCAUAAUCAGAUUCAACUGUGAUAGCCCGGGAUUUAAUUCAGUAAUCAACUCUUCUGGGAACAUGUUGGUUAUGGUUUCUCUCUCACUGUCCUCUUAUUUAUACAUGACUUUGGCUUCAGUUGAGGAGCACAAAGCCUAAUGUUGAAGUGAAAGAGAUCAAAGCACCUGCAGCACCGGAGAAAAAAGGGGAAGCGGUAUGCACUCUAAUGUGGCUAUUUUAUUUCUAUGGAGGCAGAUCCCCAGAAAAAUGUUGCUCAUGUAAAUUAGUGAUGCAUUUAAAAGAAAAACCACUUUAUGUAUGUUUCUGUGAAAAAGAGAACAAGUUUAUGGAUUAAGUGAUAUUUUUUAUGGUGAAAUAAUCAAUAAUUUUCAAAAUAAUAAUAUAUUCGUGCAUGUUUUUGCAAUUCAUGAAUUCCUUUUACGAUUGAUUCUUCUCACCUCAGUGGAAGUGUGAAGAGCCUAAUGUUGCAGAAAAGGAGAUCCAAGUAGUCAAAGUAACAGACAUAAAAAAUGGGGGGAUGGAGCAAAGAGGGUAAGUUUUCCUUUUUAUUUAUAAGGAAGGCUGUCUUCACACAAGGAUUAUUGUUAUUAUUUUUAAGACAUGAAUGUUGAAUGCAUUUGGAAUUGUCGUUGAAUCAUGUGAAGUGUGAAGGUGCAAAUGGUGCUAAGAAGGAGAUCAAAGUGAUGGAAGUAACACAGAUAACAUUUGGUGAUACAGAACAGUGGGUAAGGUUUCUUGUCAUACUUAAACGGCACCUCAUAUUUCACUAGGAUUAAUUUUGGCCUACAAACAUAUUUGGCUACAAGUUGAAGACAGAUUUCCAGAUACUGGUAGAAGUUGAGACAUAAGUAAUGAAUGAGUUUAGAAACAUGCACAACUCUUGUGUGAAACACAAUGAGAGUGGAAAAUAGCUAAGUUGAAAAAUGGCCAAAUACUAUUUUGUAGUUCCCCCCACCACUUAAGUAAUUUUUGUCAUCCUUUGUGAAUGGACAAUGCAGUCCCUUCAGUAAUUCCGCUAUAUUCAUGACUUGGUGAAGCAUAUAACCAUUAGUGUCUUGUCCUAAGUUGACCUUUAAUGAUGAUCCAUUGAGAGGGAUCUGACUUUUGUCAACCCUCUUAGAGGUUAAACAUACGGGGCUUAACCCACUUUUCAAUCUCAUUGGAUAUAUGGCACGUGGUAUCCUCUUCAUCUUGAAAGAGUGAAGUGGUCAUACUCUUUCCUCCGAGUCCAUCGUGGCCAUGCACUUCUGGCUCAUUGGGCUGAGUGAAAGGAUUCCCUUCUGCUUCAAAUCAUAGAGAGAUAUGCCAUGGUCAGCCUCUUUAAUUUGAAGGAUUGAAGUACUCAAAUCCAUUUCUUUGCAUCCAUCUUAGUCCUGCUUCCAUGUCUCAUGGUUAACCAGGAAGAUCAAGCUUCCAUCCAUGAGAUCAGCAUCUGCAGGGUUAUGACUCCACCCUUCCUUGGCAUAGGAAAGCGAUCAUUAAGCCACAUGUCGGAUGACAGAAGUCGUCAUUCAGGUUAUCUUGAGAACUAGGGAAGUUGGAAUUCUAAUUAUUGCAUAUGGUUCUUGAUGUUUAGCCAAUAUACUAUAGGAUUUUAAGCAUCAUGCCCAUGUGCAUUGUGGUUUUUUAUCAGCUAUAUGGUUUACCAAACUGAGGGAUUGAUUAUAGUCAUAAGUACCCUUUUCCCAUUAAUUUCUUGCAUGUGCUUUGCUGAGAUUAUGUUUUUGACAGUGCUAAUCAGGGCAAACCAACAAACAGCUUUAUGUUAACUUUUACAAACUGCCACAUUUUCAGGUUGAACGAUCAGACAUAAAUCUUGGUGAAACUAGAAGUAAUACAACCUGUGCUGUGGAGAUAAAAGAAAGGGCAGCAGCACUGGUGGCUGCAGAAAUUGAGGCAUGUAGAGACAAUAGAACCCCCGAGAUACCUCUGCAUAAGAAAGUCCAGAAAGAGUGGGCUUGUGCUGUAUGCCAGUUCACAACCCAAAGUGAAGUGACCUUCAAUUCCCACCUUCAAGGGAAGAGACAUCAGGCCACUUCUGAGCAGUUGAGAGCCAAAAACCAGGCAACCAAAACCAAUUGUUCCCCAUCUGCUUCAAAGGCCAAGAAAUCUGAUCAGUCCACCAAAGAGGAGCAACCAAAGUGUCCUUCCAACAAUCUGAAUUCCAAAAACAAUGGAAUCUCAGCUGCUUCAACAGUGAAGAAACCUGACGAGACCAAAGAUGAUGAGCAACAAAAGUGUGCAUCCAGCAAUGGACCAAACCAGAAGAAUAACAAAAAGCAAGAGGAGAAGGUGCUAGUUCUUGAGACCAAUGAGCAAGGCCAUCAGAAUAAUUUUGAUCCACGAUCCCACAUUUAUUUUGGGUCUCACAAGUUUCAAAUUUGCAGAAAAAUGAAAGAUGUUUGAGAGAAAAUUAAAUCAUAUUGCACUACUGUUAGGAAAAAUAUGGCUGAAUCCAAUUGCUUUUCUUCUCCAAGUCUAUUAAAAAUAUAAUUUUUUCUCCAUUCCUGACAAAAUUUAAAUUUUUUCCUUAAAAAAAAAAAAAUUAAGUUUGAUCACCUAACACAUCUUUCUAAACUCAAUCUCAACUUGAAAAAUCAAACCUUAAUGGAUGGACUAUAGAAAUAGUGAGAAAACACUUCUGGGGUUUUUUUUUUCUUCCAACAUCAAAUUUUUCUAUAUAUGGGAUUUCACAUGCAAAAGCAGGAGUAGAUUUGCUUGUGUUUGAUGUAUGUAUUAGAAAAAUUUGUCCCUUCUGGGAUGUUUAAUACUUUUCUAUUCUUUUAUAUGCAUGUUUAGCUAGAAGAUAUAGAAUCGAUACCAUUCCUUAAAAGUGAUAGCCACAACUGUGAUAAUUAAACACCAAAGAAUGUGAAGAUCUAUAUAUUCUUUUUUUUUUCCUCUCUCUUUCAAUAAUGAAGCUAAGAUGUGUUGUAAGCAUCAAAUGCAUUGUCUCUGCUUGAAUAUAUACAAAGCCAAGGACCACAAGAUGGAUAGAUAUGGGGACGCACAAAACUUCUCAAACAUGAUUAUAUUAAUCAAGAAUUCAACUAAGCUUAAAUUCAAGAUGUUGAUUUCUAGCAUCUCUGGUGCUAUAGGAUGACUAUUGAUCCUGUACUGUUAUGUGCCCUACUGAUAUAUUCUUCGGGUUGUUAUGUAUAAAUAAAAUUUUUGGGAAAGUUUGCUUGGUGGUUACACUAUCACUAUUUAGGCCAGUAAAAAUUGGAAGCCUUUGUAAAAAACUGAUGGUCCAAGAGCUAUUCUACUUCAUCAUCCAUGUAAUAUGACGAUACAAAUUUGACUAAAUGCAGCUAUAGAAGGCUUAGGACCAUAAACCAAGCCUAGUCGAUGUCACUCACCUAAAUUUAUGCAUAAAGCUUUUGGAUGGCUCAGAGUUAUAUUUAAUUACUGUUAUGUUCGCAACUAUAUUUUCAUUGGAUUUAUAGUCCAGCUUGAGAACUAGUCCUCCAUUGCACAUAAUGUCCACACAAGGCCACAGUGCCCGCUCAAAGGCCAUAGCGCUACUCAAGGAUAUAGUGCUUACUCAAGGCCAUAGAGCCCACCUAAGGCUAACGACCCAAAAGGAGAAAAAGGUUGGUUCCACGUACUCUAAUAUUUACUAGAAAAGGUUCUUCCUAUUAAAGAACAAAAAAUUGCAUUCCCUUGUGACCAAUCCAAACAGUAGACCACUGACUUGUAUAAGGCAUUAUUCACCAUGCAAGCACUUUUUCAGCAACCUACCAUCUGGCAUGAACCAUUUUGGAUUGAUUCACAAAGCAAUGGUGUUAUAUUAAGCAUAUUCAAUAUAGAACCAAAUUGUGCCUCCUUAGAUUAACUAAAAUAUUUCCAUUGCAAGAUGUGCAGAUAGGCAUAUGAUCAUGAAGUAAUUUCCUGAUGAUAAUACCCCACAAAAUAUUUCUUUUUCUCACUGAUCUCUCCUAGAUUUUCAGUUCACCCAUCCAUGGCGCCUGACUAAAAAUGGGGGCAUUUUGGAUACCCCGAGCAGUAAGUUAGCCUGGUAGGCAUCCCGUUGCAAGCAAAGUCAACCCGAGCGGUCCAUUUGACCAAAGCUUAUCCAGGCAGUAAGCGUCCAUAUACAGCUAACUGUUAUGCACCAUCAACAGGUUGAGGUUACAAGAUUAAAGAGUCAUAAUGGCCAAAUGGAAGUUACACGACUCGGCCUAUAUAAUAACAGUAUGACAAAAAAUGCAGGUAUGAAGAACUAUCACUGAAAAAAUUUAUUCCUAAAAAUCCUUUAAGCUCCUUUAAGCUAACUUGGGCAUUGGAGAGGUCUCUCCGAAGCACACUCGAGCUUACCUUUUUGUAAGACAUCGAGAACAAGAGGCAUUGAAGUGAUUGUCCGGAGGGUUGAACUUGGUCGGGAACCAACAAUACACACUAUUCAAAAAUAGGGAUCAUAUUAAAUUAUUAAUGCAACCAUAGGAAGCAAUUGAGGACAAGGGUGUUAUUUGAUUAAAAGGGUAAUUGAAAACCUAAAUUUUGAAAUUUAACCCUCCAUUCUAUUUGGCCUUAUGUGAACAAAAAUGCCUUCAUUAUUUUCUUGUAAAAAUAACUCACCCAUUUAAACCUUACAUGAAAAUACUUAAAAUGGUAAAUGAUAUGUUAAAAAUUGAUUAUUUUUCAAAUAAAACAUAAGAAGGGUCAAAUUCAUGAAAGGAUUAUUUCAUCCCUUUUAAUCAAUUAAUUCGAUUUAUUUCUUUUUAUUUUUUUUCUCUCCAUGUUAAUUUUCACAUCACCCAACAACACCACUCUUAAUUCACACAAGUUUGAAGUUUUUGAAUGAGAUAUAUUCGUAAUUAUAUUGUAAUUGUGUUAUAAUAACCAUUUCGUACUUGGAUUUGUUCUUUCAGUCCAUUUAACCUUUUUGUUUAUUCAUGUCAAAACAAUGUACUUAUAAUCGAAUCCAUUUAUGACAUGUUGAUCUUAUAUAAAUUUAUUAAUUUUAUAUAUUUAAAAAUUAUAAAAAUUAAAUAUACUUUUUCAAUUAUGAAUAUCAUAUUACUAAAAUAUUAAAUAACAAAUUAACUUGAAAUGCUAUAUAUUUCAUUAAUUAUUUUAUAAUUAAAACAUUAAAUGAAAUAAUAAACAAGUAUAAAAUAGAAAAUUCUAUCUUAGUUAGAAAUUAUAAACUGUUAUUGAGACAUAUAAGUAUUAAAAUUCUACCCAUUUCACUACCAAACAACUUAUGUUUUUAGUCAUAAUUUAACCUUAUGAUGAACACUUAAAUAAAAUUUGUCAUCUUUUUCUAUUGAUUUAUAUUUAUUUAUUUAAAAAUUUUGUCUGGCAUAAACUAUCAUCUCACAAAAUCAUCAUUGAUGAGUAGGCUAUGCCCCAGUGUAAGCAUCUCCAAAUCAAACAUCAAUGAGAGGAGUACAACCAAUCAUACAUCAUCUUAUCAAAAUGAAUCUCCGCUUUUCAAAGUCAUCGUGGUAACGUGAAGAGAGUAUUUGACCUCCUCUAAAGAAAAAACAUGUCUUGAUGUGAAAAAGAUCAAGCAAAGUGGUAUGCCUCAACAAAAAUGUGCUCAAACAUGAUCAUGCCCCGAUGUAAGUUAGUAUCUCUAAGAUCAAUCGCCAAUGAAAAGGUUAUUCCCCAGUAUAGGGCAAACUCUGAAAUGACUAAACUCCGUUGCAAGCUCUCAUAAGUGUCUGUGUCAUGAUCCAAUCAUCGCAAAAAUUUGUCAACAAUGAUGAGAAGGCUAUGCUCCUAUAAUCACAUCAAAGAAAUCACUCGGUCAUAUUACUCCAAUGUGAAAGAAAUCUAAUCACCUCCAAGGAACAGCUAUGCCUCAAAACCAUCAUCGACUGAGAGGGGGAUGCCCCUGAUCCAAUCACCACCCUAACUAACGUACCCAUCAUGAGGAACACUUGUUUGAGCUCCAUAAUGGGGAUCAACCAUUAGAUGAACAAGAUUCGAAUAUUACUUGCUCCCCAUUUCAACCAAUGAAUGAUGUACCUGGAAACCUUGUAGACAACCAUAGUUUUCAGCCUUCUUCCUCGCGAUCAUCUAGAACAGAGUCGGUAAGCUUCACUCAUUUCUUAUAAUGGACCUUGACCCACAACGUCGAACUACCUGUAUGCAAAAUUAUCCGUCCAGAAAACCCAUCCAUACAAUUCAGGUUCAAAACCCACAAGAACCACCCUAUGAAUAAACUAAUUAUAGCUGGCUUCGUUGCAAUAGGCAUUAACUUUCUUAUGCUGACAGUCCUAGCAUCAUUUACCAAAGGAUCAACAACUUUUCCAUGUCAGAGAACAUUAUCAAUCACAAUGACACCCCUGGUCCUCACUAGUUGCGAUAGCAAUUUAAAGUAUUCUUGAUUCAAAGGGUAAACAAAACAAAAAAGAAAACCCUAAGUGUGACUCCUUAUUUGAAAAAUGUGGUUUAUGAAAAACCGGAUCGAGCUUAGGGGUCAGGUUACUUAUCGGGAAGGUACAAAAAAAACCGUAGCACCCCUCUAAGUCCCUAAAAUGGGUCUCUAUUGAUAAAAUGAAGCAAUCAUGGCAAUUGGUAAGGAAAUCAUUGAGUAUCAACAUGAUCACACAUUGAGAGUUAAAGCAUGCAUGAGGAAUGGUCAAAGUGAGAAAGGAUGCGUACCUUAGCAACGAGUCCCAAUGCGCUAUCAAGAAAUUGGGUUAGUGCACAAUCAAUAAAUAUAAAAUAUAACACACAUGCAUCACUAAAUAGGGUAAUAAAUCCCCGAUGACAAACCUUGCACUUCACUCAGGUUUAUUUCUACUUCUCUGAUGUUGGGCCCCACCAAAGCUCAUUUUAUUUUGCAUGAAUCAACUCCAAUAACUCCAUUAUUCGGAAUUACGAAAUUUAAUUCUUGCUUAUUUUAAAGCAUUUUAAAAAUAGAGGAGAUAUGAGAAUUGCUCGCCAGAAAAGAAGAUGGCGGCAAAAUUUUAAUGAAAAACGAGUUUUUGGAACCUAAGAAAAAUGUUAAGGAUGGAAAAUUUUGGAGGUUUGAAAUUAAUUAAAAAUUAGAAUUGAGGAAUUUAUUUACAAAAUGGGGUUUAGGAAAAUUAUUUUCAAAAAAAAAAAAUGAUGAAAUGAGAGAUGGCACGUGACACAAGGGUGGCCAUGCUGAAGGCGUUCUCUUCUGGCCCAAGCUGGAAAUGCACUCCAAUUAUCCUUCUUUUCUGGUAUAACACCUUCAUCAAAAUAAAUAGCUUUUGCACCAUACUCUGAUAGACAAGGACCAAUAACAAUGCCUAUAUUUGCCUUAAGUAGACAAAGUAAGUCACCCAUUGAACCUCCAAUAUAAAUUGUCAAGUGCUCUGUGUCAUUACUGCAUCCCUCCUUCAAGAUGUCCUUAGAAACCUAAAGCUUUUCCACGACAUACUCCAUCUUCUUAAUGAUUUCACCCGUGGAAAUGGAUUCUUCACAAGCCAACUCAUUUGAAUAUACUCUCAAAACACCCAUAUCACCUGAUGAAAAUGCUGAUCUAACGAAAUCGCCACACCAACAGUAUGAAAGUCCAUGAACAUCUGCUUUCAGAUUAUUAUUUUUAAGAAUCUUUUGGAAGAAACCUGUGCAACCAUCUUGAAGAAUUAGACCUUGACCAACCUGUUUUAUAUCAUCUGAAUUUAAACCCUUCAAUACUCCAGACUGAGUCACUCUUGAAUCUGCCUUUUCCUCAAAAUCAGAAAGUUGCUCAAGUGCUUUACAUAAGCCUUCAUAAUUGAAUUUUUCCACUGUUUCACUGGGGACGAUGCUUCCCAUGCAUUUUUCAAGCUCUUCAGUAUGCUGGGUAGAUAGAACACCCCAUGUGUGUGUCCAGAUCACCAUGAGUGACCAUUUGAACCUUGACGAAUGAGAGAGUACAUAACAUUUAAGCACACAGGACAUAUAUUAACAUUCUCCAUUAGCUUCUCUUUGCCUUUGUCCACCUCUUGACCUCCCAUGCAGCCAACUGUGAAGACCACGUCCAGGUGCAGUCACGUGGUGACACAUCUCAUGGUCUUCCUCAUCCAAUAAAUCACAUGCUCUGUUAAAUCUGCUACCCGAAUGGAUACCUCCUAUCCAUCAACCUGAAUAUACUCCGAGCUUUCUUCAUAAAACCCAAGAAACUCCAGAAGGCAUCAUGGUUCUCCUCCAUCAUUGAAAUGAUUAGGGAUAGUAAAUCACUCAUCCCUUAGCAAUAUCCCAUUUUUAAACCAUAGGGUGCGUAGGCUUCUAGAAUAGUAGCAAAGUGAGCAACACGGAAAAUCUUGCGUGGAUCCAAGUUCCAUGAUGGUGAUCGUAGCCUCACCUUUGAAAUCACAAGACCCAGAACCCAUUCGUUCUUCCUGGUAAUAACUAUCAGAUGCAUAGGAGGCAGGGUUCUUCAGAUUGUUGAUUUGGUAAAAGCCUCUUCUGGUUGAACCCCUGAAUGAUUCACUUUUCUCAGUCCGCAAACCUAGUUCAGAACAGCCCGCAAGAUCAGAACCUUAACCUAGGCGUGGAGAUCCAGUGUUGUAUAACGCCUCAAUUGUCGGAAGCAGCCAUGGCCCAAACAAUGAUAUAAUGGUCAGCAAGUUGUCCCCAAGGACCAUGACAGUGAUGAGCAUUUCCGGGCAGCGCGUCACCACGUUCCACGUCGCGACGGUAAUGGCUAUGGACUGAGUGUCAUGGUCAGGGAGCUUGAUGAAGCAGGUGAAAAUCUGGUGUUUUAGAUUCUGAGGCAAUGACUGCUUGAUCGGUCGGAUUCUAGUACCGGCGUUACAUUGGGGAGGCAAUCUUAAAGUUCCAACGGAGGUAGUAGUGGACUAAUAUUCCUCAAUAACCAAACUUGAGUUUCUCACUUUCCGCUUCUCAAGGCAUUCACCUGAAACGCUUCAGGCGCCCAAACCCUUUCUGCUCAUCAGUAUAAUCACGCGCAUGAAAGUCUUAACUGCCUUCUAAACUUCACAACUUCAUCUUGCAUCUGGGUCAUCGUCGGCACGAACUUAUCACCUGAUUCAGUUAAUAUCCCCAUAUAACAAGUUCCAAUGAAGUCGCAACUUUGCAUCUUCUUUUCUGCGAUUACUUUGAUUCUCAAAGCCGAUUACUUGUUGCAGUCCAUAGGAGAUUCAAUAAUCAAACAUCAUGCACAAGCAAAAAGGCAACAAAAUACAUCGGCAUGUGGCCCAUACACCCUCCAAAAUCUUCACUCAUUUAGUAAGUUUUAGAUUCAAAAGAGUUAGCCUUCUGGUGAGCAACCCGAUACCCAUAACGAAUGAUGUAUCUGAAACACCUUUCCCACGUGGCCCUUGAAGGAUUCACUAGAAGGUGACCAUGCAUAGUAGGUCUUCACUCGCAGGAGAAUGAGAAGGAAAUAAACCUAAAGGGGGGUUGACAGCGUAGUCUAGAAGGUGAUGAGCUGAGCGGGUGGGGGUAUUAGGGUGGUCAAGUUCAGUGGGUAUGAAGGGUGGAAAGAUGGCAUGAUAGAGGAAUAAGCAGCUGAUAGUGGGUGCGAUGAUAUAAGGUAGGUUGACUAUGGAGAGUAUGGCAUUAAAGGAUGAAGACUUAGAGAGAGAGAGGUGGGUUUAAGGGUAUGGUGAGAUGGAGGGUUGAGGGUGAUAGGCUUGGAUAGUUGCAUGAGGAGGAUGAAAGGUGGGUAUGGAAAAUGUGCAUGGGUAGGAAAUGGGUAUAACAAUGGGUGUGAAUAUUGAGAGGUAGUGAAAUGAAGGCAGCCUUGCUCGUAUGGAUCAGUGUCGGAUUGAGUUAAGAAUGGUGAGAGAAAGGGAUUCGAUGAAUAUUGAAUGAUGGAAAAUGGUGAUUGGUUAGAUAGGGAUUUGUGGUCGAAUGGAAAUAGGAGACAUGAACAUAGAGAUGAGUGUGAUGGAUGAUAGUGGGCAUGAAGGGUAUUGGAUUUGUUCAUGGGUAUAGUGGUUAAAAGAGUGGUGAGAAGAAAAAAAAAUGGCCAUGUAAAUAGCAAUUAUACAUGUGGGCCCGUGAUUGCAAACGGGACUGCAUUGUUGCAUCUCAUGCUGAACCCUCACCUCCUUCUAGGAUCAUUUUCUGCAUCAAAGCUAGAUAAACUUAGAUGGUAUUUCCUGCCAAUUUUGGAUGCCCCCCACUUUGGAAAUAUUUCCUUUUCACCCAUCAGAAUAUGCUUAUCAGGUGUACUUGACUCAGGUUCAUUCCCAUAUUGCCUCUCUGAUUUAUGAUCUUCAAAGGUUUUGCAUGAAGGAAGCCUUUCACUGCAUUCCCCUUCAUCCACCAGACCUUCAGAGCAUCGUUUCCAACAAAAGCAACCUUGACUCUUCUAGUCCCAUCAGAAAAAAGUCUGAAUAUCCUCAGUUUAUGUCAUCCCUUGAUGCCCAACUCAGAAAUGAUCCAAAAAACAGUCAUCUCCCAUAUUUGGCUUCCCAGAAACACCUCGACUCAGAUGGCCAGUCCAAAUGUGAUACCCAACAUUCUAAAAAUGCUAAAAACAGAGGAGAUGAUGAAGAAAAACAGAGCAUGUAUAAAAGAAAAAAAAAAGGACUGUUAAAUCUCACUCCAUUCCAUAAAUGCUAAUGGGGUGGAUAUGGUGGAAUCAAAAGGAAGCAAGAGCGUGAUCUUCAAAAUCAAAAGCAAUGAUGGAUCCAUAUUCAAAACGUUCCAGAAUAGAGAAAGACACAAAUAAGGAGCAGGGUUUUUUUUUGUUACUGGCAGGAAGAUAUUUUUUCUAGAGAGUAACUAGAGAGAAAAAUAGGAAGAAAAGGGAAGAGCAUAGAAGACAUCUACAUAGGAGAGUAUUCAUUGUUGUGAGGAGUAGUAGAGAGCUUAGGAGGAGUUACAAAGAGAGUGAGUUUGGUUAGAGGAGGAAGUUUUGUUGGUUUUUCAGAAAGGAUUCUAGCUUGAGUGAGAGCCAUUCUAGAGAGGGUUAGAGAGGAGAAAGGUGUGUUUUGAGCAGCAAAGACACGAAGCAAAAUAGAGCAGCCAGGAAAGAGAAGCAGAAAAUCAAAAUUACUAAAAAAUUAGUGAAAGCUGUGAAAUUUCAUAUUGUUACUAAUUAUUAUAAUUUUUUUUUGUAUUUUCAAUAUUUCAACCAAUAUUUUAUAUAAUUAAAUUUAAAUUAUAAGAAUUAUAUUAUUAAUACACAUAACUAUCUUAAUGUUUUAACAAUGUAUACUUAUUUAAAUUUAUUUCAAUUUUUUUAUUUUUUUAUAAAUAUCUAAUUAGACUUAUAAUUCAUUGAAAUUAUUCAUUUUUUUUUUACUUCAUAAACCAAUUAUAUUACUUUUUGUAUUUUCAAUAUUCAUUUGGAAAAAAUAAUUUCAAUUUAAAAUAAAAUAAAUUAAUUAACUCUCAAUUUAUAAAUUGUGUCAUUGAAUUAUUUUUUAUUUAUAAUAUUUAGUUUAUUUUAAAUUUAAUUUUUUUUCUUCACCUUUUGGUUUAUCACUUUAUAUUAAAAAAUAAAAUAAAAUUGAAUUUCUUUUAAUUUAUAUUUUCACAAAUUAUUCAAUAUUUUUUUAAUUUUUAUAAAAUAAAUCCUCAGAUUAUAUAAUUGGAUGUUGUAAAGAGUUAAAAUUUUUGUGUUGCAUUGAAUUAUUUUUUCUAACAAAAGUAUAUUUGGGUACCGUAGACAUUAUAUCCAUAUCUUAACGUAUUAUAUACUUUUAUUUUGUGCAAUUAGCAAUUGAGCGGAAGACGCGGAGCCGGCUAACGGAAAUACCGCGUGUCACGCGUGUCCCUUCCCGUACCAAGUCUCAACUGCUUCAAGAUUUCCGACGCGCCCUUCUUCGCUUAACUCUUAAGUCUUUUCUUCCACUCUUCCUUAAACCCAUCACAUUUCGCCGCGUGGACCUAAGUCUCAAUGUCCUUGUGUUCAUACGAUGUAUGUUCCCCCAAUUCCUCAUCUACACUGAAACUCCAUACUCGCCUACUCAAUCACUUCUCUACUCUAGAGUCUGGAUGCUUAUCUCUGCGCGUGUCGAUGGCUCUUCACCCCAGCGAGUAUGGCAUUACAAGGGCAAUAUCGUCAUUAAAGACACAACAGAGUGUCUAUUUUAUUUAAGCUGUACGUAAUCGUGAUUGACUUCUUAGUAUCCUUUUGCUCCUAGUCUUCUCCCGCGUCUCUUAUAAAAACUAAAGAAAACCACUCCAAGAGAGCACACUACAAGAAUCUUCUUCCUUUUUUUCUUUCCUCUUUCUCUUUACAGAUAAACUGAGAAAGCCCAGCUCAUCCCUCAAUUCCCAGAUGGGUUUCAUGAAUGUUCUCAAGUUCUCAGCUGCAUGCUUUGAUCUUCUUGGCUGGUAUGUUGUCCACGCGUUUUCUUGCCAUUGGAAAUUUUUGGGAAAUGAAGUGGAAUUCUCUGUUUGAGGACAAACAUGGGAUUUUCUUUGAUUUCUCCCUGUUGGUUUUAUCUAUAUUCUUUGAAUUACCCACAUUCUUGUCAUUGAUUGUUAGUCAUUUGUUUGGAUUUCUACUUGCAGGCCUCUAUGUGCACUGGGUUAUCCUCUGUAAGUCUUGGUCUUACACCUCAAGAUAUGAUGAUUCAUUUACUCUUUUCUUGUUCUACGAAUGGUUCAGUUACAUUUAUUGUGUUGGGAAACUGAAAAGGAAAAGGAUUAUUAGUUAUUAUCGUAAUAAUCAUCAACAUCAUCUCGGUUCUUCACAGAUGUGCUUCAAUUCGGGCAAUUGAGACUAACUCAAUCUCAGACUUUCGGAAGUUGGUGGCGUAUUGGGUUCUAUUUUCCUUGAUUUCACUCUUUGAUCAUGCUUUUUCCAAGCUCCUUGAAUGGUAAUUUUGCUCAACUGCAUUCCACUAUAUGUGACUCUGUUUGUUUCAUUUCUUUGCCCUUAAGGAAUUUGGAGUUGCUUUUUUCAGUUUUCUUUCCUAUGAAAAUAAUCGAGAGGUCUCCAUGUAUUUUAUAUUCCUUCAUUUCUCUGCUUUGACAAAGGCCCACAUUCUGAUCAGCAGAAAGGUUAUAACAUUUGAAAAAGAAGUGCUUUAUUUUUGUUUUUUGUUAGUACAAUAAUUUUCGUUUGGAUAAAUGGUCUGAAGGGUGUUUGUGUUUGGCUGAGUUCAUGGAAUUUUCUAGCUAAUUUGGGAUUUAUUCUCAAUUUCAAGAUCAUUGUGGAUAUGUCAGAAAUUAAUGAAAUAUAAACGGUGGAAUGUGAUUUUCUUGUUUAAGAAAAGUUUUUCUUUGAAAAUACGGGUGCACCUGACCUACCUUAUUGUGCUACUUGGAACACAAAACAUUAGUACAGGUAAUUUAUUAACUAAAUUGUACACUUUUUGAUAGUUCAAGGAGGUGGUUUUCUUCUUUUAGGGUGUCAGCUUUGGAAAUAGGAUGGAUCUAAAAGUUUUUAUGUCUCAUCUUUAUAGGGAACUUGAAAGCAUGGAUGCACUUAUUUCCAUGGAAUUUGGCUUCCUUGAAAUCAAAUUAAGCUUUAUGCAUCAUUUGGAUGCUGAGAAACAAAUGGAAAUAGAAAAUUCAGAAUCUGACAAGUUUUUGUAGGGCAACUGGAUCUAAUCUCUUAGUCGAAGCCUAAUUGGGGCAAAUGCUGAUCAUCUUUGGACCCCAUUGAAAGCUCUAAUCUGUGCACAAUUCUAAUGUUUUUGUUUUCUUCAUUUCUUUUUCAACUUUUCACAAUAGAUGUCAAAGGUUAAAACCAAAUUUACGCAGUCCAUCCAAGUGGAUGCAUAUAAAUUUAACAGAAACUGAAAUUCGAAGAAAUUUAUUUUCCCUUUUGUAAAUGGUGUUUAAAUAUUUUAUUUUCUUAUAUAAUGCAUGUCAGGGUACCAUUCUGGCCUUACAUAAAGCUGAUGGUCAUCUGCUGGCUGGUGAUACAGCAGUUUGAUGGUUCAUAUUAUGUCUAUCAACACCUAGUUCAGCCAUGCUUGUCCAUGGAUCCACAAGCUGUCAUGAACUGGCUCUUCAAUGAAUCAAAAAAGAAGUUUCAUAGCAGAGAAAACUUUCUUGUUUCAGCAGACCGAUAUAUUAAGGAGAAUGGACCUGAAGCUUUGGAGAAACUACUUUCUAGGAAGGUAUGCCAUUAUAAGUAGGAUUAUCAACAAGUCAAACAGAGUUUUAUUUGAGAUGUUCAGGUAAAAAAUGACUAUAGUAGGUCAUCUAGAAUCAUUUGGUCUAAAUUCAUGUAUAUAUCUAUAUAUAAUUGUGUUCUCUUUUUUUCACAUAUGCAUGUGCAUUUAGAUUUACAUAAUUAUAUAUGCAUAAUCAGAUUCAACUGUGAUAGCCCGGAAUUAUUUCAGUAAUCAACUCUUCUGGGAACAUGUUGGUUAUGGUUUCUCUCUCACUGUCCUCUUCUUUAUACAUGACUUUGGCUUCAGUUGAGGAGCGCAAAGCCUAAUGUUGAAGUGAAAAAGAUCAAAGCACCUGCAGCACCGGAGAAAAAAGGGGAACAGGUAAGUUCUCUAAUGUGACUAUUUAAUUUCUAUGAGGCAGAUCCCCAGAGAAAUGUUGCUCAUGUAAAUUACUGAUGCAUUUGAUUCAAUGGCAUGGUUUUAAAAGAAAAACCACUUUAUGUAUGUUUCUGUGAAUAAGAGAACAAGUUUAUGGAUUAAAUGAUAUUUUUUAUGGUGGAUUAAUCAAUAAUUUUCAAAAUAAUAAUAUAUUCGUGCAUGUUUUUGCAAUUCAUGAAUUCCUUUUAUGAUUGAUUCUUCUUGCCUUUUUUCUCACCUCAGUGGAAGUGUGAAGAGCCUAAUGUUGCUCAAAAGGAGAUCCAAGUUGUCAAAGUAACAGAGAUAAAAAAUGGGGGGGAUGGAGCAAAGAGGGUAAGUUUUGCUUUUUAUUUAUAAAGUAGGCUGUCUUCACACAAGGAUUAUUAUCUUUAAGACAUGAAUGUUGAAUGCUUUUGGAAUUGUCCAUGAAUCAUGUGUAGUGUGAAUGGCCUAAUGCUGCUAAGAAGGAGGUCAAAGUGACAGAAGUAACACACAGAACAUUCGGUGGUACAGCACAGUGGGUAAGGUUUCAUGUCAUAUUUAAAUGGCUCCUCAUAUUUCACUAGGAUUAAUUUUGCCCCUACAAACAUAUUUGGCUACAAGUUAAGACAGAGUUCCAGAUGCUGAUAAAGUUGAGACAUAAGUAAUGAAUGAGUUUAGAAACAUGCACAACUCUUGUGUGAAACACAAUGAGAGUGGAAAAUAGCUAAGUUGAAAAAUGGCCAAAUACUAUUUUGUAGUUCCCCCUACCACUUAAGUAAUUUUUGUCAUCCUUUGUGAAUGGAAAAUCCAGUCCCUUCAGUAAUUCCGUUAUAUUCAUGACUUGGUGAAGCAUAUAACCAUUAGUGUCUUGCCUUAAGUCGACCUUUAAUGAUGAUCCAUUGAGAUGGGUCUGACUUUUGUCAACCCUCUUAUUCCCUUGAUCAUAGAGGUUAAACUUAGGGGGCUUAACCCACUUUUGAACCUUAUUGGAUAUAUGGCACAUGGUAUCCUCUUCAUCUUGAAAGAGUGAAGUGGUCAUACUCUUUCCUCUGAGUCCAUUGUGGCCAUGCACUUCUGGCCCAUUGGGCUGAGUGAAAGGAUUCCCUUCUGCUUCAAAUCAUAGAGAGAUAUGCCAUGGUCAGCCUCUUUAAUUCAAGGGAUCGAAGUACUCAAAUCCAUUUCUCUGCAUCCAUCUUAAUUCUGCAUUCAUGUCUCAUGGUUAACCAAGAAGAUCCAGCUUCCAUCCAUGAGAUCAGCAUCUGCAGGUUUAUGACACCACCCUUCCUUGGCAUAGGAAAGGGAUCAUUAAGCCAUGUGUUGGAUGACAGAAGUCAUCAUUCAGGUUAUCUUGAGAACUAAGGAAGUUGGAAUUCUAAUUAUUGCAUAUGGUUCUUGAUGUUUAGCCAAUAUACCGUAGGAUUUUAAGGAUCAUGCUCAUGUGCAUUGUGGUUGUUUAUCAGCUAUAUGGUUUACCAAAAUGAGGGACUGAUUAUGGUCAUAAGUACCUUUUUCCUAUUAAUUUCUUGCAUGUGCUCUGCUGAGAUUAUGUUUUUGACAGUCCAAAUCAGGGCAAACCAACAAACAGCUUUAUGUUAACUUUUACAAACUGCCACAUUUUCAGGUUAAACGAACAGAGAUAAAUCUUGGUGAAACUAGAAGUAAUACAACUUGUGCUGUGGAGAUAAAAGAAAGGGCAGCGGCACUGGUGGCUGCAGAAAUUGAGGCAUGUAGAGACGAUAGAACCCCCAAGAUACCUCUUCAUGAGAAAGUCCAGAAAGAGUGGGCUUGUGCUGUAUGCCAGGUCACAACCCAAAGUGAAGCGACCUUCAAUUCCCACCUUCAAGGGAAGAGACAUCAGGCCACUUCUGAGCAGCUGAGAGCCAAAAACCAGGCAACCAAAACCAAUUGUUCCCCAUCUGCUUCAAUGGCCAAGAAAUCUGAUCAGUCCACCAAAGAGGAGCAACCGAAGUGUACUUCCAACAAUCUGAAUUCCAAAAACAAUGGAAUCUCAGCUGCUUCAACAGUGAAGAAACCUGAUGACACCAAAGAUGAUGAGCGACAAAAGUCUGCAUCUAGCAAUGAACCGAACCAGAAGAAUAACAAAAAGCAAGAGGUACAGACCAAUGAGCAAGGCCAUCAGAAGAACUUAAAGCAAACUGGCGAUGGAAUGAAAGAGUUGAGAUUAUGCUGCAAUAUCUGUAAUGUAAGCUGCACAAGUGAGCUUGACAUGGCCUCUCAUCUCAAUGGAUGGAGGCACUUUAAUAUGAUAAAGGAGGCGUCUGAAUUAUGGUGCAGUAACUGCAAUGUAAGGUGCAACAGUGAGGCUGUCAUGGCCUCUCACCGAAAUGGGAGGAGGCACUUGAAGCAGCUGAAGGAACGGUCGGGAUUAUAGUGCAGUAUCUGUAGCGUGAGAUUGUGUUAGGAAGAGGUGGAAUGGGUUCCAAUCAGGAAUUAAGACUCGGUUCCAAGACAUGGAAAGUGUCUUUAGAUUAUGUUAUCUCCAUUUUUUUUAUUGUGAGAGGGGAGUAUAAGGAAUGAAAAUAAAUAUAUAUAUAUUUUUUAAUAGAGAUGAAUUUGAUAAUUUUAAUUAUUGUGUUUUGAUGUAUUUAGGAAUGUAAAAUUAAAAUAAUUAUUUAUUUUCAUUUUAGUAUUUGACAAUAAUAAAAUUAUGAAUUAAAAAAUAAUGUGAUAAUAAUACAUUUAUAUUUAAUUUAAAAUAUUUUUUAUUUUAUUUUAGAAGAAUAUGGGUUAAAUUCUUUUUUUAAAUAAUAAGCUUAAGAAAAAUAAUUUUUACUCAAUAAAUAAAAUUAAUCAUAAAAAGUCAUAACAACCUAAUAAAAAUAUAGGGGUAAAAUAAUAAUUUUAAAAUAUUAUUUAAGUUAUCCAAACAAAUUUGACUCUUCAUUCUCUCUCUUGAACCAAAUACGGUCUUUUAAGCGUUUGUCAACUUAUUUUUUUUUGCAAAAUAUCAAUAUUUUACUAAUAUUUUUAUCGAUUAUUUGCCAAUAUUUAUCGCCACGUCACCAAUUCUUUGAGUUUGACUUUCAAAAUUUUGAAAUGAUAUUUGAAGUCCAGUUCAGCCCAAAUCACUACACCCAUGAUUUUUCCCUUUUCUUUUUCUCCUUAAUUUUCACAUCACCCAACAACACUACUCUUAAUUCACACAAAUUUGAAGGUUUGGAACGAGACUUCUUCCUAAUUAUAUUGUAAUUAUGUUAUAAUAACCAUGUCGUAUUUGGAUUUAUUUAUUCAGUCCAUCUAAAUCUUUUGUUUAUUCAUGUAAAAAGAAUAUAGUUAUAAUCGAAUCCAUUUGUGACAUAUUCAUCUUUUAUAAAUUUAUUAAUUUUAUAUAUUUAAAAACUAUAAAAAUUAAAUAUAUUUUUUCAAUUAUGAAUAUCAUAUUACUAAAAUAUUAAAUAACUAAUUAACUUGAAAUGUUUUAUAUUUCAUUCAUUAUUUUAUAAUUACAACAUUAAGUGAAAUAAUAAAUAGGUUAAAAUAUAUAUUUUAUUUUAGUUAAAAAUUAUAAAUUGUUAUUGAGACGUAUAACUAUUAAAAUUCUACCCAUUUGACCAUCAAACAAACAACUUAAGUUUUUAGUCAUAAUUUAAGCUUCUGAUAAACUCUAUUUCCAUAAAUUAGAAACCGAAAUCAAUUUCUUCUUAGACUCAAAAACAUAAAGACAAUCUUUUAAUUCUAGAAGACAUCUAUCAUUUAAGAUAAGGGUAACAUAUCCCAUUGCCUAAACAACAACUCUUGCUUCAAAAGCCAAUGUCAAGUACAUAUCCCUAUCAUUCAACCUUUCCCUUAGCUAAAACCCCUAUAAAGAAUUAUAAACAUAAUCAAUGGCUCCAAAAUUUAUCCACCAAGAGUUAGUGGAAUCCAACACUAAACAUAAUUCAACUAUAAGAGAAUGAUGCAUAGUUGACUAUCUCUUCAAGAACUAAGGACAUUCCUUCUUCUUCUAAUGGCAUUUUUUACCACAAAGGAAACACUUGUCAUGACCCUUACUCUUCUUCUUCUUCCCCUUAGCCUUAAACUUCCCCUUCUGCUUGAUGAACUCUAUAGUGUUCUUCUUAUUUUGGCUAGAAAAACCUAAAGAACCCUUAACUGCCAUAUAAAUACCUCUCUGGUCCUUGAGAAUUCCCUCAGUCAUUUUGUGUUCUCUCAUUAGUUCAAUUGUAGUUUAAGAAAAAUAAUGUUUUUUAUUUUAUUUUAUGUGAUUGAACUUGGAAUGAAUUUCCAAGUUGCAUACAUACUUGGGUUGAGAUCAAGUCAUAACGUAGUUUAAGAAAAAGAUUUUUUAUUUUUUAUGUGAUUGAACUUGGAAUGAAUCUCUAAGCUACCUACGUAUCCAAGAUGGGAUCAAGUUCUAACAUAGUCACAAUGCAGUUCAAGAUUUUUUUUUUUCUUUUUUUGUGCUCUAACUUUUGUCAAGACUAAAGAUCUUAAUCUUGCAAGCAUGUCCUAACUUUUGUCUAGGUCACCUUUCCAAGUUUUCAACUUAGCAAACAUUUUUUUUUUUUGUUCUCUAACGUUUGCCAAGACAAAAGAUUUUAAUCUUGCAAGCAUGUCAUAACUUUUACCUAAGUCAGAUUUUUAGGUUUUCAAUGUGGUGGAUUUUUUUGUUUUUUAUUUUUUAUUUUUUAUUUUUUGUGUCGUAGGCAAUUUAGCUCAUACGGCCCAGAAGCGAUGUGUAGUUUGUUGGGAUUCAACCCUUAAAAGCAAAACAUGAUGUAACAAAGUUAGACUUAACUAUCCCCUUGCUAUCAUUUUGGUGUAUUAACAUUGAUUUAAACAUUCAACUCAUAUUUUACAUUGUACAUGACUUAGGUGCAUUAGGAGUUGCUCAUAAGAUACAUGGAUUCCUUGUAAGUAGAUGAGUUAUCCAUAGUCAGUUCAUGGAUUUGGGCAAUCUAGUAGAGACUGUAAUGCACCACCUCUUAAUUGAAGAGAUGACUUGUCUUGACAGUUGGGAUAGGUUUCCUAUGGUGAGUGCACUAGUAUAUAUGAUGCACAUUGGAUAGGACCUACGGUAAAUCAUGAGCAAAGCUAUCAAUUGUCAUGAUUCACCAAGUUACGAUACUGCAUGGACUCUCAAUCUUGAGAGGACAUUGAACCUGUGCCAAAAUCAACAAAAAGCUUUCACCUAUAGAUGAGACCUUAAAGUGAUCAUAUAUCCCUAUGGAUUGAGUCACUAUUGAUGAAGGUUGGUGGUAAUAGGUAUUCUCAAUAGAGGCACCAUGAUAUCUCAUGAGAUUGAGACGGUGUGUCCCCUUGGGUGAUACAAAGGACAUGUGAUCAUAAAAUCUGUGACCAUAGUAAUUCUUUUAUUGAAAUUUGACAUAUACCCCUUCGAGCUAGAGUAUGUCAGUUGAUUACAUAAUAAGUGGCAUCUAUAACUUAAGGAUUUGAGAGGUAAUCUUGAUAGGUGAUAGCACUACCUUGUUAGAUUAUGGACACCAGUUCAUGGGGAAUCUACAUGCAGUGGAUGAUAUGUCACGAACGCGAGCUUCAUAUCGUUGUUAUUAACAUAGGAUACUGGAGUGCAAUUGAUUCUCUUUAGUAGAAUGUUGAAUCAACUUCAAAAUGGAUUAUGAGGGAGCCAAUACUCCUAUGGGUCUUAAUGGUCCCCACUCUGAGCUCAUAUACCAUGAUGACACAGUUUAUGAGGGUUUGAUUGGCUUUAUGUUCAUUUUUGUGCAUAAGGGCAUUUUGGUAAUUACACAAGGUUACAUAGGGGAUAGUCAAUAAGGUCUUUAGAUUGGGCCAAUUGAUUAAUUAGAUGACCUUAUGUGGUUAAUUAAUCAAUUAUGAUAUGUUUAGGCUAGAUUAAAUGACCCAAGCCUUGAUGAAUUUAAGUCACUUAAGCCUAGCAGAUAACCUUAUAAAUACCCUCUUAUGGGUUAGGGUUUCCUAAUGACUUUCAGUUAAUCAUCUUCCAUCCCUAGAAAGAGAAAGAGAGCCAAAUCUUUCUCCCUUCCAUUGCCCACACUUUGGUAUGCCAAGAUCAUGGUUCAAGUCACUGGGAGGAAGAUCUUGGGUGUACAAGACCUUCGGACUCUUUAAGUUUCUUCUUCGUUGGAUGAAUUUUUAUUUGGGACACAUCUAGAUCAUAAGUAUGUGUUAGAAAAUUUGGCUAAUUCAACUUAAGGUAAUCACUCUAGAGGAGGGGUGAAUAGGGUGAUGAUCUUUUUUUACAAAUUUAAAUUAUGUGAAUGCAAGAGACAAUUAUACUAUGCAAAUAUAUAGUAAAACCAUAUAAAAAUAAUUGCAUAUAAAGUACAAGGGUAGAAAAUAGAGAAUAUAAACACAAGAUUUUUAUAGUGGUUUGGUGCAACUCGGCCUACAUCCAUUCUCCUCUAGCUUCAAUCCCAAGUUUGAGGUUCCACUAAUUCAAGGCUUCCAACCUAACCCUUCAAGCAAUACAAUUGGAUUAUGGUUCCAAUCAAACCUUUUGGACUUUUGGCUCUAAGCACCUUUUACAAUCUUUGAUUCGUGCCUAACUGGUGUUUGCCCUGUUGAUUGGUGUUCAAUCAACUGAUGUGCUUUGAUUUCAGUCCUCAGACGAGAGUAAUCAACAAAAUUUAUAAACCUAUUUCACCAUAUACUAGGGUAGCAUUAGCUAGCAUAGCAUAGUGGCUCUAGGAUCGUCCACAGGGAUGGGUUUUCAAAUUACAAUUGAUAUUAGUUCAAAAACUGAAUUGGUGUUUUUUCUUUUCAAGGUUAGCUUUAAAAGAAAACAUAAGUAUGUGUGAAAAGGUUGGUUUUAAGUGAAACCAAAAAUAAAGUAACUGAAAUUACUUACAAAGAAAAGUGCUUCUUGGAGUUUUAGAUCACUAGGCUCAAGUUCCUUAUACAAAAAGAGAGAUUCCGAUCACUUGGAUCUUUUCCUAGCAUUGGGGAUUUAACAUAUAGUUAUUUCCCGAACCGGUGCGGUACAGAUGCUUCCCCUUAAUGGUUUCAAACACUAAAUCUCUAUCACUGAAUCAUCUUGUAAUGGUUCAUACCUCUCACCUGGUAUUGGUCAUUUAAGGUGAUCAUUAACCUUGGAUUACCCGUCAAAAGCUCGCAAAAGAUAACUAAUGAAUGUCUCCUAGGAGUCCAAAAGCUUACCAAGUGUUGGCUAUUCUAGAUAAUCCUACCUUUAAACCAUCUCCCAAAAGCUCGCAAGAGAUAAACUAGUGGAUCUCAAUGGACGGAGUCCACUUGCCUUACCAAGUGUUGGCCCAAGUGAUUUUAAGGGAUUUUAAGUUAACUAAAAAGAUAAAAACCAUUAACGGGUCACACUUUCUCUUCAUUAAAACCUGAAACAAUGAAACUUCCACUUUUGUAUACGAAACCUUACCUAGCUUCCUUCACUCCAAGAAACAAAAAGCCUAGCCACUCAUCCUCUAGGAAAACAUCCUCAGAGUUUGAUUUGGUAGAAAUAAAAAUAAAAGAGAAAACCAAAUGUGAAGGUAAGGCCGAGCAGAGCUCUGUGUAUUACUUUAUGAAAAACUAUACAAAAUUUGUCUCUAAGAGAAACUCCCCCGAGAUCUCUUUUAAAAGAAAAUUACAAUAGAUAUCAUAUAAAGAGGCUAUUCACCCCUCUUGCUAACUUCCCAACCAUGAAAACUUGUCAAUGGUGGGUUACAAGGAGAAAAUAGGGAUUUACACACAAAUAUUUGAAGAUAAACAUCAAACUGAGUCGGUGCGCAAAUAUCUCAGAUUACAAGUGGAUUUCGCAAGUUCAAACGCAACUUGCAAAAAUUUUGCAAGUUGAAAUUAUGGUUUCGCAAGUUGCGAAAUUGUCCUGCAACUAAUCAGCUCUCUGUCCUACAACAAUUCCUUUCCUCUUCCUAUUUCGCAAGUUGUGAGAAUUUCGCAAGUUGGAUUCCACAACUUGCAAAAUUGUUGGAUGGUUGAUUUCUUUUGUGAUUUUCUUCCUUGCAUCCUCAUUUGGCUUUGGCAAAGGGUUAUGAAGCUCCAAAGCUUAGUUUCUUCAUGAAUUUGAGCUUCAACUUGCUUUGCCAUGAACUAUACAAAGAUCUCCCUCAUUCUUGGAUUGCUUUGGUGAUAAAAAAGCUAUGAAAAACACCAAAACUUAACACAAUUUGAUUAGAAACGAUUGUAAGGGUCUUUAACAUGCCAAUUGAGUUAAAAGGUAAUAGCUACUACUCAAAAGUGUUUAAAAGAGUUAAUUACAAGCUAUAAAAUGACCCUUUUUGAAGUUCAACCCCUUAAGUGAUACCCCUUAAGUGAUACCCCUUAAUUCAAGAGAUGUCUUACUCUUAAACAACCCCUUAAGUGAUACCCCAUACUUGAGAUUCCCUAAGUGAUGCCUCACACUUAGAUUUUUCAUCUCAAAGAUUUACAAAUGAAGAUAGGAAAUAAUCUCACAAAAUCUUAAUACAAAACAUUAGGCUCAAAUGAUACAAGAUAAACUAUGAUUGAAUGGUGCACUAAUAAUAUGCAAGUUUUAAAACAAUGAGUACUAAAAAACACUCUCCUAAGGUUCAAAUAUAUUCAAGAAAGAUUUAAGAAGGUUAAACUCUUGAAACAAUAAAGAUUGAAACCUUUUUAUGGAGGAGAAAUGCCAAACUAGUUGUUGGGGGUUUGUCCAGUCGAGUUCUGGUUUGACCGGUUCACUAACCGUUAGCAUUUAAUGCAUGAUAGGUGAUCAUUGGGCCUUGACCAUCCCUCGACCAGUACUCAACCGGAUAAAGUUCAACCUUAAUCAAUCGAAUAAGCAUUCUAGAAUAGAGAGAAGGUUUUUGCACCUUUCAAUCAGUUGAGUUGAACAAAUAGACGGAUUCCUUAUCCAGUUCAACCGGUUGAGCCAUUUUUGGCUCAACAAUCAUCAUUUUCAACUUAAAACCUUUUAAACAAGUUUAGAAAGCAUUUGACACAAGGAUUUAGUUGAAAACAUUAAAUCAUCCUAUUUUUAAAAGAUUUAAAACAAAAUACCUCUUGAAUGAUUUUGGUGUAUAAGUAAAUAAUGUAAUGCAUGAAAAACCCAGUGCGCCAACAACCUUACAAAGAGAUCUUAUGAGGCUUAGGUAUUGAAAAACACUUCUCUUUAAGGCAGACAACAUCGUGUGAAUACCAAAGGGGAACUCUACGUUCCUAGGGAAAGAUGCCUCGUCAGUACGUCUUGAGGUUGUUCACUAACUUCGGGGUUACCGGCUUUGAGAGGAGCCCUUUGAUGACAUUUGGGCAUGCAACUCUUCAUUUUCUUCCUUGAUUCGCCUUGUUUGGUGGAUCAAAGAUUGCAUAUGCCAGUCAUUUUUGCACUAGGUUCUCUCCAUGCUUUCACGCCAGCCAAAGUAGCUUUCGUUACCCAUAGUUGAGGAUCGGCUUCUAAAGGGUACUAACAUCCUUAGUCAUUCCCACAGAUGACACCAAUGUUGGUUCUGAGUCGGCUGAAGUCAAAUUCAUCCAACUUAACGGAAGUUUGACAACCUUCCUCCAUUUUUUGUGCCUCUUAGAGAAUCCACCUAGCAGUAAUGAGAUUGGGCGAACUCCUUUCUUGCACAAAAGAAUGUUCAGAUGAGUACUUCGGGUACGCCCUUCGAAGCUUAAGUGAGGCAAAAAUAGCUCAAACUACUUAAUGAGAGAGAGUGGAUAGGUGAAUAUGUGCCUACCUUGUUCGUGCUUUUUGAGGGGUUUAUAUAAUGUUGAUGAGAAUGCCACUAUAGUGCUUACUAGACACUUUAACUUUCUUCUAUAAUGAUGAUUGUCUUGCAGGCGGUUGGGCAAUCAUCAAAAUUUUGGGUGGCUGAUAGGUGCCAUCAACUAACGUGCCAUGAUCUUAGACCAUGCAGUAACCUGUUCCCUCAGUCUGUUGAUGGCCUAAGGUUAUGUGCAACAAUUAAUUGACAUGGACUUGAGGGCUAGAAGAGGUCCCAUCGGCCGUUCACAUGUCAAGUGUGAAUGAUCACUCAUGCUAGUGGGUCUUGAAGAUUUGACUAGACAACCUUACCUAUUUGGGAGGUCCAACCUCCCAUUGCCGUUGUUUUGGCCUUAUAGGAGAAAAGGGCUUUCUCAUGUAUGGUGCUAGAGGGACUAGUCGUGAUCCAGAUGAGUUGCAUACCCAUGCUAGAUGGUCGAAGUGUCCGGGUUGGAAAUGGAGGGAAGCCUCCCACAAAUAUGAGGGAGCCUUAUGAAAACGGAUCCUUAGGGCUUAAGAAGGGGUUUUCAAUUUUAAGGUUUGCCUUUUCACCCAAGGAUGUGAAUGGGAAGAUGAGGCGAAGUUAAAAGAUUGGUGAAGCAAAGUGAGGGCAAGGUAGGGUUUGAAUAAAGGAAAGUAUACACUAUUAAUGAAGAUGAUAAUCUCUAGAAAGAAAAACUAAGGUAAACUAGGGCUUUAAUAAUAAUUUUCAAUCUACACUAGUGAAGAGGAUAUCUUCGAAAACCAAAGUUAGGGCUUCAAUAACGAAUUUCAAUCUACAAUGGUGAAGACAAUAAUCUUCGAAAACCAAAUCUAUAAUGAUGAAGAUGAUUGAAAACUAAAUCUAUACUAGUGAAGACGAUUGGAAAGCAAAUCUACACUGGUGAAGACAAUGAAACCAAAUGUAGGUCUUCUAAACUAAACGCUUUUAAGGAUUUUCCUUUUUUUUUUCCUUUGUUUUCAAGAAAGGCAAACUCUUUAGAAAACUAAAAAAACUAAUGCAUUCUUAGAUCCAGAUCACUAUUUCCAACAUGGUAUUUGGAUUGCCAGCUUGCAUUUUUUAUUUUUUUAUUUUUUUAAUAGUCAUUGGCAUUUUAGGGAUUAUUGAAGGAUAAUAUCAUUCAGCUCAAUUUCCCAAAUUAGUUAGGUCUUACACUCAAAUGUGAAACUUAUAUGGAUGUUAGGCCAAUUAUCAAACUCAUCUGCCCUAAAACAUAAUUUCCCUUUUUUAAAAUAGUUGUUAAACAUCUAUCCCAAACACGUUUAACCCUUUGAAUUGCUUGUAUGUUAACCUUGUUUCCUUUUCUUCAUGCAACAUGGCUUAUUGAUGGUUGCAUUGAAUCAUUAUCAUUCACCAAUUCCAUGCAACUAUGGACUACAUUUCAAAUCCCUCGAACAUAAAUGGUAAUUCCAAAACAACUCAAGUAUAAUCUUUUCAACCCUUUCAAAUGAUUUAAUUAAUUGAUUUUUGAAUAUAUUCAUAUAUUUUUUUGAGCAAUUUUUAGGCAUAUAACAUAAAUCUCUUUUUUAUAUAUAUAUAAAAGGUUUUAUAUUUUAUAUUACAAUUUCCUUUUGUUUUUUCAUCUAAAAAACAAAACAUAAAACCUUAAUAAACGAGUUUUGUCACAAUCCCUUAACAAGUAAUCUAUUUUUUAAAUUACUUUAACAUUUUUAGAUAUAUUGAUUCAAUCUAAUUUACUUUUAAUAUUUUUUAUAAAAUAUUUUUACUUUAUAUGACUAUAAAUUAAUUACUAUUGAUUGCAUAUUAUAGAAUAUAUAUUCUAAAAUAUAUCUUAUUGACAAUAUAAUCAUAAGAUGUUAUAUCCAUAUCCUAACAUAUUAUAUACUUUUAUUUUGUGCAAUUAGCAACAUGGUGGGAAGUGGCAAGCAGCUUAACGGAAAUGUCAUGUGCCAAUGUGCCAUGCGUGUCCCUUCCCUUAGUGAGUCUGAACUGCUCCAACAUUUCCGACAUGUUAUUUUUUACUUAGCUCUUAAGUAUUUUCGUCUCGUUUUCGUUAACCCCAUCACAUUUCGCCACAUGGAUCUAAGCCUCAUGGUCCUUUCGUUCGUACAAUGAAUGUUCCCCCAAUUCCUUAUCUACACUAAAACUCCAUACUCGCCAUCUACUCAACCACUUCUCUACUCUAGAGUUUGGGUCCUUUAUCUCUGCACGUGUCUAUGGCUUUUCACCCCAACAAGUAUGGCAUUACAAGGGCAAUAUCGUCAUUAAAGACCCAAAAGGGAAACCAAUGGCAUUAUCUUCCUUUUGGUCUAUUCUAUUUAUAUUGUAAGUUAUUCGUGAUGACUUCUCCCAUAAAAGCUAAAAACCACUCCAAUAGAGCACACUUCACUUCUUCAUUUUUUUUUUUCCAGAUAAGCUCAGAAAGCCCAGCUCAUCCCUCAACUCCCCGAUGGGUUUGAUGAAUGUUCUUAAAUUCUCAACUGCAUGCUUUGAUCUUCUUAUCUGGUAUAUUGUCCACGCAUUUUCUUGUCAUUGGAAAAUUUUGGAAAAUGAAAUGGAAUUCUAUGUUUGAUGACAAAACUGGGAUUUGCUUUGAUUUCUCCAUGUUGGUUUUAUCCCUUUUGUUUGAAUUGUCCACAUUCUUGUCAUUGGUUGUUAGUUAUUUGUUUGGAUUUCUACUUGUAGGCCUCUGUUUGCACUGGGUUAUCCUCUAUAAAUCUUGGUCUUACACACCAAGAUAUGAUGAUUCAUUUACUCUUUUCUUGUUCUAUGAAUUCUUAGUUCUGUUACAUUUAUUGGGUUGGAAAACUGAAAAAGGAAAGGAUUAUUCGUUAUUAUCAUAAUAAUCAUCAACGUCAUCUCAAUUAUUCACAGAUGUGCAUCAAUUCAGGUAAUUGAGACUAACUCGAUCUCAGACAUUCAGAAGUUGGUGGCAUAUUGGGUUCUAUUUUCCUUGAUUUCACUUUUUGAUCGUACUUUUUCCAAGCUCCUUGAAUGGUAAUUUUGUUCAACUUCAUUCCAUCAUAUGUGGCUCUAUUUGUUUCAUUUCUUUGCCCUUCAGGAAUUUGGAGUUGCCUUUUUUAGUUUUCUUCCCUGUGAAAAUAAUCGAGAUGUUUAAUGUUCCAAGCCUCCAUGUAUUUUAUUUUCCUUCAUUUCUCUGCUUUGAUAAAUCCCCAUGAUUUGAUCAGCAAAAAGGCUAUAACAUUUGACAAAGAAAUGCUUUAUUUUGGUUUUUUAAGUACAACAAUUUUCAUUUGGAGAAAUGGUCUAAAGGGUAUCGGUGUUUGGAUGAAUCAUGGAAUUUUCUCGCUAAUUUGGGAUUUAUUCUCAAUUUCAAUAUCAUUGUGGAUAUUUCAAAAAUUAAUGAAAUAUAUAUGAUGGAAUGUGAUUUUCUUGUUUAAGAAAAGUUUUUCUUUAAAAAUUUAGGUAACCCUGACCUACCUUAUUGUGCUACUCGAAACACAAAACAAAAGUACAAGUAAUUUAGUAACUAAAUUGCACACUUUUUGAUAGUUCAAGGAAGUGGUGUUAGCUUUGGAAAUAAGAUGGAUCUACUAGUUUUUAUUUCUCAUCUUUAUAGGGAACUUUCCAUAAUAUAGCUUAUAAAUACCAUAAUCACAGUGAUGAAUAAUUGUCUUGUUUGAAAGCAUGGUUGCACUUAUUUGCAUGGAAUUUGUCUGCGUUGAAAUUAAAUUAAGCUUUAUGCAUCAUUUGGAUGCUGAGAAACAAAUGAAAAUAGAAAAUUCAAAAUUUGACAAGUUUGUGUAGGGAAAUUGGAUCUAAUCUCUUAAUCGAAGCUUAAUUAGGGCAAAUGUUGAUCCUCUUUGGACCUAUUGAAAGCUCUAAUCUGUGCACAAUUCUAAUGUUUUUGUUUCCUUAAUUUCUUUUUCAACUUUUCAACAAAGCAUCAAUUUGCUAUAAUAAAUGAGAACCAACUUGACGAUGAGAAAAAUGACUGGUGAUGAUGUCAUAGAGAAUCGCAGAUGAGAACAACCAAAAAUACUAGGAUUGGUACCACUGAUGGUAAUGAAGAAAACACAAAAAUGGUGCAAAUGGUGAACAGGAAACUCAAAAUGGAAUGGGAAAAGAAACCUAAACAAUAGUCUCCUAUAUAAAGCACACAACAUGUACAUCGAGGCAUCUGAAAGGACACGCUGCCUGAGAAGUCACUCUAAUUGAUGUGACUCCUCAUGACGUGGGUGGUGGACAUAUGUCCCAUGGUGCCAAAAAUUUCAAACACUCAAGCAACCGAAUACUUUCACUUAGUCAUUUAAAGCCUAGCUAGACUCAAUUGCAAGAAUUAAGGGCAUUGUGGGAUGCUCACCACCGUCUAUCAUGGUCCUCAAACACUGUCUGGUGUGAGACAUAUUGGCACAAGAGCCAUGUAGCUUCUCUAUCCACCCCAAGAUACUCCUAGGGUAGCAAACGAACACAAUCCGACCAAACACUAUGCAUUCCUACCCUACAAGCAUUAAUUUCAAUGAGCAAUAAGUGUAUUAACACAUUAAUGAAUGCAACCGUUAUAACGCUAAAACGCCAUACUUUAAGGUUCAUCAAGACACAACAACCAUUAUGGGCCGACAAUUAUUGGCGUUAAAUAUGGUAAUGCGCAAUCAAAGGCUCAAUUAAGGCCCUUUAGAAGACGUUACUAUUGGGCAAAGAUAAAUAACCAUUUUUUACCACAAGAAAGUCUGAUGCCAUUUUUUUCACAAAAACUUUUGCUUAAGUCUUCCAUCUCUAACCUAAGCUUUGAAGGGGUGUACUUGGAAAACCUAUCCGAACAUUCCUUUAUGUAGGUGCAAUCAUCGUUUAUGUCACGCGAAGGCUAGUCAAAGACCUUUAUUGGUCGUGCACCAAUAAAUCUAUUUAGUAUAUCUCAUUUAUCCGUUCAAGUGAGAUGAAGGAGUGACCUAAAGAUAGAUUGGAAACAUCAUAGUUUCUUAUAUUGGUAAGGCAGCAACAACCUCGGCUAGUGCAUCAACCUGCUCGUUUUCCUCUAGGGGUACGCGUUUGAUAAACCAUUCAUUCAAUUUUUCUGUUCAAGUGUACCAAAGAGAGGUAAUGAGCCAUGCAUUCAUCUCAAGCUUCAUAUUUUAGUUAGAUUUGUUCACCCACUAGUUGUGAAUUGCUUUUGAUUUCUACUUUCAUGGUUGUGAGAGCUAAGGCUAGAUCGUCUCAUAAGAAUUGCUUCAUAUUUUGCCUCAAUAUUAGAUACUGGAAAGUUGAGACAGACGACUUGUUCAAUUUGCUCUCCUGUAAGGAAUUGUUGUGUUAGUCCUAUCCUAGCUUCUGAUGUUCUAGAGGCUUCGUCUACAUGGAGAACACGCCAUUGUUCUUCAUUGUUAGACCUUGUCCAUUUUUGGGGUGGUUCGACUAUGAAAUCAAUGAGAACUUGCUAUUUGAGAUACUAAUGAGGUUUGUACCGUAUGUAAUAUUCACUCAAUUUGAUUGCCCAAUUCACCAUUCGACUAGAUAGAUUUAGCUUGUGCAACGUGACCCACAACGGUUGAUUUGUCAAGACCGUUAUUUGGUGCGCCUGAAAAUAUGGACAAAGCUUCUUGGCAGCGAUCCGUAAGUUCAGAGCCAUUUGUUCCACUUAAGAAUAUCGUGUUUUUGUGUCAAUCAUAGCUUUUCUCACAUAGUAAAUAAGUCUUUGUUCAUUACUCUAAUUGUGUGGAAACAAUAUGACAUUGACAGCAAAGUUUGACACAACCAGGUACAUGUAUAACUCUUCUCUAGCUUCAAGACUACUUAAGAUUGGUGGCUUCGUAAGAUACUGUUUGAUGUCUUUAAAGGCAUGCUCACACUCAUCCAUCUAACUAGACAUCUUUGCUCCCUAGAGUUUGCUCAAGAAAGGUCUGAGCUUAUUUAUGAAGCGUGUUAUGAACCAACCUAAGGUGAUUAGACACCCAGUUAGACGUUGCACUUCCUUCUUGCUAGUAGGAGCAGGGAUUUCUAACACUACUUUCACUUGAGCCAGAUCGACUUCAAUACCCCCUUUGAGUCACCAUGAACACAAGAAACUUCCACUCACUUACUCUAAAUGCAUAUUUUAUUGGAUUAAGCUUCAUGUCAUACCUGCACAUUAAACUGAAUGCUUCUUCCAAAUGGAGGAGCUUCUUGGAACGAGUUAUUCUCUUAAUGACAAUGUCAUCGAUAUAGACUUCCAACGUUCGACCUAUCAAGGGCUUAAAAAUAUGGGUCAUCAACUGUUGGUACGUAGCUCCAAUGUUCAUUAACCCAAGCGACAUGAUCUUGUAAAAGUACAACUCCUUAUGUGUAAUAAAUGUCAUCUUCUCUUUGUCAUGUGGAAACAUUGGUAUCUGGUGGUAUCCAAAAGAAGCAUCAAGAAAAGACAACAUUCCAUGCCUGGUUGUGGCAUCGACUAUCUAAUCUAUCUAGAGCAAUGGGAAGCUAUCUUUCAAGCAGACUUCAUUCAUAUCCACGUAGUCUGCGCACACCUGCCAUUUUUCUCCUUUCUUGGUACCACUACCACAUUUGUUAACUAGUCCAAGUAGGUCACCUCCUUGAUAAAUCUUCCUUUUAAUAGCUUCUCAACUUCUAUCUAGAUAAUUUUUUGAUGAUCCAACUAGAAACGUCAGACUUUAUAUUGUAUGGGUCGUGCUGUAGGAAGAAGGUUCAACUUAUGAGAGCUCACCGCUAGGUCUAUUCCAAGCAUUUCCGAAUGAAUCCACACGAGGAUAUCCUUGUUUUUACAAAGCAUUUCACCAACAUUACCACAUUCAUCCCUAGUUAGCAAAAAAUUAGCGUAAGUCAUCUGCUUAUUAUUUUUCGACAAAGAUAGCUAUUGUAAUAGGCUGAUUGCCAAUGAGUCUCUAUCCUCUAGUUUUCCUUCGACCUAAUUCUAUAAUUGUUAUUAGCUCUCUCUUGAUGAUUUGAGUUCAUCUUUAGUUGGGCCUGAACUCCAUCGCCACUUAGUAACACUACUAGGUGGCUAAUUGGAUUCCAUGUGGAUCCACUUACCCAAAUUCUGUCAGGUAGCUCACCAUCUUAUGAUAGGUGGAUGGAAUAACUUUCAUCUUAUGUAGGUACGACAACCUUAUGAUGGUGUUGUACGACGGUAAAUCCUCUACUAUAGAAAAUCAUACGUUGAGAGUAGGCGGGUUGGCUUGGACAAGAAGUACCACGUCGCAUAGUGAUAUUGUGGCAACCCUAUUAAACCCAAACAAAAGUCGAACUAGAUUUUCUAAGGCAGAUGACGAACAUCCCAUUUUCCUGUAGGUUGACAUAUGCAAUAAAUUGGAAUGAUCAUUUUAGGAAGGAUCACUUGAUUAAUGUUAAUUGAAGGGAAAGUGAUUGGGUCAUUGACUGGUCGGGCACUUUCGACAGUAAAUGUGCACUGAACUGCACUUACUCUUUCCCUCCCUGUAGUCGCACAGAGCAUUCGUCUCCUUUGUUGUUUGGAGUGAUAUUUGUCAUCUACUAUUUCCCCAUGGAUAUAGUUAAUCACUACUCGAUGUGUUGUGGGAGAGUCAGGAACUCACUCUGACACUUCACGUGUCAUUUCUUUAUGUCCACCAGUUGCUCAGACAUACAACUUGAGAUGUCCGGUAAUGAUUAGUUUCUCCACCAAGUAGUGCAAAUUUUUGCACUCUUCUGUGGUGUGCCCAUGCUCCUUAUGAUAGAAUCAUCGCAAUCCUCGAUCAUGCUUGGACGAAUCAGUUUUGAUGGGCUCUAGCCACUUGAACUCGAGCAGCUCUCAAAUCAAGAGGAGAAUUCUAUCAUAAAAAAUGGUCAACGGGGUGAGCCUAGGCGAUUAUCAUUGUUGUUGUCUUUCUUGUCCUUGAUUAGUCUAUCUAGACUGGCUUGAGGGCUUUAAGCUCUUAGCCUUCUUUUUUAAUUGCUCGGUUUAUAACCAGGAUUUGUUGAGAGGUUACCUAAACAUCCUCCUCAAGCAUGACAUGUUUGCCCACUCGUCUAAAUAGGUCAUUCAUUGUAGUGGGCAACUUUUUGGCCAUGGACUUGAAGAAUUGAGUGCUUGGACUGAUGAUCCAUUUGAAGAUCUGCAGGAUAGCAUCCAUGUUGUAAGAUUCCAUCUAGAACACCGCUUGUCUGAAUCACUUCAUGAAGUCCCUUAGCGAUUCAUUCUCCUACAUCUGAAUGUUCUAUAAGGUGCUUAUAUUCUGCUUUUGGCGAGCAAAACAUAAAUAAUGGCCCACAAAGGCCUCUAAAACAUCUGUCAUCUGUUGUUGGAAGUGCAUCAGGUGAACAAAAGAGUCACCAUCCCAUAGUAAAUAGUAAAUUUGGGCACCGGAAACCCCUGGGCAGCUCAUAACUAAUGAUAUGUGGGUCAAACGACAUGAAGAGCAUGUCAUCCAAUCAUCUACUUAUGGAGUCAAGAGGGGCUUUUGUCAAUGGGUUAUUUGUCGAUUGUAGUUCUAGUAUUGAACAUUAAGGCAGACGGCUUGGUGAUGCCUCAUCGUUUGAUUGGCCUAAUUGUGCUUUCAAGGCCUCCAAUAUGCAUGGCGAUGCUAGUGUUCUUCUCUCCUGAUACCCAAGAUAGGCUUUCAGGGCAUCUGAGAGACGUAAGCCCCAUUCUUAACCCAUUUUCCAUUUUUCUCCAAUAGAGCUUGCAACCUCUUUCGCUUGAGUUCGAUCGACUACUGAAUGCACUAGUUCAAGUAAUGUUAGCGAACUGCUAGUAGACAAUCCCUCAUCCACUGUUUGUAGAGACGACUUAGUGUAUCAUUGAAGAACUUUCAUUGUUUGGCUUCAAACUACUCUUGAAGUCGUCUAUUGGUUGGAGGUACGAUGACUUUUUUAUCAGCACCCCAUAGCCACUUGUGCUCGUAGCUCUUGGUUCUCUUGCUGUAGUUGUUCUGCCUGUUGGACAGGGACUACAUAGGUUAUUCAUAUUCUUCUUGCUUUUUUUCUAUCUUUCCUUGCCAAGCUUGGAAUCGCUCGUCAACAUUUGCAGAAUGAGUUGCAGGAGGCGUGUUAACCAUCGUGUUUUUUAGGCAUUUGUGGUUGAUUCCCAUAGACAAUGCCAAUGUUGGUGCACGACCAGUAAAAAAAGGUGUUUGGCUAGUCUCCAUGUAACAUAGAUGACGAUUGCACCUGCACAAAGGAAUGUCUGAAUGGGUUUUUCAGGUACACCUUUCCAAAGCUUAGGUCAGAAAUGGAAGACUUAAGCAAGAGUUUUUGUGGAAAAAUUGGUAGCAUACUUUUCUUGUGGUUAAGAAUAACUAUUUAUCUUUGUCCAACUAUAAUAUCUUCUCAGAUGCCUUAAUUGAGCCUUUGAUUGUGCAUUAUCAUCUUUAAUGUCAAUGAUAGCCAACCCAUAAUGGUUGUUGUGUCUUGAUGAACCUUAAAGGUUGGCGUUUUAACCUCAUAAUGAUUGCAUCCAUCAAUGCGUUAAUGCACUAAUUGCCUAUUGCAAUUAAUGCUUGUUGGGCAAGAAUGCAUAGUGCCCGAUUAGAUUGUGUUUGUUUGGUACCCUAAGAGUACCCUGGGGUGGACAAAAAAGCCACAUGGCUCUUGUUCUAACAUGUCUCGACUAGACAGUGUUUGAGGAUCAUGUUAGAUGGUGAUGAGCAUCCCACAGUGAAGACGUAUGAUGAAAGCAAAGGUAGGGCUUCUAAACCAAACGCUUUUAGGGAUUUUUUUUUUUUUUUCAACAAAGUUGACCUCUUCAAGGAAAAAAAAAAAGGUUAAAAAAACUAUUGCUUUUUUGGAUCCAAAUCACCAUUUCCAAUGUGAUAUUUGGAUUUCCACCAUGUAUUUUUUUUUUUUUUAACAGUCAAGGACAUUUUAUGGAUUAUUGAAAGAUAAUAUCUUUCAACUUAAUUUCCUACAUUAAUUAAGUCUUAGGCUCAAAUGUGAAACUUAAGUGGUUGUUAGGCCAUCAAACCCAUCUGCCCUAAAGUAUAAUUUCCCAUUUUCAAAAUAUAUAGUUGUUAAACAUCUAUCCCAAACUAUUGUAACCCUUUGAAGUGCUUGGUAUGUUAACCUUGUUUCCUUUUCCUUAUGCAACAUGGCUAAUUGAUUGUUGCAUUGAAUCAUUAUCAUUCACCAAAUCCAUUCAACUAUGGACUUACCUUUCAAAUCCCUCUAACAAAAAUGGUAAUUCCAAAACAACUCAAGUCUAAUGUUCUCAACUCUUUCAAAUGAUUUAAUUAAUUGGUGUUUGAAUAUACCUCUUAUAUUUUUUUAGAGCAAUUUUUAGGCACAUAACAUAAAUUUCUAAUUUUUUUUUAGAAAAGGUUUUAUAUUUUAUAUUUUAUAUUACAACUUCCCCUUUUUUUUCCAUCUAAAAAACAAAACAUAAAACCUUAAUAACCGAGUUUUGUCACAAACCCUUAACAAAUAAUCUAUUUUCCAAAAAUUACUUUAACAUCUUUAAACAUAUUGAUUUAGUAUACUUUACUUUUAAUAUUUUUUGAAAAAUAUUUUUAUUUUAUAUGAUUAUUAAUUAAUUAAGAUUGAUUGGGUAUGGUAGAAUAUAUAUUCCAAAAUACAUCGUAUUGAGAACAAUAUCACAAGAUAUUAUAUCCAUAUCUUAACAUAUUAUAUACUUUUAUUUUGUGCAAUUAGCAAUUGGACGGAAGGUAGGGAGCCGGCUUAAUGGAAAUGUCGCAUCUCACGUGUGUCCCUUCCCUUACCAAGUCUCAACAAAGGAUGAAAAUAUCGGUAAUCACGGAUAUAUCGGUACUUCGAUUUUACGGAUAUAUUAGAUAUAUCAGAGAUAUAUUGACGGAUAUUUUGGAAAAAAAUAUCGAUAAGCCUAAAAUUGAUCAAAAUUUAUAAAAAUAUAAAAAAAACUUCAUAAAAAUGUAAUUAAAAGAAGGUCGUAUAAGUUACUCAUGUUGAUCAUGUGAUAUAUCACGAGAUAUAAUCGAUUUUUGGGAAUUUCUCACGAAAAUAUCGCGACAUUUCUUCCUUGUCUCGACUGCUCCAAGAUUUCCUAUACGCCCUUCUUCGCUUAGCUCUUAAGUCUUUUCUUCUCCUCUUCCUCAAACCCAUCACAUUUCGCCGCGUGGAGCUAAGUCUCAAGGUCCUUUUGUUCGUACGAUGUAUGUUCCCCCAAUUCCUCAUCUACCUUGAAACUCCAUACUCGCCAUCUACUCAACCACUUCUCUACUCUAGAGUCUGGAUGCUUUAUCUCCGCGAGUGUCGAUGGCUCUUCACCCCAGCGAGUAUGGAAUUACAAGGGCAAUAUCGUCAUUAAAGACACAACAGGCAAACCAAUGGCAUUGUCUUCCUUUUGGUCUAUUUUAUUUAUGCUGUAAGUAUUCGUGCUUGACUUCUCCCGCGUCUCUUAUAAAAACUAAAGAAAACCACUCCAACAGAGCACACUUCAAGAAUCUUCUUUUUUUUUUUCUUUCCUCUUUCUCUUUACAUAUAUACUGAGAAAGCCCAGCUCAUCCCUCAAUUCCCAGAUGGGUUUUAUGAAUGUUCUCAAGUUCUCAGCUGCAUGCUUUGAUAUUCUUGCCUGGUAUGUUGUCCACGCAUUUUCUCGCCAUUGGAAAUUUUUGGAAAAUGAAGUGGAAUUCUCUGUUUGAGGACAAACAUGGGAUUUUCUUUGAUUUCUCCCUGUUGGUUUUAUCUAUAUUCUUUGGAUUACCCACAUUCUUGUCAUUGAUUGUUAGUCAUUUGUUUGGAUUUCUACUUGCAGGCCUCUAUUUGCACUGGGUUAUCCUCUGUAAGUCUUGGUCUUACACCUCAAGAUAUGAUGAUUCAUUUACUCUUUUCUUGUUCUACGAAUAGUUCAGUUACAUUUAUUGUGUUGGGAAACUGAAAAGGGAAAGGAUUAUUCUUUAUUAUCGUAAUAAUCAUCAACAUCAUCUCGGUUCUUCACAGAUGUUCUUCAAUUCGGGCAAUUGAGACUAACUCAAUCUCAGACUUUCGGAAGUUGGUGGCGUAUUGGGUUCUAUUUUCCUUGAUUUCACUCUUUGAUCAUGCUUUUUCCAAGCUCCUUGAAUGGUAAUUUUGCUCAACUGCGUUCCACUAUAUGUGACUCUGUUUGUUUCAUUUCUUUGCCCUUAAGGAAUUUGGAGUUGCUUUUUUCAGUUUUCUUUCCUAUGAAAAUAAUCGAGAUGUUUAAUGUUCCAGGCCUCCAUGUAUUUUAUAUUCCUUCAUUUCUCUGCUUUGACAAAUGCUCACAAUCUGAUCAGCAGAAAGGUUAUAACAUUUGAAAAAGAAGUGGUUUAUUUUUGUUUUUUUUAAGUACAAUAAUUUUCGUUUGGAUAAAUGGUCUGAAGGGUGUUUGUGUUUGGCUGAGUUCAUGGAAUUUUCAAGCUAAUUUGGGAUUUAUUCUCAAUUUCAAGAUCAUUGUGGAUAUGUCAGAAAUUAAUGAAAUAUAAAUGGUGGAAUGUGAUUUUCUUGUUUAAGAAAAGUUUUUCUUUGAAAAUGCGGGUGCACCAGACCUACCUUAUUGNNNNNNNNNNNNNNNNNNNNNNNNNNNNNNNNNNNNNNNNNNNNNNNNNNNAUCAGAUUCAACUGUGAUAGCCCGGAAUUUAAUUCAGUAUUCGACUCUUCUGGGAACAUGUUGGUUAUGGUUUCUCUCUCACUGUCCUCUUCUUUACACAUGACUUUUCAGUUGAGGAGCACAAAGCCUAAUGUUGAAGUGAAAGAGAUCAAAGCACCUGCAGCACCGGAGAAAAAAGGGGAACAGGUAAGUACUCUAAUGUGGCUAUUUAAUUUCUAUGGAGGCAGAUCCCCAGAGAAAUGCUGUUCAUGUAAAUUACUGAUGCAUUUGAUUCAAUGGCCACGGUUUUAAAAGAAAAACCACUUUAUGUAUGUUUCUGUGAAUGAGAGAACAAGUUUAUGGAUUAAAUGAUAUUUUUUAUGGUGAAAUAAUCAAUAAUUUUCAAAAUAAUAAUACAUUCCUGCAUGUUUUUGCAAUUCAUGAAUUCCUUUUAUGAUUGAUUCUUCUCACCUUUUUUCUCACCUCAGUGGAAGUGUGAAGAGCCUAAUGUUGCUCAAAAAGAGAUCCAAGUAGUCAAAGUAACAGAGAUAAAAAAUGGGGGGGAUGGAGCAAAGAGGGUAAGUUUUGCUUUUUAUUUAUAAAGUAGGCUGUCUUCACACAAGGAUUAUUAUUAUUAUUAUUGUUAUUAUUUUAAGACAUGAAUGUUGAAUGAUUUUGGAAUUGUCCUUGAAUCAUGUGAAGUGUGAAUGGUCUAAUGCUGCUAAGGAGGAGGUCAAAGUGACAGAAGUAACACAGAGAACAUUUGGUGGUACAGCACAGUGGGUAAGGUUUCAUGUCAUAUUUAAAUGGCUCCUCAUAUUUCACUAGGAUUAAUUUUGCCCCUACAAACUAUUUGGCUACAAGUUAAGACAGAGUUCCAGAUGCUGAUAAAGCUGAGACAUAAGUAAUGAACGAAUUUAGACACAUGCACAACUCUUGUGUGAAACACAAUGAGAGUGGAAAAUAGCUAAGUUGAAAAAUGGCCAAAUACUAUUUUGUAGUUCCCCCUACCACUUAAGUAAUUUUUGUCAUCCUUUGUGAAUGGAAAAUGCAGUCCCUUCAGUAAUUCCAUUAUAUUCAUGACUUGGUGAAGCAUAUAACCAUUAGUGUCUUACCCUAAGUCGACCUUUAAUGAUGAUCCAUUGAGAUGGGUCUGACUUUUGUCAACCCUCUUAUUCCCUUGAUCAUAGAGGUGAAACUUAGGGGGCUUAACCCACUUUUCAAUCUUAUUGGAUAUAUGGCACGUGGUAUCCUCUUCAUCUUGAAAGAGUGAAGUGGUCAUACUCUUUCCUCUGAGUCCAUUGUGGCCAUGCACUUCAGGCUCAUUGGGCUGAGUGAAAGGAUUCCCUUCUGCUUCAAAUCAUAGAGAGAUAUGCCAUGGUCAGCCUCUUUAAUUCAAGGGAUUGAAGUACUCAAAUCCAUUUCUCUGUAUCCAUCUUAGUUCUGCAUUCAUGUCUCAUGGUUAACCAAGAAGAUCCAGCCUCCAUCCAUGAGAUCAGCAUCUGCAGGUUUAUGACACCACCCUUCCUUUGCAUAGGAAAGGGAUCAUUAAGCCAUGUGUCGGAUGACAGAAGUCAUCAUUCAGGUUAUCUUGAGAACUAAGGAAGUUGGAAUUCUAAUUAUUGCAUAUGGUUCUUGAUGUUUAGCCAAUAUACUAUAGGAUUUUAAGCAUCAUGCUCACGUGCAUUGUGGUUGCUUAUCAGCUAUAUGGUUUGCCAAAAUGAGGGACUGAUUAUGGUCAUAAGUACCUUUUUCCCAUUAAUUUCUUGCAUGUGCUCUGCUGAGAUUAUGUUUUUGACAGUCCAAAUCAGGGCAAACCAACAAACAGCUUUAUGUUAACUUUUACAAACUGCCAUAUUUUCAGGUUAAACAAACAGAGAUAAAUCUUGGUGAAACUAGAAGUAAUACAACCUGUGCUGUGGAGAUAAAAGAAAGGGCAGCAGCACUGGUGGCUGCAGAAAUUGAGGCAUGUAGAGACGAUAGAACCCCCAAGAUACCUCUUCAUGAGAAAGUCCAGAAAGAGUGGGCUUGUGCUGUGUGCCAGUUCACAACCCAAACUGAAGCGACCUUCAAUUCCCACCUUCAAGGGAAGAGACAUCAGGCCAUUUCUGAGCAGCUGAGAGCCAAAAAUCAGGCAACCAAAACCAAUUGUUCCCCAUCUGCUUCAAUGGCCAAGAAAUCUGAUCAGUCCACCAAAGAGGAGCAACCGAAGUGUACUUCCAAUCUGAAUUCCAAAAACAAUGGAAUCUCAGCUGCUUCAACAGUGAAGAAACUUGAUGAGACCAAAGAUGAUGAGCAACAAAAGUCUGCAUCUAGCAAUGGACCGAACCAGAAGAAUAACAAAAAGCAAGAGGUACAGACCAAUGAGCAAGGCCGUCAGAAGAACUUAAGGCAAACUGGUGAUGGAAUGAAAGAGUUGAGAUCAUGGUGCAAUAUCUGUAAUGUAAGCUGCACAAGGGAGCUUGACCUGGCCUCGCAUCUCAAUGGAAGGAGGCACUUUGAUAGGAUAAAGCAGCUGUCUGAAUUAUGGUGCAGUAACUGCAAUGUAAGGUGCAACAGUGAGGUUGAUAUGGCCUCUCACCGAAAUGGGAGGAGGCACUUGGAGCAGCUGAAGGAACGGUUAGGAUUAUGGUGCAGUAUCUGUAGUGUGAGUUGCAACAGCAAGGUGGACAUGGAUUCUCACCUAAAUGGGAAGAUUCACUUGGAUCAGAUCAAGGACCAGUUAAGAUUAUGGUGUGGGGCAUGUAAUACAACCUGCAAGAGUGAGCGCAACAUGGCCUUUCAUCUGAAUGGGAGGAAGCACUUAGAGAAGAAGGGGAAUACCUGAUUUGCAUGUUUCUUCAGAUUAUUGAUACUUACAAAUGGUUUUAGUUAGAAGCAUACAGGCCAGUGGGUGGUGGUCACAGAUGCCUCUAUUUUGUUGUAUGAAGUAAAAACAGUAUUUCCAUGUCCAGAAAUCAACCACUUGUUUAGUGCAUGCAUGGCUGGUUCAAAAUUAAACCUAAUUGUGAAUGACUAGGAGCAGGGAGGGAAAAAUUGAAGGGAAGAAUGUAAGAUUAUGGCUUCAUUUUUAUUUUUUCCUCUUCUGAAAAUUGUAAGAUUGUGUUAGGAGGAGCUGGAAUGGGUUCAAAUCAGGAAUUAAGACCCAGUUCCAAGACAUGGAAAGUGUCUUUAGAUUAUGUUAAGUUAUUUCCAUUUUUUUUUCUUUUCUAUUUUUUUUCUUUAUUUAUUGUAAGAGGGAGCAUAAAUGAAUUUUUAUUUUUUAUUUUUUUUUUCAGAAUAAAGAUGAAUUUGAUAAUUUCAAUUAUUGCGUUUGGAUGUAUUUCGGAACGUAAGAUUGAAAUAAUUAUUUGUUUUCAUUUUAGUGUUUGAUAAUAAUGAAAGUAUGAAUUAAAAAAUAAAUUGAUAAUAAUACUCUUACAUUUAAUUUAAAACAAUUUUUUAUUUUUAUUUUUAUUUUAGAAGAAUAUGGGUUAAUUUUAUUUAUUUAUUUUUUAAAUAAUAAGCUUAAGAAAAAUAAUUUUUACUCAAUAAAUAAAAUUAAUCAUACAAAGUCAUAAAAACCAAACCAAAAUAUAAGGGUAAAAUAGUAAUUUUAAAAUAUUCAUUUAAGUUAUCCAAAUGCAUUCCUACUCUUCAUUCUCUUGUACGAAAUACGGUCUUUAAGCGUUUGUCAAACUUAUUUCUUUUUUGGCAAUAUAUCAAUAUUUUAGUAAUAUUUUUAUCGAUUAGUUGCUGAUAUUUAUCGCCACGUCACCAAUUCUUUGAGUUUGACUUUCAAAAUUUUGAAAUGAUCAUUGAAGUCCAGUUCAGCCCAAAUCACUACACCCAUGAAAGGGAACGGCUGGGCCACCACACUAAUAUGGCCCAUACAUGGGACCUCGUAAAAGAAUACCCAUCUUCAAAAAUAGGGACCAUAUUAAAUUAUUAAUGUAGCUAUAGGAAGCAUUUGAGGACAAGGGUCAUGAUUUUUCCCUUUUCUUUUUCUCCUUAAUUUUCACAUCACCCAACAACACCACUCUUAAUUCACACAAAUUUGAAGGUUUGGAAUGAGACUUAUUCGUAUUUAUAUUGUAAUUAUGCUAUAAUAAUCGUGUCGUAUUUGGAUUUAUUUAUUAAAUCCAUCUAAAUCUUUUGUUUAUUCGUGUCAAAACAAUAUAUUUAUAAUCGAAUCCAUUUAUGACAUAUUCAUCUUUUAUAAAUUUAUUAAUUUUAUAUAUUUUAAAAUUAUAAAAAUUAAAUAUAUUUUUUCAAUUAUGAAAUCAUAUUACUAAAAUAUUAAAUAAUUCAUUAACUUGAAAUGUUUUACAUUUCAUUAAUUAUUUUAUAAUUACAACAUUAAGUGAAAUAAUAAAUAGGUAUAAAAUAUAUAUUUUAUUUUAGUUAAAAAUUAUAAAUUGUUAUUGAGACAUAUAACUAUUAAAAUUCUACCCAUUUGACUAUCAAACAAACAACUUAAGUUUUUAGUCAUGAUUUAAGCUUAUGAUAAACUCUAUUUACAAAAAUUAGAAACCAAAAUCAAAUUCUUCCUAGACUCAAAAACAUAAAGACAAUCUUUUAACUUUAGAAGACAACUAUCAUCUAAGAUAAGGGUAACUCAUCCCAUUGCAUGUACAACAAUUCUUGCUUCAAAAGCUAAUGUUAGGUACAUAUCCCUAUCAUUCAACCUUUCCCUUAGCUAAAACCCCUAUAAAGAAUUAUAAACAUGAUCAAUGGCUCCAAAAUUUAUCCACCAAGAGUUAGUGGAAUCUAACACUAAAAAUGAUUCAACUAAAAGAGAAUGAUGCAUACCUAACUGUCUCUUCAAGAACUAAGGGCAUUCCUUCUUCUAGUGGCUUUUUUUACCACAAAGGAAACACUUAUCAUGACCCUUACUCUUCUUCUUUUUCCCUUGCCCUUGAACUUUCCCUUCUGCUUGGUGAAUUCUACAAUGUUCUUCUUAUUUUGGUUAGAAGAACCUAAAGAACACUUAACUGCCAUAUAAAUACCUCUCUGGUCCUUGAGAAUUCCCUCAAUUGUUUUGUGUUCUCUCAUCAGUUCGGUUAUAGUUUAAGAAAAAAAAUGUUUUUUUUAUGUGACUAAACUUGGAAUGAAUGUCCAAGUUGCAUACAUACUCGGGCUAAGAUCAAGUCAUAACGUAGUUUAAGAAAAAAGAUUUUUUUUUUUUUUUUUUUUUUUUUUUUUUUGUGAUUGAACUUGGAAUGGAUUUCUAAGCUACUUACGUAUCCAGGAUGGGAUCAAGUUCUAACAUAGUCACAAUGCAGUUCAAGAAUUUUUUUUUUCUUUUUUUGUGCUCUAACUUUUGCCAAGACUAAAGAUCUUAAUUUUGCGAGCAUGUUCUAACUUUUGCCUAGGUCGCCUUUCCAAGUUUUCAAUUUAGCAAACAAGGUUUUUUUUUUCUUUUUUUUCUUUUUCUUUUUUUAGUUCUCUAACUUUUGCCAAGACUAAAGAUUUUAAUCUUGGAAGCAUGUCUUAACUUUUACCUUAAGUCGAAUUUUUAGGUUUUCAAUGUGGUGGAUUUUUUUUUUUUUUUUUUUUUUUUGUGUCGUAGGUAAUUUAAGCUCAUAUGGAUUGGAAGCAAUGUGUAGUUUGUUGGGAUUAAGCCCUUAAAAGCAAGACAUGAUGUAAUAAAGUUAAACUUAACUAUUUCCUUACUAUCUUUUUGGUGUAUCAACAUUGAUUUAAACAUUCAACCCAUAUCUCUUACAUUGUACAUGAUUUAGGAGCAUUAAGAGUUGCACAAAAGAUACAAGUUAUGGGUUCCUUGUAAGUAGAUGAGUUAUCCAUAGUCAUUUCAUGGAUUUGGGCAAUCUAGUAGUGACUAUAGUGCACCACCUCCUAAUUUAAGGGAUGACUUGUCUUGGCAGUUGGGAUGAGUUUCCUAUGGUGAGCGUACUAGUGUAAAUGAUGCACAUUGGACAGGACCUAUGGUGAAUCAUGACGCAAGGCUAUCAAUUGUCAUGAUUCACCAAGUUACUAUACUACAUGGACUCUCAACCUUGAGAGGACAUUGAACCCAUGUCAAAAUCAAUAGAAAGUUUUGACCUAUGGGCGAGACCCUAAAGUAGUCAUAUAUUCCUAUGGAUUAGGUCAUUGUUGAUGUAGGCUGGUUAUAAUAGGCAUUCUCAAUAGAGGCACCAUGAUAUGUCAUGGGAUUGAGAUGGUGUGUCCCUUUGGGUGAUCCAAAGAACAUGUGAUCAUGAAAUUUGUGGCCACAGUAAUUCCUUUAGUGAAAUUUGACAUAUGCUCCUUGGAGUUAGAGUAUGUCAAUUGAUCACAUAAUAAGUGAGAUCUAUAACUCAAGGAUUUGAGAGAUAAUAUUGAUAGGUGAUAACACUAACUUGUUAGAUUUAGACACCAGUUUCAUGAGGAAUAUGCAUGUAGUGGAUAGUAGGUCAUGAAUGCGAGCUUUGUCUCGUUGUUAUUUACAUAAGGUACCGGAGUGUAGUUGAUUCUCUUUAGUAGAGUGUUGAAUCAACUUCAAAAUUGGAUUAUGAGGUAGUCAGUACUCCUAUGGGUCUCAAUGGUCCCCACUCUGAGCUAAUAUACCAUGAUGACACAAUUUAUGAGGGUUGGAUUGACUUUAGGUUCAUUCUUAUGCAUAAGGGCAUUUUGAUAAUUACACAAGGUUGCAUAGGGGAUAAUAAAUAAGGUCUCUAGAUUGGACUAAUUGAUUAAUUAGAUGGCCUUAUGUGGUUAAUUAAUCAAUUAAGACAUGUUAGGGCUAGAUUAAGUGACCCAAGCCUUGAUGGGUUCAAGUCACUUAAGCCUAAUGGGUAACCGUAUAAAUACCUCCUUAUGGGUUAGGGUUUUCUAAUGACUUUUAGUUAGUCAUCUUCCACUUUUAGAAAAAUAGAGAGAGCCAAAGCUUCCUCCUUUCCACUGCCCACACUUUGGUAUGCCAAGAUCGGGAAUCGAGUCAUCGAACAAAAGAUCUUAGGUGUACGAGACCUUUGAACUCUUUAGGCUUCUUCUUCGUUGGAUGGAUUUUGAUCUGGGAACAUCUAGAUCACAUGUAUGUGUUAUAAUAUUUGGUUAAUUCAACCUAAGGUAAUCACCCUAGAGAAGGGGUGAAUAGGGUGAUGAUUUUUUUUUGCAAAUUUAAAUUAUGUGAAUGCAAGAGACAAUUAUAUGCAAAAUAUAUGGCAAAACCAUAUAAAAACAAUUGCAUAUAAAGUAAAAGGUUAAGGAAGAGAGAAUAUAAACACAAGAUUUUUAUAGCGGUUCAGUGCAACCCGACCUCCAUCCAUUCUCUUCUAGCUUCAAUACUAAACUUGAGGUUCCACUAAUUCAAGGCUUCCAAUCCAAGCCUUCAAGUAAUACAAUUGGAUUAUGGUUCCAAUCAAACCUCUUGAAAUUUUAGUUCUAAACACAUUUUACAAUCUUCAAGAGAUACCUCACUCUUGAACAACUCCUUAAGUGAUACCUCACACUUGAGAAUCCCUAAGUGAUACCUCACACUUAGAUUUUUCAUCUCAAAGAUUUAUCCGCUCUGCACCCACCUCCCGAGUAUAUGCUUCAACAGGAAUCACACAAGGGUAGAUUGAUACAAUAGAAACCUCUGGUAAAAUGCCCGCUCGUAACCCAGCAGAUAAAGUACAUUACAUAGUCCGUUUUAGGGAUUGGCUACUUACCCAUUCAGUGACUUUGGCACUGGACGUUCCCAAAAUGGGUACUAUCGGGUCGGGUGAAUUCAAUAAUAGACGCCUGUUGGCAUUCCAGCCUUCCUUCUCCUUUCAGGGCCUAUCCGAAAGAGAAUCCAGUACUUCUUGGUCAAAUGAAGAUAGGAAAUUAUUAGCCUAAGGACUCUCCUAAUCGGGUUUUGAUGAUAACAAACCAUGAUUAAAUGACUAAUUGGUUUAAUGGUUAAGAAUCUCAAGCAUAAACUCGAAAAUUCAUCAAAUGACCAAAUGGAUACAAGAUCGAGACAUUUGGAAGACUUGUGAUCAUAGGAAACUAAUGUAAGAUGAAUGCAUGAGUGCACUUAGGAUUUUCAUACCGUUUCAUACAAUUUAGAAAACUCAGUUUAUUCUUUAAAACUUCAAUUUCAUUAAAACCCGAGUUUUAACAAUUGUACCUCAGGCAAAAUGUUUUAAAAUUGGCAUAAUAAUUCACCUAAAAACCUUGCCUAAGUGUUAGGAAAGAAAGGAAUUGAAAAAGAUAGGUUUUCGGGGCCAAAAGGCUCAACCGGUCGAGGCUAUGGCCAACCAACUCAACCGGUUAGGGAAUCGGUCGACUGGUUACCCUUGUCCAGUUGAGGUCCGAUCGAAGGAUGCACAAAAUUUUCUCUCUCUCCCAGUAGCCUUCUCUUCCCGGUUGAGGUUAUUCUCUUCCCUGUCGAGGUCCGGUAUAGGCAACGGUAACCUGUCAAGCAUUAAAUGCUCCAACGGCUAGCGAACCGGUCAACCCCUAGCUCGACCGGUCAAGGUUACCUUUUGUUGUUUUUGACUCCCGAGCUUAGAAACCUAUAAAUUGAGAGCUCCACUUCAUUUAUUGACGAGAUAACACUUGCAAUCAAUUGUCUACCUAUUUGUUCUUGAUCAGAAAGCUCUCAUUUCUUUCUUAGUACAUUAAAUCAUCACUUGCAUAUCCUUUAGUGCACUCUUGUGUGUCAUCCUAGAUUUGUCUUGUAUUUGAGCUAUCUUUAAGCUAGGUUGAGGGAUUCAUUCUUGUAAAAACCGAGUGUUAAAGCCUUCAAGAAGUUUAAAUCUUGAAGAGAUUGUGUAAGAGUCCAUUGGAGCCAAAAUCCAAGUGUAAGAAGAUUGGAAGUUUGGUUGAAGUUUCAAGUUAGUGGAACCUUCACUCGGUUAGGAGAUUGAGGAGACUGAACGUAGGCAAAGAAGUGUCGAACUACUAUAAAACCCGAGUUUGAAUUCUCUAACUCUAGCUCUUUAUUUUGCUUAUAUUGUGCUUGAACUCGUUGUGAUUUAAAAGAAUUUAAAAAACCCCUAUUUGGGUGUUUUUCUUAAUUAAGCAUAGCCUUUAUUUUCUCAUAAAUAAUCUUACAAAAUCUUAGUACAAACUUUAGCCUUAAAUGAUACAAAAUAAACUAGGAUUGAAUGGUGCACUAAUGAUAUGUAAGUUUUAAAACAAUGUGUACAAAAAACACUCCCCUAAAGCUCAAAUAUAUUCGAGAAAGGUUUAAGAAGGUUAAACUCUUGAAACAAUAAAUAUUGAAACCUUUUUAUAGAAGAGAAAAACCAAACUACCUGUUGGGGAUUCGUUCGAUCAAGCUCUGGUUCGACCAGUUCACUAGCCUUUAGCAUUUAAUGUAUGAUAGGUGACCAUUGGACCUUGACUACCCCUUGAUUGGUACUCGACCGGAUGAAGUUCAACCUUGAUUGAUCGAAUAAGCAUUCUGGAAGAGAGAUAAGGUUUUUGCACCUUUCAACCGAGUAAGCUGAAUAGGUCGACUAAUUUCUCAUUCGAUUCAACCGAUUGAGUCAUUUUUUGCUCAACAACUAUUAUUUUCAACUUAAAACCUUUUAAACAAGUUUGGAAAGCAUUUGACAUAAGGUUUUAGUUGAAAACAUGAAAUCAUCCAAUUUUUAAAAGAUUUAAAACAAAAUAACUCUUGAAUGAUUUUGGUGUAUAAGUAAAGAAUGUAAUGCAUGAAAAACCCAAUGCACCAACAACCUUACAAAGAGAUCCUAUGAGUCUUAGGUCUUGAAAAACACUUAUCUUUAAGGUCUUCUUCUUCUUAUUGAUUUUAUCUUUGUGAUUGCCACUUUGGAAAUCAUCUUGCCUAGUCACACUUAAAAUAUAAUCAUUAGUUCUAAAUCUUGUUUUGUUAUCAUCAAAACUAAGAUUAACCAAACCUUGGUUUCACAAUAUGAAUAUUGUAUCUCUAGAUCUAUAGUUAAUAGUGGUUUUUAUAGUCAUUUGUUUCCAUUGCGAUAAAUUUAGAGAAGCUUAGGGAUAGAUGAAUGCACCCUAUGAGAUCUAGGGCAUAGGAAUGGAGUAAUCCGGGGUUCCUAACAUAGUUUAGGCUUGUGCUUCAUGGAGUGAUAACAAUUCUUCAAGCAUAGUUAUGCUUUAGAAAUUUGUUAUUGAUUGGUCCAAUUUUUAGACCAUCUUCAGCAACAAUCUUGUGUGCACCAUUGAUAUAAUCUUGUUAUACAAAAUAUGAUCUAUCACAUUUUUGGCAAGAACUUUCCACUGGUUUUGUGCAUGGUAAUGAUCAUGCAUGCAAACUUAACUAAGUUAUACACUAGAUGCCAAACUACUACAAUUCUUAUACACCUUCCCGUUUUGUGCAACUGAACAAUUCAACAUCAUAACACCAAAGUUCUUGCUUAGAUUUCCUACAGUGCUAAAAUUUUGAAAUGAUUAAUUUGUUUAUUUUUCUUUCAAUCCCAAGACCCACAUACAUCAUGUCAUGCCCUAAGACCCACUCUAAGGGCAUGACAAUCAUUUCACAUCUCAAGGUCGAAAGCUCAAAGUGUAAAUUGACCUUAACAUUCAUUUUGUAACUGGAAAAUUAUCAAUUACCAAAUUCAUAUUUAUAGUAGUAGAAUAAAAUUCUACAAGUUUCAAAUCUCAACUUUAAAGUUAACACAUCAACUAAAGUGUUAUUGUCCAAACAACUUCAAACUUAACAAUUCAAGCAAUCAUUAAAUUCUAACUUUCAAAAAAUAUUUUUUAAAAAUAAAGAUUUAACGAAAAGUCUUAGUAUUGCCAAAAUCUCAUCCUAACCUUCACUCCUAGCCUGAAUUAAGGUGCCUAAAAAAUUGUCAAUGAAAGGAAAUGAGAUCAACGCUCAAUAAGGAAUAUUAAUAAGGUUUCAUGGAUCAAACAUUUUUAAUUAUAAUUCCAAAUAGGAGAUAUAAUAUAUAAUCAUUUUCAUAAGAAAUUUUGAGUUUAAAUAUAAUAAUAUAUUGAAAACUUUUCAGCUAAACAUUUUCAUAUCUAUGUCAAAACAAUUUCAUAUCAAAUUCAAAUCAAAUAUAUACAAAAUAUUUUUACUUUGGUUAUCAAAUGUCACAUGGUGUCAAGUUAGGUGGGACUUUACAAAUUGGUGUCUAACCUCAAAUUUUUUCCUUUCAAGGUGGACGAAACCAAACACUACUAGUAUUAUUAACAUCUAACCAAAUCCCUAAAGGGUGAGAUCUAAAGCAAUUACAUUCUCCGCCAAGAAAUAUAAGGUCAACAAUUAUAACUCGUUGACUAGGGACAAAAAUAAACUAGAGUCAAACACCUUAUUUCAUUAAUUCAAACUUGCAAAACAAAAACAUCAUAUCUCCAUAAUUUUCAUUUUUUAUAAACAAAAGAAAUGUUCUAACAUAGUUUUUUCAUGAAAAAUAUAUAUUUGAUCCAUGCAUAAAAAUAAAAAUAAUUUUUUUAUUAUUCAAAAUAACAUAUAAAAAUAAAUAUGUUCUUUUGGCCAAAACAUGUAUUAAUUUUUCUUACCUCAAAGAAACACUCAAAGACCUUGAAGCAAUUAAUCCUAAAGAAUUUCACCCCAAAAAACAUAUUUCACACCUUACUAAAAAAAAAAAAACAAAACAAAAAAAUUACUAUUGAUUAUUUAUCUAAUAAUAGUUUUGUAUUUUAUAUCACCUAUAUUAUUUUUAACUUCCUAAUAAAUAACAAUUUAAUAAGCGAUUUUCCAAAUUUUUAAAAGUUAUGUUCUUUCCAAAAUUUAUUCAUAAUAUUCUAUUAUUAUUAUUAUUAAUUAAAUCUCUCAAAAAUAUGUUUUUUCUAUUUAUUGCAUUAAACUAUUAUUAUUAUUAUUCAAUUUCAAUUUGAUUAAUUGGUUUUUUCUUUUAAAUUCCUAAUUUAUAUAAGAUUCUUGUUUUGAAAAUCUUCCAUAUUUACUUAUUUGUUUAAAGUAAAUUUCUCCAAAACUUGUUCCUUUUGGUUAAACAAGUAUCUUUUCCUAUUAUUAUUAUUAUUAUUAUUAUCCCUAAUAUUAUAUUCAAAUAACUAAACAAUAAUAAUUUAAAUUAGUGAGUUUCCAAAUUUUUAUAAAACUCAUAUUCAUUCUAAAUCUUAUCAUAUAUAUCAAUUUCUUUUAUAUACUUAAAUUAAAUUAAAAAAUUUACUUAAAAAAUAUAUAUAUUAUAUUAUUACUUUCAACAUCCUUCUACCACCCAAACAAUUACUUCAAGUAAAAGUCAUAUAUCCUUAUUCUACUAACUAUCCUCUCUCUUGCAAUAGCACACUUAGGGAUGGCAAUGGGGUGGGUUCGGGAUGGAUCGCCCCUAUCCCAACUCCUCCCCAUUUAUUCAAAAUAAUUUUCAUCCUCGUCCCAUUUAAAAAAUUAAAUGAGGCAGGGCGAGUAUGAUAAAUUCUCAUAUUCGCCUCGCCCCGCCCCGUUUAACUCUUUUUUGAAUUUUUUUUUAAAAUUACUUUAAAAAUUUUUAAUUACAUUAAAAUAAAUAUAUUUUAUAAAUAAUUAAAUUAUUAUAUUUUUUAUAACUUAUUUUAUUAAAAAUAUUUUAUUAUUAUCUAUAUAUUAAAAAUAGUAAAAUAAAAAUUAAAUUAAAUUAAUUUUAUAUAUAAUUGGGGUGGGACGGGAUGAGGCAAUACCCAAACCUGCUCCGGGUUUUAAAAAAAAUUCUCAAACCUAUCCCAAACCCGUUUAUUAAAAUUAAAUCUCGUCUCAUUAGGGACGAGGCGAGUACCUGAAAAAACCUGCCUCAUUGCCAUCCCUAGGCAAACUUUCAUUUUUUUUUUUUUUUUUAUCUUUUUCCUCCUUAAGAUCAAUCCUAUUGUAAGCACCCUUUUUUUUUCUACCACAUCUUGUUGCAAGCAACCUUGUAAGUUUUUUUAAUUUAAAUUUUUUUUCCACUAUGGAGGCACGUACAACCAUAAAACCUCCUCUUUUUUUUAUUUUAUUUUUACAACUCUCAAAUCUCUCAACCUCCAUACUAUUAGGUUUUAUUCAUUUAUUUAUUAUUAUUAUUAUUAUUAUUAUUAUUCCAUAUCCAAAACUAUAAUUAAUUUUCUUUUAUAUUUUUUUAUUUUAGAUCUAUUAAUUUGAAUAUUCGAAAUUUUCUAAUCUUACUAAUAACUCUAAACGUUCAAAACUAAUUAAUGAAUAUAAAAUAUUAAUCUAAGGAUUAAAAUCUUAUAUAGAAAAUUGAUCUUUAAAUCCUAAACUCCCAAAUUUUCAACCUUACGUUGCCCUAUGUUGUCCAAUCUCUUAGAUCUCCAUGUAAAAGGGUUUUUUUUUUUAAUAGAGUAAAUAAGAAAAAUUUAAUUUAUACCUAAAAUUUUAAAAUGGAGAAAAAUCUUUCUACCCUUAUUAAUUUAAUUAAUUUUUUUAAAUUAUGUUUUUACCCUUGAAUUGGGUCUGGGCAUCACACAUCAUACUAAAAAGUUAUCAAUAACCAUCCUUUGAGGCACAUUAGCAUAAAUUUGCGACUUUAGUUGUGUUCUAGGUGCAAUUCUAUUAUGUUUAAUUGAAAAAUAACACCCAUAGCACAACCAAGCCUAAUUGACAGCAUUUGGGCAAAUAAAUGGUAAAUUUCUAAAAGUUCACCAAAAAAAAAAAAAAACAAAAAAGAUCAUAAAGGGCAUAUUUUUCAAGUCAACCUAGUUUUGGGAUAUUGCAAUCCAAUCUAAGAAUGCAAUAAUAGCUCUUUAAUUCAUAAUUUUAAAUUCACAAAAGAUAUCACCUAAAAUUACUAUAGGUUACCAAAACAUCAACAACAUAUAGAAAGCUUAGAAAUGCUUGGAACCUAUCGAAUUUUCACUUUUUAGGAAUAAAAAAAAAAUGAACUUUAAGGAUUUUAGGGUAAUACUUGCUUGAACCAUCUUUCAAUCCUUUUGUUGGCGGUGGGCCUUUUACCUAUAAGAACAGGAAUGAGAGGUGAAAAGGAGGGAGCCUUAUGAAAACGGAUCCCUAGGGCUUAAGAAGGGGUUUUCAAUUUUAGGGUUUGUCUGUUCACCAAGGAUGUGAAUGGGAAGAUGAGGUGAAGUUAAGAGAUUGGUGAAGCAAAGUGAGGGCAUGGUAGGGUUUGAAUAAGGGAAAGUCUACACUAUUAAUGAAGAUGAUAAUCUUUAGAAAGCAAAGCUAAGGUAAACUAGGGCUUUAACAACAAUUUUCGAUCUACACUAGUGAAGACGAUAUCUUCGAAAACCAAAGCUAAGGCAAGCUAGGGCUUUAAUAACGAAUUUCAAUCUACAAUGGUGAAGAUGAUAAUCUUCGAAAACCAAAUCUAUAAUGGUGAAGAUGAUUAAAAACUAAAUCUAUAUUGGUAAAGACGAUUGGAAAGCAAAUCUACACUAGUGAAGUCAACGAAACCAAAGGUAGGUAAAAAUAAUAAUAAUAAUAAUGCAUUCUUAGAUCCAAAUCACCAUUUCCAACAUGGUAUUUGGAUUUCCACCUUGUAUUUUUUGUUUUUAAUUUUUUCAAUAAUCAAGGACAUUUUAGGGAUUAUUAAGUGACAAUAUUCUUCAACUCAAUUUCCCACAUUAGUUAGGUGUAAGGCUCAAAUGUGAAACUCAUAUAGAUGUUAGGCCAAUCAUCAAACUCAUUUGCCUUGAAGCAUAAUUUCCCCUUUUUAAAAUAGUUGUUAAACAUCUAUCCCCAACACUUGUAACCCUUUGAAGUGCUUGUAUGUUAACCUUGUUUCCUUUUUCUCAUGAAACAUGGCUUAUUGAUUGUUGCAUUGAGUCAUUAUCAUUCACCAAAUCCAUGCAACUAUGAACUACCUUUCAAAUCCCUCGAACAUAAAUGGUAAUUCCAAAACAACUCAAGUAUAAUCUUUCCAAGCCCUUCAAAUGAUUUAAUUAAUUGAUGUUUGAAUAUACUUCAUAUAUUUUUUUAGAGCAAUUUUUUAGGCAUAUAACAUAAAUCUCUAAUUUCAUUUUAUUUUUUUUAUAAAAGGUUUUAUAUUUUAUAUUACAAUUUCCUCUCUUUUUUUUCAUCUAAAAAAAAAAACAUAAAACCUUCGUAAACGAGUUUUGUCACAAUCCCUUAACAGGUAAUCUAUUUUUAAAAAUUACUUUAACAUUUUUAGAUAUAUUGAUUCAGUCUAAUUUAAUUUUAAUAUUUUUUAUAAAAUAUUUUUAUUUUAUAUGAUUAUAAAUUAAUUACUAUUGAUUGCAUAUUAUAGAAUAUAUAUUCUAAAAUAUAUCCUAUUCACAAUAAUAUCAUAAGAUAUUAUAUCCAUAUCCUAACAUAUUAUAUACUUUUAUUUUGUGCAAUUAGCAACAGGGUGGAAGACGGCUUAGGCGGGAGACGGCUUAACGGAAAUGCCGUCUGCCAUGCGUGUCCCUUCCCUUAGUGAGUCUGAACAGCUCCAACAUUUCCGACACGCCCUUCUUCGCUUAGCUCUUAAGUAUUUUCGUCCCGUUUUCAUUAACCCCAUCACAUUUCGCCAUGUGGAUCUAAGCCUCAUGGUCCUUUCGUUCGUACGAUGAAUAUUCCCCCAAUUCCUUAUCUACACUAAACCUCCAUACUCGCCAUCUACUCAACCACUUCUCUACUCUAGAGUCUGGAUCCUUUAUCUCUGCACGUGUCUAUGGCUCUUCACCCCAGCAAGUAUGGCAUUACAAGGGCAAUAUCGUCAUUAAAGACCCAAAAGGCAAACGAAUGGCAUUAUCUCCCUUUUGGGUCUAUUCUAUUUAUAUUGUAAGUUUUUCGUGAUGACUUCUCUCAUAACAGCUAAAAACCACUCCAACAGAGCACACUUCACUUCUUCGUUUUUGUCUUUCCUCUUUUUUUUUUUUAGAGAAGCUGAGAAAGCCCAGCUCGCCCUCAACUCCCCGAUGGGUUUGAUGAAUGUUCUCAAAUUCUCAGCUGCAUGCUUUGAUCUUCUUGGUUGGUAUGUUGUCUACGCAUUUUCUCGUCAUUGGAAAAUUUUGGAAAAUGAAGUGGAAUUCUAUGUUUGAGGAGAAACUGGGAUUUGCUUUGAUUUCUCCAUGUUGGUUUUAUCCCUUUUGUUUGAAUUGUCCAGAUUCUUGUCAUUGAUUGUUAGUUAUUUGUUUGGAUUUCUACUUGCAGGCCUCUGUUUGCACUGGGUUAUCCUCUGUAAGUCUUGGUCUUACACCCCAAGAUAUGAUGGUUCAUUUACUCUUUUCUUGUUCUAUGAAUUCUUAGUUCAGUUACAUUUAUUGGGUUGGGAAACUGAAAAGGGAAAGGAUUAUUAGUUAUUAUCAUAAUAAUCAUCAAUAUCAUCUCGGUUCUUCACAGAUGUGCUUCAAUUCGGGCAAUUGAGACUAACUCAAUCUCAGACGUUCGGAAGUUGGUGGCGUAUUGGGUUCUAUUUUCCUUGAUUUCACUCUUUGAUCAUACUUUUGCCAAGCUCCUUGAAUGGUAAUUUUGCUCAACUUCAUUCUUUGCCCUUCAGGAAUUUGGAGUUGCUUUUUUCAGUUUUCUUCCUUGUGACAAUAAUCGAGAUGUUUAAUGUUCCAGGCCUCCAUGUAUUUUAUUUUCCUUCACUUCUCUGCUUUGAAAAAUGCCCACAAUCUGAUCAACAGAAAGGUUAUAACAUUUGAAAAAGAAAUGCUUUGUUUUGGUUUUUUAAGUGCAACAAUUUUCAUUUGGAGAAAUGAUCUAAAGGGUAUUGGUGUUUGGCCGAAUUCAUGGAAUUUUCUCGCUAAUUUGGGAUUUAUUCUCAAUUUCAAGAUCACUGUGGAUAUUUCAGAAAUUAAUGAAAUAUAUAUGAUGGAAUGUGAUUUUCUUGUUUAAGAAAAGUUUUUCUUUGAAAAUGUGGGUGACCCCAACCUACCUUAUUGUACUACUUGGAACACAAAACAAAAGUUUUUCUCGCUAAUUUAUUAACUAAAUUGCACACUUUUUGAUAGUUCAAGGAAGUGGUGUCAGCUUUGGAAAUAAGAUGGAUGAUUGUAGGGAACUUUAUUUCUCAUCUUUAUAGGGAACUUUCCAUAAUAUAGCUUAUAAAUAUCAUAAUCACAGUGAUGAAUGAUUGUCUUGUUUGAAAGCAUGGUUGCACUUAUUUCCAGGGAAUUUGUCUGCGUUGAAAUUAAAUUAAGCUUUAUGCAUCAUUUGGAUGCUGGGAAACAAAUGGAAAUAGAAAAUUCAGAAUCUGACAAGUUUGUGUAGGGCAACUGGAUCUAAUCUCUUAGUCGAAGCUUAAUAGGGGCAAAUGCUGAUCAUCUUUGAACCUAUUGAAGGCUCUAAUCUGUGCACAAUUCUAAUGUUUUUGUUUUCUUCAUUUCUUUUUCAACUUUUCAUAAUAGAUGUCAAAAGUUAAAACCGAACUUACGUAGUCCAUCCAAGUGGAUGCAUAUAAAUUUAACAGAAACUGAAAUUUGAAGAAAUUUAUUUUCCCUUUUGUAAAUGGUGUUUAAAAAGUCUGUGUGUAGUUUGGUUUUUUUCCUGGAAGAUCAGAUGAUUUCGUGAUCAUUUUUUCUAUUUGCCUUAUCAUCAUGAGAUUUAAGUAUUUUUUUUAAAAAAAUAUUUUAUUUUCUUAUAUAAUGCAUGUCAGGAUACCAUUCUGGCCUUACAUAAAGCUGAUGGUCAUCUGCUGGCUGGUGAUACCGCAUUUUGAUGGUUCCUAUUAUAUCUAUCAAUACCUAGUUCAUCCACGCUUGUCCAUGGAUCCACAAGUUGUCAUGAAUUGGCUCUUCAAUGAAUCAAAAAAGAAGUUUCAUAGCAGAGAAAACUUUCUUGUUUCAGCAGACCAAUAUAUUAAGGAGAAGGGACCUGAAGCUUUGGAGAAACUACUUGCAAGGAAGGUAUGCCAUUAUAAGUAGGAUUGUCAACAAGUCAAAUAGAGUUUUAUUUGAGAUGUUCAAGUAAAAAAUUACUAUAGCAGGUCAUCUAGAAUUAUUGGUCUAAAUUCAUGUAUAUAUCUAUAUAUAAUUGUGUUCUCUUUUUUUCACAUAUGCAUGUGCAUUUAGAUUUACGUAAUUAUAUAUGCAUAAUCAGAUUCAACUGUGAUAGCCCAGGAUUUAAUUCAGUAAUCAACUCUUCUGGGAACAUGUUGGUUAUGGUUUCUCUCUCACUGUCCUCUUAUUUAUACAUGACUUUGGCUUCAGUUGAGGAGCACAAAGCCUAAUGUUGAAGUGAAAGAGAUCAAAGGACCUGCAGCACCGGAGAAAAAAGGGGAACAGGUAUGCACUCUACUAUUUUAUUUCUAUGGAGGCAGAUCUCCAGAGAAAUGUUGCUCAUGUAAAUUAGUGAUGCAUUUAAAAGAAAAACCACUUUAUGUAUGUUUCUGUGAAAAAGAGAACAAGUUUAUGGAUUAAGUGAUAUUUUUUAUGGUGAAAUAAUCAAUAAUUUUCAAAAUAAUAAUAUAUUCGUGCAUGUUUUUGCAAUUCAUGAAUUCCUUUUACGAUUGAUUCUUCUCACCUCAGUGGAAGUGUGAAGAGCCUAAUGUUGCAGAAAAGGAGAUCCAAGUAGUCAAAGUAACAGACAUAAAAAAUGGGGGGGAUGGAGCAAAGAGGGUAAGUUUUCCUUUUUAUUUAUAAGGAAGGCUGUCUUCACGCAAGGAUUAUUGUUAUUAUUUUUAAGACAUGAAUGUUGAAUGCAUUUGGAAUUGUCGUUGAAUCAUGUGAAGUGUGAAGGUGCAAAUGGUGCUAAGAAGGAGAUCAAAGUGAUGGAAGUAACACAGAGAACAUUUGGUGAUACAGCACAGUGGGUAAGGUUUCUUGUCAUACUUAAAUGGCACCUCAUAUUUCACUAGGAUUAAUUUUGGCCUACAAACAUAUUUGGCUACAAGUUGAAGACAGCUUUCCAGAUACUGGUAAAAGUUGAGACAUAAGUAAUGAAUGAGUUUAGAAACAUGCACAACUCUUGUGUGAAACACAAUGAGAGUGGAAAAUAGCUAAGUUGAAAAAUGGCCAAAUACUAUUUUGUAGUUCACCCCACCACUUAAGUAAUUUUUGUCAUCCUUUGUGAAUGGAAAAUGCAGUCCCUUCAGUAAUUCUGCAUAUAACCAUUAGUGUCUUGUCCUAAGUUGACCUUUAAUGAUGGUCCAUUGAGAGGGAUCUGACUUUUGUCAACCCUCUUAUUCCUUUGAUCAUAGAGGUUAAACAUACGGGGCUUAACCCACUUUUCAAUCUCAUUGGAUAUAUGGCAUGUGGUAUCCUCUUCAUCUUGAAAGAGUGAAGUGGUCAUACUCUUUCCUGAGUCCAUCGUGGCCAUGCACUUCUGGCUCAUUGGGCAGAGUGAAAGGAUUCCCUUCUGCUUCAAAUCAUAGAGAGAUAUGCCAUGGUCAGCCUCUUUAAUUUGAAGGAUUGAAGUACUCAAAUCGAUUUCUUUGCAUCCAUCUUAGUCCUGCUUUCAUGUCUCAUGGUUAACCAGGAAGAUCAAGCUUCCAUCCAUGAGAUCAGCAUCUGCAGGGUUAUGACACCACCCUUCCUUGGCAUAGGAAAGCGAUCAUUAAGCCACAUGUCGGAUGACAGAAGUCGUCAUUCAGGUUAUCUUGCGAACUAGGGAAGUUGGAAUUCUAAUUAUUGCAUAUGGUUCUUGAUGUUUAGCCAAUAUACUAUAGGAUUUUAAGCAUCCUGCCCAUGUGCAUUGUGGUUUUUUAUCAGCUAUAUGGUUUACCAAACUGAGGGAUUGAUUAUAGUCAUAAGUACCCUUUUCCCAUUAAUUUCUUGCAUGUGCUUUGCUGAGAUUAUGUUUUUGACAGUGCUAAUCAGGGCAAACCAACAAACAGCUUUAUGUUAACUUUUACAAACUGCCACAUUUUCAGGUUGAACGAUCAGAGAUAAAUCUUGGUGAAACUAGAAGUAAUACAACCUGUGCCGUGGAGAUAAAAGAAAGGGCAGCAGCACUGGUGGCUGCAGAAAUUGAGGCAUGUAGAGACGAUAGAACCCCCAAGAUACCUCUUCAUGAGAAAGUCCAGAAAGAGUGGGCUUGUGCUGUGUGCCAGUUCACAACCCAAACUGAAGCGACCUUCAAUUCCCACCUUCAAGGGAAGAGACAUCAGGCCACUUCUGAGCAGUUGACAGCCAAAAACCAGGCAACCAAAACCAAUUGUUCCCCAUCUGCUUCAAAGGCCAAGAAAUCUGAUCAGUCCACCAAAGAGGAGCAACCGAAGUGUCCUUCCAACAAUCUGAAUUCCAAAAACAAUGGAAUCUCAGCUGCUUCAAUAGUGAAGAAAC
rnacentral:lncRNA from 1 species